ACAGAAAUUAAAUCAUGAAAGAUGAAUAAUACAAAUAUUCAAUGAAAUCUUUGGCGUGUUAUUUCUUUGCAGCUUCAACAUGGUGGCAUGUCCGACGGAGGAGGCAACAUUUGAGCUUCCGGGUGUUUACCAUUUUUCACUAUGAACGCAGUUUCCAUGCCCCAAGUCAGAUGGCGUUCUACAUGGCAGUGCAUGAACCACACUCCUGCAACAGAGAAAAUAUACCAACAUUACACCUAACUUUAUUGUAAUAUUAAGAAAAAAUAUUUCAUUGGUAUGUAGGUUGGCAGUUUCAAGGGUUUUUUUCUUUAAUAAAGGACAUGAGUGCUUGGAACAUACCAGGGUUGGAUGCCUCGAAUCUGAUUGCAACCCAACCAUUCGAAGGAACAGAGAUGGUAUUCUGAAAGGGAGGAUCCACCAUAUUAUAGCGCAAAGGGUCCUUAUUUCCAUCGAAAUUCCCAAAUCCCCAUCCAACAACAUAGAAACUGUAUCCAUGGAGAUGCAUGGGGUGGUGUGUCGCUGCAAGCACAUUUGUCCCUUGAAAAACAAUAUCCACUGUGGAGUUAUACUCGAGCACCCUUACUUCUGUUCCGCUGCUCGGCAACUGAUAGAUUAAUGGAAGAUAAUCAGCUGUAAAAUCGAACACCAGUGGUGGAUCACUAGGAAAUUUAUCUCCAUAUAUACCACUGAUGUUAUAAUAGUAAGCUUGCAGUAUGUCAACUGUAGGGGUAUGGAAGCUUAUGUUGUUUAUACUUGAGGAGAAUCGCGUCCCAUUGGCCCCUGCACAUGAAUUAUUGACGCAUGGGUACGAGUUUACAGAAACAGUGUAAAUCAGGUUAGUGCUCGUGCUCAAUGGGACAUUGCAAGGAUGUUCCGCAUUUGCUAAGCUUCGGAGGCCGGCCAUGACCUGAACGGAUGCAUUUGUGUCAUUGUAUGCAGGAAGAUAAGGCAAGGAGGGAGGUGAAGAUGGAGUGUAGUAUCCGUUGUAUUGUACAAUAGCUGUGGUGGUUGUGUUAUCAUAAAAGUCUUGAUAUUUCGGGGCAACAGAAUAAGUUAUAGCCGCCAUGUAAUAGUGAUCCGGGCGUUGGUUAGCUUCUAGUAAGACAUCAUAGGUUUGGCCAGGAAAUAUUGUGAUAAAAUCUCGUGUCAAUGGUUUCGUGUAGCUACCAUCUGUUCCAACCACUGUCAUUUUAUGCUUGUCAAUGGAGAAGAAGAGAGCCUCUUGCAAGGCAGCAUUGAUUAUGCGAAGUAGAUAGGUCUUUCCAUGAUCCACCGUUAGCUUGAAUGUGUCUGCAAUUAGAAAGGGAAAGUUGUAUACUUAUGACUAGCCAAAAGAAAAAGAAAAAGUUUCCAUGAGGAUCCACUAAUUAUGAAGUGAUUGAUUGAUGAGGGGUGUAAAUUUGGCUCCAUAGUUCAAAAUUAUAUUUGGACUAGCCUUCUUUUGUGUUUUAAAUCAUGGCUCUACCAUCCUCAUAGCUAUAUUCCUCUUUCUUAGCAUUAAGCUUUAAAUAUGUUGAUGUUAAUAAGAAAAAGUAAUAUGGCUAACAUAUAAGAAAAUGAAAUUGUGUACAAUUUUAAAAUGGGAAGUUAAACUUUGUACCUGAUUUUGAGCAUGGAUAUAGAUCACCGGGUUGUCCAUUUAUCAAUAAAGCAUCAGAGGGGUCGGGGUCACCUCCGGUUGCAAGCCCUUCAUCUCGAACCGCAUUCACAUCAUUCUUCCACCAUUCUCCUGCAUUUCAACAACUUCAAUAAUUUUAGAUUUUGCUUUGUUGGUUAAUUCAUAAUAUGUAAAUUAACCUUUAAAAGUAACAACACUUAUACCUAAUAUGAUAGGGACCUCUCUAUCAGGUUUGUGAAAAGGAUACUUGGUUCCAUUCUUGGGAUAGAUAAUUAUAGCUCCAUGAACAGUGGCUCGGGUCCAAUCACUGUGAGCAUGCCACCAUAGAGUGCCUUCUUCAGUGGAAAGGAUGAUCUUCUGUGUAAACUUUGACCCUGGCCGAAUUGGGCAUUGUGUGAUAUACUCGGGACCAUCUGUCCAUGGAUAUCUAGGCAUGGUCACCCCAUGCCUGCGAAACCAUAACUAUACGUUAAAACUAGUACUAAUUUUCAAAGUAACAAAAGAUGGCAUGCAACAACAUAUUAUCAUAAUAACAAGAGGCAUCAAUUGUAUUUCAAUGGAACUAAAGCAAAUAACCUAAAAGUAUUGUUUUAAAUUUGACUUUAUUUUCAAAGUUAUAUAUUGUAGCCCCCUCUUAGAUAUAAAAGAAUAUAUGUCAUGCAAGCAUGGUACCACUGCUCUUUCUUUGAGACACGCACAGGACCUACCAGUGAAUGGUGAUGUUUUCAUUUCCCUUGUUAUAAACGUCGACAAUGAUCGUCUCUCCUUUCGUAGCAUAUAUGGUUGGUCCCGGAAAUUUUCCAUUUACUGUUAAGAUGUUCUUGGUGCUACAAAGCCUUUUAUAUGAAGCUUCCCUCACCUGCAACCAAUUAAAAGUUAGCCAUGCAACCUGAUCCCAAAAGAAAUAUCACAUGCAUGAAUAGUUGUAUCGAUCCAUUCAUGUAAGUGUAUAACCAAUUAGAAAUUGAUAGCAUGCAUGAACGACUCAACGACACCAAGGUAGUAGGUCAUAUGGUACGAAAUGAGAGCAAUACCACUCCCUAAAUAUCAUGAUUACAAGGUGGCGUUAAGGCCAGAAUCAUAUAUAGUAUUUACCACAAAAGUAAGCCGACGGGUCGAAGCUUGGCAAUGGAUGCCACCACCAAAAACUAGAAACGCUAAAAUUUGCAGGAGGAAAACCUUCAUGAUCAGCCACAUUUUCCUUGGAAUAAAAGCCUCUUCUCUUGUCCUAAACACAACUCCUUCAAUUCUCUUACUGCUUUUGAUGUAUUUCUUUCAUAUAUGGUUCAUUAUAUAGGCAUGGUAAUUCUCUAGGGAUACAAUACGUGUCAAUAUAAGAGGAAGUGAUUUGAAUGUGUAUUGGUUUUCAAUGUUCUUUCAGGACGACUUCAAUGAGCAGGACCACUUCAAAAUAAUUAAUUAUGAUAUUUCUUACACGUUACCUACACGUUAUUUUAGAAUAAAUUUAAAAUAUCCUUUCACAAGUCUUUUAUUGAUUAUUUCAACAAAUGUUAAUUAAUUAAAUAUAUGUAGGAUAUUUUUAAAACUUUGACCUCCCGUAUGAAAACUGUUUUUCAUUGACAACUACUUUUAACAAUUAUUGGGUGGUUGGCGGCAAAGUUGUUUUCGUAUUGUUAAUACAAUUUGUCAUGAUCGUUGAUUUCGUUUGAAUGGGACAAAGUUGUUUCCAAUUUUUUUUAAACUUGAGAAUUGAGAUUAUAAAAGACAAGAUGAGAAGUUAUUUGGUAUUUCAGAAUUUUCCAUAACAAAUACAAAAAUAUAUUUUGUAAAAAGCUGAAAAUAGGAUACUAACAACCCCUUAUAGUAUUUUUUUUUUUCUCAACAAAAAGCAAUUUAAUACUAAUAAUAAAAAAUAAUUAUAGAUUUUAAAAUAUAUUUUUCAAAAGAAAUGAAUCUAUAAUUUAUUUGUUCAAAUGGUAUGUAUAUAUUGAUUAAAUAAAUAAAUUAUGAAAAGAUUUAUAUAUUUUCAAAAUGAGAUUUUAAAAUUGAACAGAGAUAUUUGUUUAUUUUAGAUUUGAAUGUUUGGAUUCAUCUAAUUCCAUAAAUUAUUAUUUCUUUAUUUUAUUGGAGUUGACUUUAAAUGUUUGGAUUGACCUAAUUCCAAGUGGACUAAGCCAACCUAAUAUUUGAAUGGAGAUGAAAGCAUGGGUAUAGGUUUGUACUUAAAGAAAUUUAAAAAGGAAAUGAAGAUAUGAUUAAAAUAAACCUGAUACAGUUACUCUAUAAGAAUAGAUCCUGUUUCUAACCUUUUAACAUACAAAUUUGGAAACCUAAACGUAUGGAUUGUUUCUUUCCUAUAAUGGAAUCCUAUAUUCCUUCUCAAAGCAGCGCUGACUUGAUAAAGGUUUAUUUUAUCUAUAUAUGGGAGGUCAAAGUUUUAAAAGUAUUCUACAUAUAUUUUAAAUUUAUUCUAAAAUAAUGUGUUUGAUUAAUUUCUUGGUCGAUUCUCAAAGUCAAACUUGUAUUUUGAAUUAGAAAAUUCAAGAGAUUCUAAGAAACUCGUCUUCUACGAUACACAACCUGAUUGAAGCUGAGCUUUGAGAAAUUUUCACAAUUGUUAGCAUUCUUCAGGCAUUUGGUUUAUUUAAAUUUUAGUAGGUAAUCAAAUAUCAUACACAACCUGCUCUUUGAAGUGGUCCUGGAAGAACAUUCAAAACCAAUACACAUUCACAUUACUUCGCUUAUAUUGAUACGCGGCGAGGAAUUGUUGAUACCCAAGCCACAUGUGAUCUGAUUUAAUGAAUGAAUCUCUGCCCUUCAUCCGAAGAAUUCUGGUGUUCUGGAUUGAUGGGAGCAAAAAGGUGACCAGUUUUACCUUGAGUCAAAUUCAAAUGACAAAAUAUAUUACCAGGGCAAUCAUGGACACCACCCUUAACUACAAAAAUAGCGCACACAGCCAAUCCCAUCAACCUAGUAUUACACCAAUUUGGAGGCAGAUGUACCAUAUUACUGUGGAGCCUAUACGCUGUUGGCUGAACCACUCAGGAAUUCAACUUCCAGGAACGAAAGUACUGGAUUCAAUAUGUGGAGUAUAUGGCACCAUCUGGGUCAUGAAAAUCAAUGUCAAGUUAUAUGGAAAUAAUGUAGGAGUAGUGCUCAAAGGAGUAUAAGAAUUAUUCCAUAGGAUUUAAUUGAUUUACUUUUACAAUAUGAUCAAGAGAGAGAGGAGAGAAACCUGAAUUGGGAAUUGAAAUCUUGGUAAUUUAUUUGCCAGACUUUGCAUUUCCCUUAAUGUAGCUGCCACAAAGUUGCUGCUUUCAUUCUCAGACAGUCUGAAGCAAUUAGAAAAUGUGAAUCGGAGGCCCCCACAUUCCUUGGAUCUGUAGACACUUGAUGGACACAAAAUGUUUUCCAUAACUGUGCCAUCAUGGGCAUCUAUUUCUUCUAUACUUGAUGGAAGCUCUGGUAAUGAUUGAAGCCUCUUGCAACAACCCAACCUAAGGCCUUUGAGCUGUGAAAGUUGAUUGAGGCGUGCAGGUAGAGUAACAAAAUUGUUUCUGCUCAGAUCUAAAUAUUCCAAUGAGCACAGAGAGCUAAAGUCAUUGGGAAUUGCUCCUUCCAAUAUGUGGCAAUCACUUAGAUUUAACUUUCUUAGGGAUCUUAAACCAAAGAAAGAUGCAGUUGCCACACUAUUCUUAGAUUUAACUUUCUUAGGGAUCUUCAUAUUUAGUUUCAUAGGAAAGAUGUUUUCAAAGAAAUCUGCAUUCUUUGUUUCUAUUAUAGUAUUGACAUCUACCAGAUUAUUUUCUGACUUAGUAACAAGAAACCUAUAUGCCACACUAUUCUCAGCAUAGCCAAUGAACGUUGCAUCAAAGGUUUUAGGACCUAGUUUUCGUUUUUUAGGUUCGGGGAGAAGAACUUUAGCUAAACACCCCCACACUUUCAGGUAUGCUAUAUUAGGUGCACAACCUUUGCACAACUCAUAAGGAGUUUUACUAGUUUUCUUGUAAGGUAUUCUAUUUUGAAUAUGGCAUGCGGAUAGGAUAGCUUCCCCCCACAAGUUCAAGGGUGCUCCUGAACUUACUAACAUUGGAUUCAUAAUUUCUUUUAAGGUCUUAUUUUUCCUUUAUGCUAUUCCAUUAGACUCAGGGGAAUAAGGAGGAAUAAGGAGGAGUAGUUUCAUGAAUGAUCCCAUGAUCUUCACAAAAAGAAUUAAAGGGGUUGGACUCAUACUCUCCUCCUCUUUCAGUUCUAAGCCUUUUAAUUUUCUUACUUAGUUGAUUUUCCAUUUCAUUUUUGUACUUGAUGAAAGCAUCUCUUGCUUCAUCUUUGUUUCUCAAAAGAUAUACCCUUGUAUACCUUGAGUAGUCAUCUAUGAAAGUUAUGUAGAAUUGAUCACCACCUCUAGUCAUUGUAUUUUUUAGGUCUCCUAAGUCACUAUGUAUUAAACUUAGUAGACCUGAUUCUCUUUCAACUGAUUUGCAAGAUUUCUUUGUGGCUUUAGAUUCUACACAAGAUUCACAUUUCCCAUGGUUUUCUAAGGACAGAUUAGGGAUUAAACUCAAUUCAACCAUUUUCUUCGUAUAUGAAAAGUUCACAUGUCCUAGUCUACCAUGCCAAAUAUCACAAGAAUCAACUAUGUAAGCAAAAGAAGAAGAUGUAUUAUUAUUGAUAAUAUCAUAAACAUUCAACAUAAAUAAACCCUGAUUACAAUAGCUCUUUCCCACAAAUGCAUCAUUCUUGGUUAAAACUAUUUUAUCAGAGUCAAACAAGAUCCUCACUCCUGCUUUUCCAAGUAGAGAUACCGACACCAAGUUCCAACAGAUAUCUGGCACAUGAAGAACAUCAUGUAGGGCAAGCACUUUUCCAGAUGUUAGCUUGAGGAGAACUUUCCCUUUGCCAAUCACUGGAGUAGAUCUAGAAUCACCCAUGAACACUUGUUCCUCUCCUUUCUUUAUAGUGGUAUAGGAAGUAAAUGCAUUUCUAUUCCCACAGAUGUGCCUAUUAACCCCAAAGUCUACCACCCAUUCCUUCAUAUUGGUGACCAUGCUCACCUCAAAGGAGAUUACUGUUGUGAUCACCUCUGUCUCUGCCAGAUUUGCCUUUGAACUAGUCUUCUCAAUUCUCUUCCUAUGGCGACAUUGAGCUGCAUGGUGUCUAGACUUGCCACAGACAAAGCAAUUACCCCAUUUUUUAAUAAUUGAGUUUUGGACCUUGUUUAAUGCAUUAGGCUUGGUCCUAAAGUUUUGUUUCCUGAACCUAUUAUUUUUGGGUUUAGAUUUUUCUUCUACUACAUUAGCUUUAGAAGACAAUUCCUUAGCUUUCUCAAUAUUGUCCCUAUUUCGGUUUUGUUCCUCAAUCCUAAUAUGGAUUAUGACAUCCUCUAAGGACAUUUGUUUCCUUUUAUGUUUCAUGUUGUUUUUAUAGUCUUUCCAAGACUCCGGAAGAGCCUCUACUAAAUAACUAGCCACAAAAGGUUCGGGUAAUUUAAUGUCUUCAAUAGCUAAGUCAUUAAUCAACAAGUGGUAGUCAUGGAUUUGAGAUGAUACAACUCUAUCCUCACUCAUUUGGAAAUUUCUAAAAUUCCCUAUGGCAUAUUUAUGAGUUCCCGCAUCUUGCAAAAUAUAUUUUUUAUUCAUUGCAUCCCAAAUUUAUUUUGCAACUUUAAAUUGACAAUAAAUAUCAAAAAGUUCAUUAGAAAGUGUACUCAGAAUAGCAUAGCUAACUUGUUUAUUUCUAGUUUCCCAGGUUGGUAACCUAUGAGAACCAUCUUAUUGUUUUGGAUCAGUCAAAAUAUGUCCUAAGUUCACCACAUCAAUUGUAGAGAAAACCCUUUCCUGUCAUCUCUUAAAGAAUGUCCCAUUAAAUGGAUUAAUUUUAGAGGUGUCAGGAUGGGUGUGAAUUAGGGAAGCUUUCAUUUGAAUUUAUUUCAAGAUUGUUGGAUUUUAAGGGUAUGGAAACAAAGACUAGCCCAAAAAGACACAAACAAAGAACAUAAUGAAUAAUAAAAAAAAACUUAUCGGCUGAGGCAUGACAAACACUGUCCUUGAAAUAGAUCCACCCUUCUCGAAGACGAACUCUAUGCACUAUGUGAGAAAGGGUAUAAAUAAUGUGAGAUAAGGUACAAAAAAAUGUGAAAAAAAUGUACGAAUAAUGUGAGAAAAUGGUAUGCACAAUGUUAUAAAAUGGUACAAAAAAUGUAAGACAUGGUAUGAAUAAUGUGAGAUAGGGUACAAAUAAUGUGAUAUAAUGUAUGAAGAAUGUGAAGAAUGUGAGCAUGGGUAUGAAGAAUGUGAGAAAUUGUACGAAAAAUGUGGAAAAAAAAGUGCGAACAAUGUGAGAAAUUAUACAAAACAAUACAAGACAUAUGGUACAAAUAAUGUGAGAGAGAUGGUAUGAAAAAUUUGAAAUAUGAUACGAACAAUGUAAGGAAUGUUACAACCAAUAUGAGAAAGAAUACAAAGAAUAGGAGGAAGGAUAUGAAGAAUGUGAGACAUAGUAUGAAAAAUCUGAGAAAGGGUACGAACAAUGUGAGAAAGAAUACAAAGAAUGUGAGAUAGGGUAUAAAUUGUAAGGAAACCCAGAUCACUCUAUUCCAUAUCUUAGAAUUAGGUUAGAUGCAUGCAAAAACUUUCCUAGGCUUUUCUAAAUCCUAUGCAUAAUAAAAACAAACAUUUAAAAACUUUAGCAAGAUUUAAAAAUCAAAAGAGAAAAACUAUACAUUGAUUUGGAUAUUCUCAAAUCAAAUCCAUGUAGUGAAGUUGAAGGUUGAAGUAUUCAGAGGUCUCAAUGACUCAAACUCGAUAUUUGAACCCCAAAGGUGGGUUGGCUAUUGCUAUCUACAAAUUGGAUGAUAGAACACAACUAUCUUAAAAACCCUAACCUUUGAGAAGGUAUUUAUAGGGUUCCUUAAUUAGGCUUAAGUGACUUAAGCUUACCGUGGACUUAGGUCACUUAAUUUAGCUCAAAAUAUGUCUUAAUCAAUUAAUUACAUGACACUAUUAGGUUAAUUGAUUAAUUAACCUAAUAUGGCCAAUCAAUUAACCUAAUAGGGCCAUGUAAUUAAUCAAUUAACCUAAUCUAGAGGUUUUAUUCACUUACCUUUGUGUAACCUUACAUAAUUACCAAAACACUAUUAUGCACAAAAGUUAAUUAAGAGUUAAUCUAACCCUUAUGAACCAUUCCACCAAGGUAUAUGAACUCGAGUGGGGACCCCACUAGGAACCAUAGGAUAAUACUGACACAUUCAUAAUCCAGUUUUGAAGUUAACUCAACAUUCCACUACAAAAAAUUAAUUGCACCACAAUAUCCUAUGUACAAUACAAUGAAACACCAAGUUCUCUAGAUCGUGACCUAUUAUCCACUAAUUUCACCACAAUAUCCUAUGUGCAUAUGAUCAAAUGACAUGCCCUACCUCACUAAGAGCAUACGUCAAAUUACUAAAGGAAUUACUGUGUGUCCACAGAUUUCAUGAUCACACGUCCUUAGGAUCACCCAAUGGAACACACUCUCUUAAAGUCCAUGAGAUAUCGUGGUGUCUCUAAUGAGAAUACCAAUUUUUAUCGGCUUCCAUCAAUAGUGACUUAAUCCAUAGGAAAUAUAUGAUCAACUUACGAUCUCACAGUAGGUCAAAGCCUCUACUAACUUUAACUUAUAUAAGCUUAGUAUUCUCUUAAGGUUGAGAGACAAUACAAUUUAAUAGCUUGGUGAAGUCAUGACUACAUGAUAGUCUUAUGUCGUGACUCACCAUAGGUUCUGUUCAAUAUUGUGCAAACUUACACACUAGUGCACUCACCAUGGGAACCCCAUCCCAAUGGCCAAGACCAAUCAUUCCUCCUAUUAGAAGGUAGUGCACUACAACUUCUAAUGGGUUACCUAGGUUCAUGAACUAGCUAUGAACAAGUCAUCUAUUUGUAAUAAACCCAUGACUUGGAUCUUCUAUGCAACUCCUAAUGCACUUAAGUCGCAUUUAAUCAAACCUAAAUGCUUACAAGGUAUAGUGAAUGUCAUGUCAUGUCAUGUCAUGCUUUUAAAGAUUUUAUCAUAACUUGAAUAAUGUGAGACAUGGUACGAACAAUGUAAGAGAGAGUACAAAUAAUAUAAGAAAGAGUAAAAACAAUGUUAGAAAGAGUAUGAACAAUGUGAGACAAGAUAUGAAGAAUGUGAGGGAGGGUAUGAACAAUGUGAAGGAGGGUACAAACAAUGUGAGACAAUACAUGAAGAAUGUGAGGAAUGAUACAAAGAAUGUGAUGAAUGGUACAAAGAAUGUGAGGCAAGGUAAGAAGAAUGUGAGAAAGCGUACGAACAAUAUGAGAAAGUGUAUGAACACUGUGAGACAAUGUAUGAAUAAUGUGAGAUAAUGCAUGAAUAAUGUAAGAUAGUGUACAAAACAAAGUGAGAAAGAAUACGAACAAUAUGAGAAAUUAUAUGAAAAAUAUGGAGGGUAUAAAGAAUAUGAGAUAUUAUAUAAAUAAUGUGAGAAAAUAUACGAAAAAUAUGAGAUAUAGUACGAAUAAUGUAGAAAUGGUACGAACAAUGUGAGAUAAGCUAUGAAGAAUGUGAGAAAUAGUACUCUUCAUAUCCUUUCUCACAUUAUUUAUACCCUCGCUCAUGUACUUUUGUACAUAUUCUCACAUUCUUUGUACAUGAUCUCGCAUAAAAUAGAUAUUGUUUUAUUAAAUACAAAAAAAUUAUAAAAAAUUAUAAAAAUAUUGAAUUUUUAAAAAACCAAAUUGAUAACAUGUAUGGCUAAAUAAUGUAGUUCUCUAACUACUAUUUUUUUAUUAUUUUAUUUUAGUUUCUUCAUGGAUAUAAUGGACAAAGGCAAACGAAAGAAAUUCAUCAUUGAUUUGAAUAAUGAAAACUUUGAUUAAUAAUAUGAUUGCAAUGUGAAAACCGGGUUUGACAAAAAGCCCAUGCUAGUUUAAGAGAAUAUUUUGUAUGGUUUAAGACUUGAAGAUGUAUGGGAAAUGGAGUUCAACUCAAUAGAUGAGAUAGAAGAAUUUUACAAUUUAUACGUAAAGUUAACAAAUUCAAUGUUAGAAAGGAUGAUGUUAAAUGAGAUAAGAAUGAAAAUAUAGCAUCUCAUAUGUGGGUUUGCUCAAAGAAGGAUAAAGACAAACAAUAUGUUUGGAGAAUGAAAAUCGAAAACGAGAACAUAAGACAAUAACUAGAGUUGGUUGUGAGACAUCACUUCGUAUCGAGUUUAACAAACAAAUAAAUAAGUGUAUUAUGAUGGAGUUUAUGGGUGAUCAUAAUCAUCCUUUGGUGGAACCAAAAAUACCCAAUUCUUUCAAUCCCAAAGGGUCAUGAGGAAUGCAUAUAAGGCUUAAUUGAGUGCAAUGCGUAGUGUUUGCCUGAGAACUAGACAAAUUAUGGAUUACAUGGUGCAACAAUCAAAUGGAUAUAUUAAUGUGGGCUUCACAAAGAAAAAAAGAUCUAUAUAACCAUGUUAAUGUUGAUUGUAAAGUUCAGAUAAGAAAUGGUGAUACAAAGGGUACACUUUCUUACUUGUGUGGAAAGGCUUAAAUGGAUACAUCAUUUUAUUACAAGUACAAUGUUGAUAAAGACAAUCGCUUAACAAACUUGUUUUGGCCAAAUUCUACAAGAAUAUUGGAUUACACUUAUUUCAGAAAUGUGUUAGCAUUUAAUAGAACUUAUGAGACUAAUGCUUAUAGAAAACUAUUGGUCAUCUUAGUUGACAUUAACCAUCACAAUCAAAUUGUAGUGUUUAGAUGUUCAUUAUUGGUAGAUGAGAGUCUUUACACUUAUACAUAGGUUUUGGAGACAUUUUUGGAUGUAAUGAAUAAAAAGAAGUUUUUUAUUUUUUUCUGUUAUUAUAGAUGAGGACAAAGCAAGGUGUCAAGCCAUUAAGAGAAUAUUUCUAUAGUUUUAUCAUUGGUUAUGUGCUUAUUAUAUUCAAUGCAAGACAUUCAUUAAUGUCUAUGUCAAAGACUUUACUUAUCAUUUUUCUAGGUACAUGUUCAUGGAAGGCACCGUUAAUUUGAAUGUGCAUGGAGUGGCAUGGUGGAAAUGUGUAAUCUCCACGAACAUAAUUGGGUGAUAGACAUAUAUGCUAAGUGUCCUAGAUGGGCAAAGGCUUAUUUAAAGGUGCAUUUCUUUGCAAGUUUGAAAGCGCACAAAGGUGUGAAAGGAUGAAUGCAUACUUGAAUAGUUUCCUUAAAACUCAUUUAAAGUUGUUUGAGUUUUUGAAGCAUUUUGAUUGAGCACUCUCAUGUAUUCAUCAUAAUGAGGCAAAGGCAAAGUUUGAGAUGCACACUCUUUUACUUCUUCUAAACUCCAAACUCCAUGAAAUUGAGAAAUAUACAGACAUUGUUUUCACUCGGAAAUCUUUUCUCAAAUUUAGGGAUGAAAUGAAUGCGAAACUUUUUUCCCUUAUUAGUACAAAAAAUCAUAGAGGUUAUCAUGUCCAUACAUUGACUAAAUUUAGAAGCUCUGACAAGUUCUCAAAAGUAUGUUAUGGUAAUUGUGAUGAGUCUAUGAAAUGUACUUGGAAAGGGAGACACAGGUUGGUGGUCUUUUGGGGGGAAUAGAAGAUAGAGAGGGAGACACCACUUUUUUGGAGAACGGAGGUCCACACAGGUUCAGAUUUUGGUGAGGCUUUCCGGGGAUUUUCGGAAGCAGAUUCAACAGAUUUUGGUGAAGGAGUUCUCUAGGCGGUUUUUUCUGUUGUUAAGUGGCAGCCGCAUGGACUGCAUGAGGAGGGUUGACGUCUCAUAGUUACCUUCUUUCCUCCAUUGAUAGUAGCCCACAAGGCCACCUUAAGUGGGCGACACAAUAAGGCUGCCAUGCACGCAUGAGGCAGCCAUGACGCUGCCAUGUGGGAGAAGGUAGCAACCACUUCCGCAUUUUUUCUAUGUAUCUCCAGAAACUCCUUUGUACAGCCCACACACGGGCUAAUGAAGCAGAUUCCUGCAUGUGUCACUACAUGCAAAAUAUAUGCAGAAUAUAUAUGAGCCUUGAAUUUGUCACUACAUGCAAAAUAUAUGCAGAAGUGAUUGAAAAUGCAUGACCACCUUUUCCUGCAUGUGAAUGUGUUGAGCUGUAUGGUGCAAUUACUAAUGAAAUUCUCAAUUUGGUUGAUAAGUAUUUUGAGAUGCAAAAGCAUGAUGUUGUCUGGGCAUUGGAAAUUUAUCAGAAAGCAGGAGAGCCAUCAAACAUUCACCCGACAAGCAAGAGAAACACAUAGGCCGCACCAUUCUCCAACAAGACACAACAACAUACAUUCUUGAAGGUAAGUCCCUUUUUAAAAUUUUAUUUUAGUUUAAUUUUAAUUUAUUUAGUUAGUUUAGAUGUUUUUUCUUCAUAAUUAGUUUAAUUAAUUCUACAUUAUAAAGUUCUUAUUUUUCAUUCCGAUUUAGUUUAGUGUUGAUUUUUCUUUUAAUUUAAGUGUGUUUGUGGUUUUAAUUCAAUAGUUUAAUUAAUCUUAUUAGAUAAAGUUCAUAUAUAUAUAUAUAUAGAUUAUCCCAAAUUAGUUUAGUUUUAAUCUUUCUUUUAGUUUAAGUGUGUUAGUAAUUUUAAUUCAGUAGUUUAAAUAAUCAUGUCAGAUAAAGUUCGUGUUUUUAAUUCUAAUUAGCUUCGUCUUAAUUUAUUCUUUAGUUUAGAUUUGUUGUUGAUUAUAAUUUAUUAGUUUAAUUAAUCUUAUUAGAUAAAGUCUAAUUUCAAUUUAGUUUAGUUUUAAUUUAUUCUAUAAUUUGAGUUUGUUUGCGAUUUUAAUUCAAUUGUUUAAUUAAACCUCUUAGGUAAAGAUCUUGUUUUUAAUUCCGAUUUAGUUUAGUUUUAAUUUACUUAUUUAUUUAUUUAUUUUAGUUUAGAUGUGUUUGUAAUUUUAAUUCGACAAUUUAAUCGAUCUUAUUAGAUAAAGUUGAUGUUUUUAAUUCUAAUUUAGUUUAAUUUUAAUUUAUUUUUUAGUUUAAAUGUGUUUGUGUGUUUAAUUGACCUUAUGCUAGCUCUUGAUUUGUUAUUCUCAAUUUAGGCGUUUUCUUGAAUCUUAGUCAUUAAUUCUUGGUGGAUAUCUCAUUAGUUUAUUUAAUCUAAGUUUUAAUAAUUUAUUAUUUCGGUAGUCUCUUGUCAAAUUUACUUUUCAGAUGCCAUCGGAAAAUAGUGAAGAUUGACCUCCAUUCUCACCACUUUAGUUUGUUUGGUUGUCAAAAAUUUUACUUUGUGAUUUUGUUUACUUUUAUUUUGCUUGUUUCUUAUGUUUUGAUUGUUUUCAAAUUAUUUUAUUUUAUUUUAAAAUAAAAUAUUUUUCUCAAAAGAUCCAUUUGAAAAUUCUAUUUUAAAAAUAAUUCAUUUAGAGUCUUUAGAAUCAGAAUCUCAUUUUUUAAUAAUAUGCAACCAUGUCUUGAUUGGUUUGCAUUUUUCUCAGUUUUCAAUAAAAAUUCUGGUUUUAAAUAGAAUAUGAAUCUAAACUUGUGGUCCCAAACAAAUGGGAUAAUUCUGGGCUAGAUUUUUGUAUAUCAAUUGGGGAAUUGGUGAAACCCCUACAUAAGAAAAUUCUUCAAAACUCAUAUUUUUUGCCACCUUUGCUAUUUCAUGAAAUCAUGUCUAUUUAUUUUUUAGGAAUUAUAUACAAGAUUUAUGUGAUAAUUGAUGAUUUCGUAUACUUUGAUCAUUUUUGCUAGGCUAAUUAUAUAACAAGCACGUUAGGAUUUCUUUAUUUUAUUAUUUAUUAUCUAACCCCUCAUGUCUUGUGAAAGCACGUUACAAGUUAUCUAUGCUAUCCAAGUACGUCCUCUAUCACCCACCUUCUAAAUUUUGUGAAUAUACCGGUCACUGUGAACUGCACUUAUGUUUGAUAGUGCUUGGGUGUUUUGAUAUUUGUUUCAUUGUUCGAUUAUUUUUUAUAAAGCGCAUGCUGGAUGAUAUAUUAUUUGAACUAACUUUGAUGUCUUGUGAGGGCGCUAAGAAGCAGUUUAGGUACACACCUUAAAUCUUCUUUAUAAUUAUGAUUUGUUUUUCUUAUUUGGCAUGCUAUUUUUGAAAUCACCUAGCUUACUUAGGUAUCCAUGAUCAACCAAUUAAUUGUCACAUUUCCCUCAACUUAGCCAGUAGAGAUCUUUUUAGGGCUUAGAGGAGUGUUACCUCUUAAAAGUACCUUCCCAAUGGUAACUUGAUUCUUGAACCAAGACUUGGGUUUUCGAGACAUGCUUUUCCAAAAUUGUGGAGUCACUUAUUUAGGGUUUUCUUUCUUGUUUUAUUUUCCCUUUAAAGUAAAAUAAAAUAAGGGGCGACUCCAGCUUUUCCAAAACUAAUUUUUCACCAAUAAAAGCGAGUCUCACUGAUUGAGUGGGAACGCACGUGAAAAAUGUGGGUCCACAGUAUAUAUGGGGCAACCUAAAGGAUUUAUUGUUAUAAGAUAAGAACACCAAGUUAGAGAUAGAUACAUUUAGCUAGGUUGGUUUUUAACCAAUCCAAGAAUCAAAUAGGAGUUCAUUGGUUUUAACUAAAGUACAACAAAUUUAUUUAUUUACUCAUACUAAUCCAACUUAAUAUCAAUUCGAUUCAGUUUAGUUAACUCAAUUUAGACAAAAUUAUUGAGUUUGUAUGUUUUUUUUCACUUCGACCAUACAACCAAAAUGAUCAAAUUGUUUUAGAUAUAUAUAUAUUUUACAAGUAAUACAAUUAAAAUUUUUUUAAAUAUGUGUGGGAGCAACCUAUGGGUUAUUUGCUUGUUGGGAGUAAGUCAAUGAGUUGUAUUAUUGACAUAUUGGGCACUUGUGACUUGAAAUUAUAUUAUCAUCAUUAUUAAGUCCCAAAGUACAAUGAUUUUAAAUUUUAGAUCAUGCUUAUGCCAUAAGCAACUUUUAAUUUGUAAUAAAGCCAUACGAGUUAGGCUCCAAGCCACUAACACCGAAUUGUAGCCCAACUAAGUUGGCUUUGGAUGAGCAUGGUUCGACUCAUAAAGUCCCAAGAUUCUCCACAACACUCCAAAAUCCAAGCAAUUAUAUUUGUCCCACUCCUCUACUACUUGGGUUUCUUUGCCAGUCCACUUUUGGUAAGUGAUCUAGGUUGAAUUUUCCAUAAGCCAAAUACCAAAAUAGAAUUACUCAAGUAAGAAGACUUCUAAAGAGAAUAGUCUAAAGAGCUACUACAAAAGAGAAUAGGAGAUGGUUAGAGUAAUGGUGGUGACUAUUGAAAGAGUCGAUGGUGGUGGGAAGCCAUAGCUACUGGUGAAGAGGAAGUUAGGUGAAUUGGAGACUCAGUGAAGAAGAUAAUGCGAACUUGAUAAAAUUUCCUCCAACUUUUCCUUUUCUCUCUUAUUUUUCCCGCUAAUUUUUAAGGAAAGUAGUAGGGAAAAUAUUACAAUAUUUUCUUUAGUAUUUUCCUUUAUAUUUUUUUUCCAUCAUAUUUUUCAUGUCACCCAAACUGAGGAAAAUAACUUUCCAUAAUAUUUUUUUUCCCUUUCCCUUGCAUUUUCUGAAAACUAAACACAACCUUUAUAAAUAAAAAAUUAAGAAUUACAGUAAGACGGUAUAUUCUUCCUUUUUCUUCCUGCAUUUCUACAUCCACUACUCUAUUUUACAUCAUAUUUUUACUCCCUUCUUCAAUCAGCAUUCCUCUCUUUAUAUAGAGUUAUCUUCACACUAAUUCAUAAGAUAAGAAAGAUGAAUGAACCUUGGGGCAAGGUUGGACAAUUGGUAGCAACGUGUCGACCUCUCUUUAGCAUGAAAAUGGCUAGAACGUGUUAAGCUCUCUUAUUAGAUGACGUGUCAACUAUAGGGCAAUCAUAGGAUGGGGAAUAUAUGGUAAUUAUGCAAAAAAAGAAAAAAAGAAAAAAAGAAAAAGAAAAAUCGAUAUCCAAUUAUAUAGAAAGACAUCUUCCAACAUUUGAUAUAAAUAAAAAUUAAGAGAAAAAUAUUUUUAAAAAACAUAUUAAACCUAAAAAUAGGGAAUUAAUAAUAAAAUAAAGUAAAAAGGUAAAAUUAAAACCAAAUAUUAAAAAUAAUGUUAUUCAGGUUAAAUCAUUGGGUUUGCUAGAGGAGUUUAUAUAUAUAUAUUAGUUUUUUUUCUUCUUUUUAAUCCUAUCUAUGUUGUUGAUAUUAAUGCAUUGAAUUUGAUGUUACCUAAAACAAAAUUAUAUUUCAUGUUCUCUAUUAUAAGUCGACAACCAUACCUUAUGUUAUAUUUUAGAUAAAGAACGAAUAAUGAAGAUUGGAGUUGUAAGAAAUUAGGAGAUCCUAAUUUUAAAUAUGUAACAAAGUUCUAUAAUCACUCCAAUCCACAUUUAAAAAUUGUAUUUCUUUCUAAUAUGGGAGCAAACUUUUUCCUUCUUUCUUAUAAUUUUCAUUUGGGAAUGAUUUAAAAAUAAAUAAAUAAAAGCCCUUCCCAAUAUUAAAAAAAACACUCUUAUAAAAAUUAAUUAGGUGGAUGGUAAGGUCAAAUUCGGGAUAGCUUCAUAUUUUUUGCUUUAAUUGAAACUUAAAAUCAAAAUUAAAGUAAUAAUUUUUAAGAUGUUGUAAAAGUUUUAUUAAACAUGAAAGAACUUAUUGUGUAAACAAAAAUAGAACUAUAGAAUUCUUAUAAGAAAUAACAAUUUUAUGAAUUCUAUAUGAAACCUUUUUUAAAAGUUAUAAGUUUUUUUAUAAAUAAUUAAAUAGGUAUAGAAACUUUUAUUCAACUUAAUUUUUUUUUAACGGUUAAAAGUCAAUCCAAAUAAAAUUUAAAUAUAUUUGAAAAUCAUUUUUAAAAAUCCAAAAAAUCACUUAAAAAUAAUUUCUGAACUUUUUUUUUUUUUAAUUUACAUUCAAAUACUAAGUGAUUCUUUUAAAAAUCAUUUAUAAUGUCAAAAUAUUUUUUUAUGGAUAAAAACACUAGAAAUAAAAAACAUUUUAAUUCAUGAAAUUUCAUUUAUUGUUAUUUAUUUUUUGGGAUUUAAUUCUUUACAAUUAUUUUUGAGUGUUUAUAAAGUAUAAUUAGGUUAUGCCCAAAUUUAUUCCUUUAACUCUAUCCAUUAGAUAUAAGUAGCGUGAAAUUUUGGCCUGUCUCCACCUUUCUUCACUUCUGACAUUGUCAUGCAGUGCUUCGUCAAUGGAUAAUAUAUUAAUUUAUUUCUUAAUUUAAUAGCAUUGGAGUGUCAGCUGGAAUAAAAUGAAAGUUCAAUCAUUUAAUCUUUUUUAGCACACCACUCAUAACUGUCAGUGAUUUCCUGCCAACUUAACAUAUUGACAUGGACUUGGAGAGUUCGGUCAAUUAAAGCAGCUUGGUUAAUUGUAAGUGUUUUUUCUCUAAACCAUAAAUUCCUACGUUUUAAUUUAUAAAAACAAGUGAUUUGUUUUUACUUAAGGAAGCAGGAAAGGGUUUAAAAUAAGAGUUGAAAAGUAUGCCAAUUAUUUUAACUUAAAAUACUUAAAUAAAAAGGAAUUGAUUUUAUCUCAAUUGUAUAAGACUUUAUAAAAAUUAUCAUUUAUAAUUUUUUUGAUUAUUAAUAUGAUACGUAACCUUUGACAGAAUUGGAAUAAAAUAUGGAUAAUUAAAAAAUGUCAACUAUCCCAUUUCAAACUUUUCUAAUACAGCAUGAUAUUUUAUCAUGUUGAAUGAAAUGGGAAUGACCAAAAAUUGUCAAAUCAAAGAUUUAUCUAUUGUGGACAUGGCAUUCAGAGGCUUCUUAACAUUGUAUUGGUCUAUUUAAUGAGUUGAAAUAAGAACACAACAUCAAAUUCUCUUUUUAUAAUCAAAGACUGCUAUGGAAAAUUCCACCAUAGCAUAUCUCAAAUUCCAUUAAUAAUCCCAAACACAAUAUUCCGCAACUUUACAUUAUUCUUUUUAUCAACUUUACACAAAAAAUUGAAGAGGAAUACUAACUUAAAUCAAACAGAAAUUAAAUCAUGAAAGAUGAAUAAUACAAAUAUUCAAUGAAAUCUUUGGCGUGUUAUUUCUUUGCAGCUUCAACAUGGUGGCAUGUCCGACGGAGGAGACAACAUUUGAGCUUCCGGGUGUUUACCAUUUUUCACUAUGAACGCAGUUUCCAUGCCCCAAGUCAGAUGGCGUUCUACAUGGCAGUGCAUGAACCACACUCCUGCAACAGAGAAAAUAUACCAACAUUACACCUAACUUUAUUGUAAUAUUAAGAAAAAAUAUUUCAUUGGUAUGGAGGUUGGCAGUUUCAAGGGUUUUUUUCUUUAAUAGAGGACAUGAGUGCUUGGAACAUACCAGGGUUGGAUGCCUCGAAUCUGAUUGCAACCCAACCAUUCGAAGGAACAGAGAUGGUAUUCUGAAAGGGAGGAUCCACCAGAUUAUAGCGCAAAGGGUCCUUAUUUCCAUCGAAAUUCCCAAAUCCCCAUCCAACAACAUAGAAACUGUAUCCAUGGAGAUGCAUGGGGUGGUGUGUCGCUGCAAGCACAUUUGUCCCUUGAAAAACAAUCUCCACUGUGGAGUUAUACUCGAGCACCCUUACUUCUGUUCCGCUGCUCGGCAACUGAUAGAUUAAUGGAAGAUAAUCAGCUGUAAAAUCGAACACCAGUGGUGGAUCACUAGGAAAUUUAUCUCCAUAUACACCACUGAUGUUAUAAUAGUAAGCUUGCAGUAUGUCAACUGUAGGGGUAUGGAAGCUUAUGUUGUUUAUACUUGAGGAGAAUCGCGUCCCAUUGGCCCCUGCACAUGAAUUAUUGACGCAUGGGUACGAGUUUACAGAAACAGUGUAAAUCAGGUUAGUGCUCGUGCUCAAUGGGACAUUGCAAGGAUGUUCCGCAUUUGCUAAGCUUCGGAGGCCGGCCAUGACCUGAACGGAUGCAUUUGUGUCAUUGUAAGCAGGAAGAUAAGGCAAGGAGGGAGGUGAAGAUGGAGUGUAGUAUCCGCUGUAUUGUACAAUAGCUGUGGUGGUUGUGUUAUCAUAAAAGUCUUGAUAUUUCGGGGCAACAGAAUAAGUUAUAGCCGCCAUGUAAUAGUGAUCCGGGCGUUGGUUAGCUUCUAGUAACACAUCAUAGGUUUGGCCAGGAAAUAUUGUGAUAAAAUCUAUUGUCAAUGGUUUCGUGUAGCUACCAUCUGUUCCAACCACUGUAAUUUUAUGCUUGUCAAUGGAGAAGAAGAGAGCCUCCUGCAAAGCAGCAUUGAUUAUGCGAAGUAGAUAGGUCUUUCCAUGAUCCACCGUUAGCUUGAAUGUGUCUGCAAUUAGAGAAGGAAAGUUGUAUACUUAUGACUAGCCAAAAGAAAAAGAAAAAGUUUCCAUGAGGAUCCACUAAUUAUGAAGUGAUUGAUUGAUGAGGGGUGUAAAUUUGGCUCCAUAGUUCAAAAUUAUAUUUGGACUAGCCUUUUUUUGUGUUUUAAAUCAUGGCUCUACCAUCCUCAUAGCUAUAUUCCUCUUUCUUAGCAUUAAGCUUUAAAUAUGUUGAUGUUAAUAAGAAAAAGUAAUAUGGCUAACAUAUAAGAAAAUGAAAUUGUGUACAAUUUUAAAAUGGGAAGUUAAACUUUGUACCUGAUUUUGAGCAUGGAUAUAGAUCACCGGGUUGUCCAUUUAUCAAUAAUGCAUCAGAGGGGUCAGGGUCACCUCCGGUUGCAAGCCCUUCAUCUCGAACCGCAUUCACAUCAUUCUUCCACCAUUCUCCUGCAUUUCAACAACUUCAAUAAUUUUAGAUUUUGCUUUGUUGGUUAAUUCAUAAUAUGUAAAUUAACCUUUAAAAGUAACAACACUUAUACCUAAUAUGAUAGGGACCUCUCUAUCAGGUUUGUGAAAAGGAUACUUGGUUCCAUUCUUGGGAUAGAUAAUUAUAGCUCCAUGAACAGUGGCUCGGGUCCAAUCACUGUGAGCAUGCCACCAUAGAGUGCCUUCUUCAGUGGAAAGGAUGAUCUUCUGUGUAAACUUUGACCCUGGCCGAAUUGGGCAUUGUGUGAUAUACUCGGGACCAUCUGUCCAUGGAUAUCUAGGCAUGGUCACCCCAUGCCUGCGAAACCAUAACUAUACGUUAAAACUAGUACUAAUUUUCAAAGUAACAAAAGAUGGCAUGCAACAACAUAUUAUCAUAAUAACAAGAGGCAUCAAUUNNNNNNNNNNNNNNNNNNNNNNNNNNNNNNNNNNNNNNNNNNNNNNNNNNNNNNNNNNNNNNNNNNNNNNNNNNNNNNNNNNNNNNNNNNNNNNNNNNNNNNNNNNNNNNNNNNNNNNNNNNNNNNNNNNNNNNNNNNNNNNNNNNNNNNNNNNNNNNNNNNNNNNNNNNNNNNNNNNNNNNNNNNNNNNNNNNNNNNNNNNNNNNNNNNNNNNNNNNNNNNNNNNNNNNNNNNNNNNNNNNNNNNNNNNNNNNNNNNNNNNNNNNNNNNNNNNNNNNNNNNNNNNNNNNNNNNNNNNNNNNNNNNNNNNNNNNNNNNNNNNNNNNNNNNNNNNNNNNNNNNNNNNNNNNNNNNNNNNNNNNNNNNNNNNNNNNNNNNNNNNNNNNNNNNNNNNNNNNNNNNNNNNNNNNNNNNNNNNNNNNNNNNNNNNNNNNNNNNNNNNNNNNNNNNNNNNNNNNNNNNNNNNNNNNNNNNNNNNNNNNNNNNNNNNNNNNNNNNNNNNNNNNNNNNNNNNNNNNNNNNNNNNNNNNNNNNNNNNNNNNNNNNNNNNNNNNNNNNNNNNNNNNNNNNNNNNNNNNNNNNNNNNNNNNNNNNNNNNNNNNNNNNNNNNNNNNNNNNNNNNNNNNNNNNNNNNNNNNNNNNNNNNNNNNNNNNNNNNNNNNNNNNNNNNNNNNNNNNNNNNNNNNNNNNNNNNNNNNNNNNNNNNNNNNNNNNNNNNNNNNNNNNNNNNNNNNNNNNNNNNNNNNNNNNNNNNNNNNNNNNNNNNNNNNNNNNNNNNNNNNNNAGGAGAGAAACCUGAAUUGGGAAUAGAAAUCUUGGUAAUUUAUUUGCCAGACUUUGCAUUUCCCUUAAUGUAGCUGCCACAAAGUUGCUGCUUUCAUUGUCAGACAGUCUGAAGCAAUUAGAAAAUGUGAAUCGGAGGCCCCCACAUUCCUUGGAUCUGUAGACACUUGAUGGACACAAAAUGUUUUCCAUAACUGUGCCAUCAUGGGCAUCUAUUUCUUCUAUACUUGAUGGAAGCUCUGGUAAUGAUUGAAGCCUCUUGCAACAACCCAACUUAAGGCCUUUGAGCUGUGAAAGUUGAUUGAGGCGUGCAGGUAGAGUAACAAAAUUGUUUCUGCUCAGAUCUAAAUAUUCCAAUGAGCACAGAGAGCUAAAGUCAUUGGGAAUUGCUCCUUCCAAUAUGUGGCAAUCACUUAGAUUUAACUUUCUUAGGGAUCUUAAACCAAAGAAAGAUGCAGUUGCCACACUAUUCUUAGAUUUAACUUUCUUAGGGAUCUUCAUAUUUAGUUUCAUAGGAAAGAUGUUUUCAAAGAAAUCUGCAUUCUUUGUUUCUAUUAUAGUAUUGACAUCUACCAGAUUAUUUUCUGACUUAGUAACAAGAAACCUAUAUGCCACACUAUUCUCAGCAUAGCCAAUGAACGUUGCAUCAAAGGUUUUAGGACCUAGUUUUCGUUUUUUAGGUUCGGGGAGAAGAACUUUAGCUAAACACCCCCACACUUUCAGGUAUGCUAUAUUAGGUGCAUAACCUUUCCACAACUCAUAAGGAGUUUUACUAGUUUUCUUGUAAGGUAUUCUAUUUUGAAUAUGACAUGCGGAUAGGAUAGCUUCCCCCCACAAGUUCAAGGGUGCUCCUGAACUUACUAACAUUGCAUUCAUAAUUUCUUUUAAGGUCUUAUUUUUCCUUUAUGCUAUUCCAUUAGACUCAGGGGAAUAAGGAGGAAUAAGGAGGAGUAGUUUCAUGAAUGAUCCCAUGAUCUUCACAAAAAGAAUUAAAGGGGUUGGACUCAUACUCUCCUCCUCUUUCAGUUCUAAGCCUUUUAAUUUUCUUACUUAGUUGAUUCUCCAUUUCAUUUUUGUACUUGAUGAAAGCAUCUCUUGCUUCAUCUUUGUUUCUCAAAAGAUAUACCCUUGUAUACCUUGAGUAGUCAUCUAUGAAAGUUAUGUAGAAUCGUUUACCACCUCUAGUCAUUGUAUUUUUUAGGUCUCCUAAGUCACUAUGUAUUAAACUUAGUAGAUCUGAUUCUCUUUCAACUGAUUUGCAAGAUUUCUUUGUGGUUUUAGAUUCUACACAAGAUCCACAUUUUCCAUGGUUUUCUAAGGACAGUUUAGGGAUUAAACUCAAUUCAACAAUUUUCUUCAUAUAUGAAAAGUUCACAUGUCCUAGUCUACCACAAGGAUUGAAAUAUUGGCAAAUACGGAUAUAUCGGUACUUGGAUUUUACGGAUAUAUCGGAAAUAUCAGAGAAAUAUCGGUUGAUAUUUUUCAUCAAAUAUCGGUGAGACAAAAAUUAUCCAAAAUUGAUGGGAAUGCUUAGAAAAAUCCAAAGAAUGAUAAAAUAAGCAAGAAUAUACAUGUUAAAGUUAUUUUAUAAGUGUAAUUGACAUAAAUAUGGUCAGAGAAAAAAAUAUCGGUAAACAGUUUACGAUACUUGGAUUUUAAGAAUUGAAAAUAUGAAAUUUGGAAUUGUACACUUGGAUAAAGUGAAGAUUGAUUUUCCACCAUUGGAUCACAAAUCUGACCGUUGGAGGCCUUUACAAAUACACGGGUGAAAUCUGGGCCAUCAGAUCCUCAAAAAUUCAAAAUUGGCCGUCAGAUCAAAAUCCUUGAAGUUGGAAAAAAUUGGCAAUAUAUAGGUAAAAUCCCUGAUUUUUUGGGCUCUUCCUCCGGCUUCUCCUCGCAUGCCUCCACUGGCGAUUUUUCGCCGAUUUAUCGGUGCUUCACCGAUAUUUCGCUGAUAUAUUGGCGAUUUUGCCGAUUUUUUACCGGUUUUUCCUUUGAUCGAUAAUCGGUGACGAUUAUUGUUUCGGUGCCGCCCGAUAUUCGAUAUUUCUCCGAAAUAUCGACGAUAUAUCCCGAUUUUUCAAUCCCUGGUCUACCAUGUCAAAUAUCAUAAGAAUCAACUAUGUAAGCAAAAGAAGAAGAUGUAUUAUUAUUGAUAAUAUCAUAAACAUUCAACAUAAAUAAACCCUGAUUACAAUAGCUCUUUCCCACAAAUGCAUCAUUCUUGGUUAAAACUAUUUUAUCAGAGUCAAACAAGAUCCUCACUCCUGCUUUUCCAAGUAGAGAUACCGACACCAAGUUCCAACGGAUAUCUGGCACAUGAAGAACAUCACGUAGGGCAAGCACUUUUCCAGAUGUUAGCUUGAGGAGAACUUUCCCUUUGCCAAUCACUGGAGUAGAUCUAGAAUCACCCAUGAACACUUGUUCCUCUCCUUUCUUUAUAGUGGUAUAGGAAGUAAAUGCAUUUCUAUUCCCACAGAUGUGCCUAUUAACCCCAAAGUCUACUACCCAUUCCUUCAUAUUGGUGACCAUGCUCACCUCAAAGGAGAUUACUGUUGUGAUCACCUCUGUCUCUGCCAGAUUUGCCUUUGAACUGGUCUUCUCAAUUCUCUUCCUAUGGCGACAUUGAGCUGCAUGGUGUCUAGACUUGCCACAGACAAAGCAAUUACCCCAUUUUUUAAUAAUUGAGUUUUGGACCUUGUUUAAUGCAUUGGGCUUUGUCCUAAAGUUUUGUUUCCUAAACCUAUUAUUUUUGGGUUUAGAUUUUUCUUCUACUACAUUAGCUUUAGAAGACAAUUCCUUAGUUUUCUCAAUAUUGUCCCUAUUUCGGUUUUGUUCCUCAAUCCUAAUAUGGAUUAUGACAUCCUCUAAGGACAUUUGUUUCCUUUUAUGUUUCAUUUUGUUUUUAUAGUCUUUCCAAGACUCCGGAAGAGCCUCUACUAAAUAACCAGCCACAAAAGGUUCGGGUAAUUUAAUGUCUUCAAUAGCUAAGUCAUUAAUCAACAAGUGGUAGUCAUGGAUUUGAGAUGAUACAACUCUAUCCUCACUCAUUUGGAAAUUUCUAAAAUUCCCUAUGGCAUAUUUAUGAGUUCCCGCAUCUUGCAAAAUAUAUUCUUUAUUCAUUGCAUCCCAAAUUUAUUUUGCAACUUUAAAUUGACAAUAAAUAUCAAAAAGUUCAUUAGAAAGUGUACUCAGAAUAGCAUGGCUAACUUGUUUAUUUCUAGUUUCCCAGGUUGGUAACAUAUGAGAACCAUCUUCUGGUUUUGGAUCAGUAAAAAUAUGUCCUAAGUUCACCACAUCAAUUGUAGAGAAAACCCUUUCCUGUCAUCUCUUAAAGAAUGUCCCAUUAAAUGGAUUAAUUUUAGAGGUGUCAGGAUGGGUGUGAAUUAGGGAAGCUUUCAUUUGAAUUUAUUUCAAGAUUGUUGGAUUUUAAGGGUAUGGAAACAAAGACUAGCCCAAAAGACACAAACAAAGAACAUCAUGAAUAAAAAAAAAAAACUUAUCGGCUGAGGCAUGACAAGCACUGUCCUUGAAAUAGAUCCACCCUCCUCAAAGACGAACUCGGUGCACUAUGUGAGAAAGGGUAUAAAUAAUGUGAGAUAAGGUACAAAAAAAUGUGAAAAAAAUGUACGAAUAAUGUGAGAAAAUGGUAUGCACAAUGUUAUAAAAUGGUAUGAACAAUGUGAAAAAAGAUACAAAUAAUAUGAGACAUGGUAUGAAUUAUGUGAGAGGGGAUACAAAUAAUGUGAGGGAAGGUACAAACACUAUGAGAAAGAGUACAAACAAAACAAGGAAAUGUACAAACAAUGUGAUAAAUGGUACGAAAAAUGUAAGACAUGGUAUGAAUAAUGUGAGAUAGGGUACAAAUAAUGUGAUAUAAUGUAUGAAGAAUGUGAGCAUGGGUAUGAAGAAUGUGAGAAAUUGUACGAAAAAUGUGGAAAAAAAAGUACGAACAAUGUGAGAAAUUAUACAAAACAAUGCAAGACAUAUGGUACAAAUAAUGUGAGAGAGAUGGUAUGAAAAAUUUGAAAUAUGAUACGAACAAUGUAAGGAAUGUUACAACCAAUAUGAGAAAGAAUACAAAGAAUAUGAGGAAGGAUACGAAGAAUGUGAGACAUAGUAUGAAAAAUCUGAGAAAGGGUACGAACAAUGUGAGAAAGAAUACAAAGAAUGUGAGAUAGGGUAUAAAUUGUAAAGAAGCCCAGAUCACUCUAUUCCAUAUCUUAGAAUUAGGUUAGAUGCAUGCAAAAACUUUCCUAGGUUUUUCUAAAUCCUAUGCAUAAUAAAAACAAACAUUUAAAAACUUUAGCAAGAUUUAAAAAUCAAAAGAGAAAAACUUUACAUUGAUUUGGAUAUUCUCAAAUCAAAUCCAUGUGGUGAAGUUGAAGCUUGAAGUAUUCAAAGGUCUCAAUGACUCAAACUCGAUAUUUGAACCCCAAAGGUGGGUUGGCUAUUGCUAUCUACAAAUUGGAUGAUAGAACACAACUAUCUUAAAAACCCUAACCUUUGAGAAGGUAUUUAUAGGGUUCCUUAAUUAGGCUUAAGUGACUUAAGCUUACCGUGGACUUAGGUCACUUAAUUUAGCUCAAAAUAUGUCUUAAUCAAUUAAUUACAUGACACUAUUAGGUUAAUUGAUUAAUUAACCUAAUACGGCCAAUCAAUUAACCUAAUAGGGCCAUGUAAUUAAUCAAUUAACCUAAUCUAGAGGUUUUAUUCACUUACCUUUGUGUAACCUUACAUAAUUACCAAAACAUUAUUAUGCACAAAAGUUAAUUAAGAGUUAACCUAACCCUUAUGAACCAUUCCACCAAGGUAUAUGAACUCGAGUGGGGACCCCACUAGGAACCAUAGGAUAAUACUGACACAUUCAUAAUCUAGUUUUGAAGUUAACUCAACAUUCCACUACAAAAAAUUAAUUGCACCACAAUAUCCUAUGUACAAUACAAUGAGACACCAAGUUCUCUAGAUCGUGACCUAUUAUCCACUAAUUGCACCACAAUAUCCUAUGUGCAUAUGAUCAAAUGACAUGCCCUACCUCACUAAGAGCAUACGUCAAAUUACUAAAGGAAUUACUAUGUCUCCACAAAUUUCAUGAUCACACGUCCUUAGGAUCACCCAAUGGAACACACUCUCUUAAAGUCCAUGAGAUAUCGUGGUGUCUCUAAUGAGAAUACCAAUUGUUAUCGGCUUCCAUCAAUAGUGACUUAAUCCAUAGGAAAUAUAUGAUCAACUUACGAUCUCACAAUAGGUCAAAACCUCUACUAACUUUAACUUAUAUAAGCUUAGUAUUCUCUUAAGGUUGAGAGACAAUACAAUAUAAUAGCUUGGUGAAGUCAUGACUACAUGAUAGUCUUAUGUCGUGACUCACCAUAGGUUCUGUUCAAUAUUGUGCAAACUUACACACUAGUGCACUCACCAUGGGAACCCCAUCCCAAUGGCCAAGACCAAUCAUUCCUCCUAUUAGAAGGUAGUGCACUACAACUUCUAAUGGGUUACCUAGGUUCAUGAACUAGCUAUGAACAAGUCAUCUAUUUGUAAUAAACCCAUGACUUGGAUCUUCUACGCAACUCCUAAUGCACUUAAGUCGCAUUUAAUCAAACCUAAAUGCUUACAAGGUAUAAUGAAUGUCAUGUCAUGUCAUGUCAUGCUUUUAAAGAUUUUAUCAUAACUUGAAUAAUGUGAGACAUGGUACGAACAAUGUAAGAGAGAGUACAAAUAAUAUAAGAAAGAGUACACACAAUGUUAGAAAGAGUAUGAACAAUGUGAGACAAGAUAUGAAGAAUGUGAGGGAGGGUAUGAACAAUGUGAAGGAGGGUACAAACAAUGUGAGACAAUACAUGAAGAAUGUGAGGAAUGAUACAAAGAAUGUGAUGAAUGGUACAAAGAAUGUGAGGCAAGGUAAGAAGAAUGUGAGAAAGCGUACGAACAAUAUGAGAAAGUGUAUGAACACUGUGAGACAAUGUAUGAAUAAUGUGAGAUAAUGCAUGAAUAAUGUAAGAUAGUGUACAAAACAAAGUGAGAAAGAAUACGAACAAUAUGAGAAAUUAUAUGAAAAAUAUGGAGGGUAUAAAGAAUAUGAGAUAUUAUAUAAAUAAUGUGAGAAAAUAUAUGAAAAAUAUGAGACAUAGUACGAAUAAUGUAGAAAUGGUACGAACAAUGUGAAAUAAGCUAUGAAGAAUGUGAGAAAUAGUACUCUUCAUAUCCUUUCUCACAUUAUUUAUACCCUCACUCAUGUACUUUUGUACAUAUUCUCACAUUCUUUGUACAUUAUCUCGCAUACAAUAGAUAUUGUUUUAUUAAAUACAAAAAUUUUUUAAAAAAUAUUGAAUUUUUAAAAAACCAAAUUGAUAACAUGUAUGGCUAAAUAAUGUAGUUCUCUAACUACUAUUUUUUUAUUAUUUUAUUUUAGUUUCUUCAUGGAUAUAAUGGACAAAGGCAAAGGAAAGAAAUUCAUCAUUGAUUUGAAUAAUGAAAACUUUGAUUAAUAAUAUGAUUGCAAUGUGAAAACGGAGUUUGACAAAAAGCCCAUGCUAGUUUAAGAGAAUAUUUUGUAUGGUUUAAGCCUUGAAGAUGUAUGGGAAAUGGAGUUCAACUCAAUAGAUGAGAUAGAAGAAUUUUACAAUUUAUACGUAAAGUUAACAAAUUCAAUGUUAGAAAGGAUGAUGUUAAAUGAGAUAAGAAUCAAAAUAUAGCAUCUCAUAUGUGGGUUUGCUCAAAGAAGGAUAAAGACAAACAAUAUGUUUGGAGAAUGAAAAUCGAAAACGAGAACAUAAGACAAUAACUAGAGUUGGUUGUGAGACAUCACUUCGUAUCGAGUUUAACAAACAAAUAAAUAAGUGCAUUAUGAUGGAGUUUAUGGGUGAUCAUAAUCAUCCUUUGGUGGAACCAAAAAUACCCAAUUCUUUCAAUCCCAAAGGGUCAUGAGGAAUGCAUAUAAGGCUUAAUUGAGUGCAAUGCGUAGUGUUUGCCUGAGAACUAGACAAUUUAUGGAUUACAUGGUGCAACAAUUAGAUGGAUAUAUUAAUGUGGGCUUCACAAAGAAAAAAAGAUCUAUAUAACCAUGUUAAUGUUGAUUGUAAAGUUCAGAUAAGAAAUGGUGAUACAAAGGGUACACUUUCUUACUUGUGUGGAAAGGUUUAAAUGGAUACAUCAUUUUAUUACAAGUACAAUGUUGAUAAAGACAAUCGCUUAACGAACUUGUUUUGGCCAAAUUCUACAAGAAUAUUGGAUUACACUUAUUUCAGAAAUGUGUUAGCAUUUAAUAGAACUUAUGAGACUAAUGCUAAUAGAAAACUAUUGGUCAUCUUAGUUGACAUUAACCAUCACAAUCAAAUUGUAGUGUUUAGAUGUGCAUUAUUGGUAGAUGAGAGUCUUUACACUUAUACAUAGGUUUUGGAGACAUUUUUGGAUGUAAUGAAUAAAAAGAGGUUUUUUUUUUUUUUUUUUUCUGUUAUUAUAGAUGAGGACAAAGCAAGGUGUCAAGCCAUUAAGAGAAUAUUUCUAAAGUUUUAUCAUUGGUUAUGUGCUUAUUAUAUUCAACGCAAGACAUUCAUUAAUGUCUAUGUCAAAGACUUUACUUAUCAUUUUUCUAGGUACAUGUUCAUGGAAGGCACCGUUAAUUUGAAUGUGCAUGGAGUGGCAUGGUGGAAAUGUGUAAUCUCCAUGAACAUAAUUGGGUGAUAGACAUAUAUGCUAAGUGUCCUAGAUGGGCAAAGGCUUAUUUAAAGGUGCAUUUUUUUGCAAGUUUGAAAGCGCACAAAGGUGUGAAAGGAUGAAUGCAUACUUGAAUAGUUUCCUUAAAACUCAUUUAAAGUUGUUUGAGUUUUUGAAGCAUUUUGAUUGAGCACUCUCAUGUAUUCAUCAUAAUGACGCAAAGGCAAAGUUUGAGAUGCACACUCUUUUACUUCUUCUAAACUCCAAACUCCAUGAAAUUGAGAAAUAUACAGAGAUUGUUUUCACUCGGAAAUCUUUUCUCAAAUUUAGGGAUGAAAUGAAUGCGAAACUUUUUUCCCUUAUUAGUACAAAAAAUCAUAGAGGUUAUCAUGUCCAUACAUUGACUAAAUUUAGAAGCUCUGACAAGUUCUCAAAAGUAUGUUAUGGUAAUUGUGAUUAGUCUAUGAAAUGUACUUGGAAAGGGAGACACAGGUUGGUGGUCUUUUGGGGGGAAUAGAAUAUAGAGAGGGAGACACCACUUUUUUGGAGAACGGAGGUCCACACAGGUUCAGAUUUUGGUGAGGCUUUCCCGGGAUUUUCGGAAGCAGAUUCAACAGAUUUUGGUGAAGGAGUUCUCUAGGCGGUUUUUUCUGUUGUUAAGUGGCAGCCGCAUGGACUGCAUGAGGAGGGUUGACGUCUCAUAGUUACCUUCUUUCCUCCAUUGAUAGUAGCCCACAAGGCCACCUUAAGUGGGCGACACAAUACGGCUGCCAUGCACGCAUGAGGCAGCCAUGACGCUGCCAUGUGGGAGAAGGUAGCAACCACUUCCGCAUUUUUUCUAUGUAUCUCCAGAAACUCCUUUGUACAGCCCACACACGGGCUAAUGAAGCAGAUUCGGCAUAUUUUUAGAGGGGGAAUCUUGAAACCACACAACAUCAAGAGACUUGGCCGGAAGUGUGAUGAUGGGUGUUUCCAAAGAAAAGUUAUAAUUCGCCCACUGUUGAAUAUGUUCAUAGAUGUGAAGGGUCCCACGAGCCUUGAAUUUGUCACUACAUGCAAAAUAUAUGCAGAAGUGAUUACAAAAGCAUGACCACCUUUUCCUGCAUGUGAAUGUGUUGAGCUCUAUGGUGCAAUUACUAAUGAAAUUCUCAAUUUGGUUGAUAAGUAUUUUGAGAUGCAAAAGCAUGAUGUUGUCUGGGCAUUGGAAAUUUAUCAGAAAGCAGGAGAGCCAUCAAGCAUUCACCCGACAAGCAAGAGAAACACAUAGGCCGCACCAUUCUCCAACAAGACACAACAACAUACAUUCUUGAAGGUAAGUCCCUUUUUAAAAUUUUAUUUUAGUUUAAUUUUAAUUUAUUUAGUUAGUUUAGAUGUUUUUUUUUUCAUAAUUAGUUUAAUUAAUUCUACAUUAUAAAGUUCUUAUUUUUCAUUCCGAUUUAGUUUAGUGUUGAUUUUUCUUUUAAUUUAAGUGUGUUUGUGCUUUUAAUUCAAUAGUUUAAUUAAUCUUAUUAGAUAAAGUUCAUAUAUAUAUAUAUAUAUAUAUUAUCCAAAUUAGUUUAGUUUUAAUCUAUCUUUUAGUUUAAGUGUGUUAGUAAUUUUAAUUCAGUAGUUUAAAUAAUCAUGUCAGAUAAAGUUCGUGUUUUUAAUUUUAAUUAGCUUCGUCUUAAUUUAUUCUUUAGUUUAGAUUUGUUGUUGAUUAUAAUUUAUUAGUUUAAUUAAUCUUAUUAGAUAAAGUCUAAUUUCAAUUUAGUUUAGUUUUAAUUUAUUCUAUAAUUUGAGUUUGUUUGCGAUUUUAAUUCAAUUGUUUAAUUAAACCUCCUAGGUAAAGAUCUUGUUUUUAAUUCCGAUUUAGUUUAGUUUUAAUUUACUUAUUUAUUUAUUUAUUUUAGUUUAGAUGUGUUUGUAAUUUUAAUUCGACAAUUUAAUCGAUCUUAUUAGAUAAAGUUGAUGUUUUUAAUUCUAAUUUAGUUUAAUUUUAAUUUAUUUUUUAGUUUAAAUGUGUUUGUGCGUUUAAUUGACCUUAUGCUAGCUCUUGAUUUGUUAUUCUCAAUUUAGGCGUUUUCUUGAAUCUUAGUCAUUAAUUCUUGGUGAAUAUCUCAUUAGUUUAUUUAAUCUAAGUUUUAAUCAUUUAUUAUUUCGGUAGUCUCUUGUCAAAUUUACUUUUCAGAUGCCAUCGGAAAAUAGUGAAGAUUGACCUCCAUUCUCACCACUUUAGUUUGUUUGGUUGUCAAAAAUUUUACUUUAUGAUUUUGUUUACUUUUAUUUUGCCUGUUUCUUAUGUUUUGAUUGUUUUCAAAUUAUUUUAUUUUAUUUUUAAAUAAAAUAUUUUUCUCAAAAGAUCCAUUUGAAAAUUCUAUUUUAAAAAUAAUUCAUUUAGAGUCCUUAGAAUCAGAAUAUCAUUUUUUAAUAAUAUGCAACCAUGUCUUGAUUGGUUUGCAUUUUUCUCAGUUUUCAAUAAAAAUUCUGGUUUUAAAUGGAAUAUGAAUCCAAGCUUGUGGUCCCAAACAAAUGGGAUAAUUCUGGGCUAGAUUUCUGUAUAUCAAUUAGGGAAUUGGUGAAACCCCUACAUAAGAAAAUUCUUCAAAACUCAUAUUUUUUGCCACCUUUGCUAUUUCAUGAAAUCAUGUCUAUUUAUUUUUUAGGAAUGAUAUACAAGAUUUAUGUGAUAAUUGAUUAUUUCGUAUACUUUGAUCAUUUUUGCUAGGCUAAUUAUAUAACAAGCACGUUAGGAUAUCUUUAUUUUAUUAUUUAUUAUCUAACCCCUCAUGUCUUGUGAAAGCACGUUACAAGUUAUCUAUGCUAUCCAAGUACGUCCUCUAUCACCCACCUUCUAAAUUUUGUGAAUAUACCGAUCACUGUGAACUGCACUUAUGUUUGAUAGUGUUUGGGUGUCUUGAUAUUUGUUUCAUUGUUCAAUUAUUUUUUAUAAAGCGCAUGCUAGAUGAUAUAUUAUUUGAACUAACUUUGAUGUCUUAUGAGGGCGCUAAGAAGCAGUUUAGGUACACACCCUAAAUCUUCUUUAUAAUUAUGAUUUGUUUUUCUUAUUUGGCAUGCUAUUUUUGAAAUCACCUAGCUUACUUAGGUAUCCAUGAUCAACCAAUUAAUUGUCACAUUUCCCUCAACUUAGCCAGUAGAGAUCUUUUUAGGGCUUAGAGGAGUGUUACCUCUUAAAAGUACCUUCCCAAUAGGUAACCUGAUUCUUGAACCAAGACUUGGGUUUUCGAGACAUGCUUUUCCAAAAUUGUGGAGUCACUUAUUUAUGGUUUUCUUUCUUGUUUUAUUUUCCCUUUAAAGUAAAAUAAAAUAAGGGGCGACUCCAGCUUUUCCAAAACUAAUUUUUCACCAAUAAAAGCGAGUCUCGCUGAUUGAGUGGGAACGCACGUGAAAAAUGUGGGUCCACAGUAUAUAUGGGGCAACCUAAAGGAUUUAUUGUUAUAAGAUAAGAACACCAAGUUAGAGAUAGAUACAUUUAGCUAGGUUGGUUUUUAACCAAUCCAAGAAUCAAAUAGGAGUUCAUUGGUUUUAACUAAAGUACAACAAAUUUAUUUAUUUACUCAUACUAAUCCAACUUAAUAUCAAUUCGAUUCAGUUUAGUUAACUCAAUUUAUACAAAAAUAUUGAGUUUGUAUGUUUUUUUUCACUUUGACCAUACAACCAAAAUGAUCAAAUUGUUUUAGAUAUAUAUAUAUUUUACAAGUAAUACAAUUAAAUUUUUUUAAAAUAUGUGUAGGAGCAACCUGUGGGUUAUUUGCUUGUUGGGAGUAAGUCAAUGAGUAGUAUUAUUGACAUAUUGGGCACUUGUGACUUGAAAUUAUAUUAUCAUCAUUAUUAAGUCCCAAAGUACAAUGAUUUUAAAUUUUAGAUCAUGCUUAUGCCAUAAGCAACUUUUAAUUUGUAAUAAAGCCAUACGAGUUAGGCUCCAAGCCACUAACACCGAAUUGUAGCCCAACUAAGUUGGCUUUGGAUGAGCAUGGUUCGACUCAUAAAGUCCCAAGAUUCUCCACAACACUUCAAAGUCCAAGCAAUUAUAUUUGUCCCACUCCUCUACUACUUGGGUUUCUUUGCCAGUCCACUUUUGGUAAGUGAUCUAGGUUGAAUUUUCCAUAAACCAAAUACCAAAAUAGAAUUACUCAAGUAAGAAGACUUCUAAAGAGAAUAGUCUAAAGAGCUACUACAAAAGAGAAUUGGAGAUGGUUAGAGUAAUGGUGGUGGCUAUUGAAAGGGUUGAUGGUGGUGGGAAGCCAUAGCUACUAGUGAAGAGGAAGUUAGGUGAAUUGGAGACUCAGUGAAGAAGAUAAUGCGAACUUGAUAAAAUUUCCUUCAACUUUUCCUUCUCUCUCUUAUUUCCCCCACUAAUUUUUAAGGAAAGUAGUAGGGAAAAUAUUACAAUAUUUUCUUUAGUAUUUUCCUUUAUAUUUUUUUUCCAUCAUAUUUUUCAUGUCACCCAAACUGAGGAAAAUAACUUUCCAUAAUAUUUUUUUUCCCUUUCCCUUGCAUUUUCUGAAAACUAAACACAACCUUUAUAAAUAAAAAAUUAAGAAUUACAGUAAGACGGUAUAUUCUUCCUUUUUCUUCCUGCAUUUCUACAUCCACUACUCAAUUUUACAUCAUAUUUUUACUCCCUUCUUCAAUCAGCAUUCCUCUCUUUAUAUAGAGUUAUCUUCACACUAAUUCAUAAGAUAAGAAAGAUGAAUGAACCUUGGGGCAAGGUUGGACAAUUGGUGGCAGCUAGUCAAGGCUAGAAGUCAACUUUUGCUUGACUUUUUGGGAAUGGGUAGCAACGUGUCGACCUCUCUUAAGCAUGAAAAUGGCUAGAACGUGUUAAGCUCUCUUAUUAGAUGACGUGUCAACUAUAGGGCAAUCAUAGGAUGGGGAAUAUAUGGUAAUUAUGCAAAAAAAGAAAAAAAGAAAAAAAGAAAAAAAAAAUCGAUAUCCAAUUAUAUAGAAAGACAUCUUCCAACAUUUGAUAUAAAUAAAAAUUAAGAGAAAAAUAUUUUUAAAAAGCAUAUUAAACUAAAAAUAGGGAAUUAAUAAUAAAAUAAAGUAAAAAGGUAAAAUUAAAACCAAAUAUUAAAAAUAAUAUUAUUUAGGUUAAAUCAUUGGGUUUGCUAGAAGAGUUUAUAUAUAUAUAUAUAUAUUAGUUUUUUUUCUUCUUUUUAAUCCUAUCUAUGUUGUUGAUAUUAAUGCAUUGAAUUUGAUGUUACCUAAAACAAAAUUAUAUUUCAUGUUCUCUAUUAUAAGUGGACAACCAUACCUUAUGUUAUAUUUUAGAUAAAGAACGAAUAAUGAAGAUUGGAGUUGUAAGAAAUUAGGAGAUCCUAAUUUUAAAUAUGUAACAAAGUUCUAUAAUCACUCCAAUCCACAUUUAAAAAUUGUAUUUCUUUCUAAUAUGGGAGCAAACUUUUUCCUUCUUUCUUAUAAUUUUCAUUUGGGAAUGAUUUAAAAAUAAAUAAAUAAAAGCCCUUCUCAAUAUUAAAAAAAACACUCUUAUAAAAAUUAAUUAGGUGGAUGGUAAGGUCAUAUUCGGGAUAGCUUCAUAUUUUUUGCUUUAAUUGAAACUUAAAAUCAAAAUUAAAGUAAUAAUUUUUAAGAUGUUGUAAAAGUUUUAUUAAACAUGAAAGAACUUAUUGUGUAAACAAAAAUAGAACUAUAGAAUUCUUAUAAGAAAUAACAAUUUUAUGAAUUCUAUAUGAAACCUUUUUUAAAAGUUAUAAGUUUUUUUAUAAAUAAUUAAAUAGGUAUAGAAACUUUUAUUCAACUUAAUUUUUUUUAACAGUUAAAAGUCAAUCCAAAUAAAAUUUAAAUAUAUUUGAAAAUCAUUUUUAAAAAUCCAAAAAAUCACUUAAAAAUAAUUUCUGAACUUUUUUUUUUUUUAAUUUACAUUCAAAUACUAAGUGAUUCUUUUAAAAAUCAUUUAUAAUGUCAAAAUAUUUUUUUAUGGAUAAAAACACUAGAAAUAAAAAACAUUUUAAUUCAUGAAAUUUCAUUUAUUGUUAUUUAUUUUUUGGGAUUUAAUUCUUUACAAUUAUUUUUGAGUGUUUAUAAAGUAUAAUUAGGUUAUGCCCAAAUUUAUUCCUUUAACUCUAUCCAUUAGAUAUAAGUAGCGUGAAAUUUUGGCCUGUCUCCACCUUUCUUCACUUCUGACAUUGUCAUGCAGUGCUUCGUCAAUGGAUAAUAUAUUAAUUUAUUUCUUAAUUUAAUAGCAUUGGAGUGUCAGCNNNNNNNNNNNNNNNNNNNNNNNNNNNNNNNNNNNNNNNNNNNNNNNNNNNNNNNNNNNNNNNNNNNNNNNNNNNNNNNNNNNNNNNNNNNNNNNNNNNNNNNNNNNNNNNNNNNNNNNNNNNNNNNNNNNNNNNNNNNNNNNNNNNNNNNNNNNNNNNNNNNNNGAGGACAUGAGUGCUUGGAACAUACCAGGGUUGGAUGCCUCGAAUCUGAUUGCAACCCAACCAUUCGAAGGAACAGAGAUGGUAUUCUGAAAGGGAGGAUCCACCAGAUUAUAGCGCAAAGGGUCCUUAUUUCCAUCGAAAUUCCCAAAUCCCCAUCCAACAACAUAGAAACUGUAUCCAUGGAGAUGCAUGGGGUGGUGUGUCGCUGCAAGCACAUUUGUCCCUUGAAAAACAAUCUCCACUGUGGAGUUAUACUCGAGCACCCUUACUUCUGUUCCGCUGCUCGGCAACUGAUAGAUUAAUGGAAGAUAAUCAGCUGUAAAAUCGAACACCAGUGGUGGAUCACUAGGAAAUUUAUCUCCAUAUACACCACUGAUGUUAUAAUAGUAAGCUUGCAGUAUGUCAACUGUAGGGGUAUGGAAGCUUAUGUUGUUUAUACUUGAGGAGAAUCGCGUCCCAUUGGCCCCUGCACAUGAAUUAUUGACGCAUGGGUACGAGUUUACAGAAACAGUGUAAAUCAGGUUAGUGCUCGUGCUCAAUGGGACAUUGCAAGGAUGUUCCGCAUUUGCUAAGCUUCGGAGGCCGGCCAUGACCUGAACGGAUGCAUUUGUGUCAUUGUAUGCAGGAAGAUAAGGCAAGGAGGGAGGUGAAGAUGGAGUGUAGUAUCCGUUGUAUUGUACAAUAGCUGUGGUGGUUGUGUUAUCAUAAAAGUCUUGAUAUUUCGGGGCAACAGAAUAAGUUAUAGCCGCCAUGUAAUAGUGAUCCGGGCGUUGGUUAGCUUCUAGUAAGACAUCAUAGGUUUGGCCAGGAAAUAUUGUGAUAAAAUCUCGUGUCAAUGGUUUCGUGUAGCUACCAUCUGUUCCAACCACUGUCAUUUUAUGCUUGUCAAUGGAGAAGAAGAGAGCCUCAUGCAAGGCAGCAUUGAUUAUGCGAAGUAGAUAGGUCUUUCCAUGAUCCACCGUUAGCUUGAAUGUGUCUGCAAUUAGAGAGGGAAAGUUGUAUACUUAUGACUAGCCAAAAGAAAAAGAAAAAGUUUCCAUGAGGAUCCACUAAUUAUGAAGGGAUUGAUUGAUGAGGGGUGUAAAUUUGGCUCCAUAGUUCAAAAUUAUAUUUGGACUAGCCUUUUUUUGUGUUUUAAAUCAUGGCUCUACCAUCCUCAUAGCUAUAUUCCUCUUUCUUAGCAUUAAGCUUUAAAUAUGUUGAUGUUAAUAAGAAAAAGUAAUAUGGCUAACAUAUAAGAAAAUGAAAUUGUGUACAAUUUUAAAAUGGGAAGUUAAACUUUGUACCUGAUUUUGAGCAUGGAUAUAGAUCACCGGGUUGUCCAUUUAUCAAUAAAGCAUCAGAGGGGUCGGGGUCACCUCCGGUUGCAAGCCCUUCAUCUCGAACCGCAUUCACAUCAUUCUUCCACCAUUCUCCUGCAUUUCAACAACUUCAAUAAUUUUAGAUUUUGCUUUGUUGGUUAAUUCAUAAUAUGUAAAUUAACCUUUAAAAGUAACAACACUUAUACCUAAUAUGAUAGGGACCUCUCUGUCAGGUUUGUGAAAAGGAUACUUGGUUCCAUUCUUGGGAUAGAUAAUUAUAGCUCCAUGAACAGUGGCUCGGGUCCAAUCACUGUGAGCAUGCCACCAUAGAGUGCCUUCUUCAGUGGAAAGGAUGAUCUUCUGUGUAAACUUUGACCCUGGCCGAAUUGGGCAUUGUGUGAUAUACUCGGGACCAUCUGUCCAUGGAUAUCUAGGCAUGGUCACCCCAUGCCUGCGAAACCAUAACUAUACGUUAAAACUAGUACUAAUUUUCAAAGUAACAAAAGAUGGCAUGCAACAACAUAUUAUCAUAGUAACAAGAGGCAUCAAUUGUAUUUCAAUGGAACUAAAGCAAAUAACCUUAAAGUAUUGUUUUAAAUUUGACUUUAUUUUCAAAGUUAUAUAUUGUAGCCCCCUCUUAGAUAUAAAAGAAUGUAUGUCAUGCAAGCAUGCUACCACUGCUCUUUCUUUGAGACACGCACAGGACCUACCAAUGAAUGGUGAUGUUUUCGUUUCCCUUGUUAUAAACGUCGACAAUGAUCGUCUCUCCUUUCGUAGCAUAUAUGGUUGGUCCCGGAAAUUUUCCAUUUACUGUUAAGAUGUUCUUGGUGCUACAAAGCCUUUUAUAUGAAGCUUCCCUCACCUGCAACCAAUUAAAAGUUAGCCAUGCAACCUCAUCCCAAAAGAAAUAUUACAUGCAUGAAUAGUUGUAUCGAUCCAUUCAUGUAAGUGUAUAACCAAUUAGAAAUUGAUAGCAUGCAUGAAUGACUCAACGACACCAAGGUAGUAGGUCAUAUGGUACGAAAUGAGAGCCAUACCACUCCCUAAAUAUCAUGAUUACAAGGUGGCGUUAAGGCCAGAAUCAUAUAUAGAAUUUACCACAAAAGUAAGCCGACGGGUCGAAGCUUGGCAAUGGAUUCCACCACCAAAAACUAGAAACGCUAAAAUUUGCAGGAGGAAAACCUUCAUGAUCAGCCACAUUUUCCUUGGAAUAAAAGCCUCUUCUCUUGUCCUAAACACAACUCCUUCAAUUCUCUUACUGCUUUUGAUGUAUUUCUUUCAUAUAUGGUUCAUUAUAUAGGCAUGGUAAUUCUCUCGGGAUACAAUACGUGUCAAUAUAAGAGGAAGUGAUUUGAAUGUGUAUUGGUUUUCAAUGUUCUUUCAGGACGACUUCAAUGAGCAGGACCACUUCAAAAAUAAUUAAUUACGUACACGUUAUUGAUUAUUUUAGAAUAUUCUUUCAAAAGUCUUUUAUUGAUUAUUUCAACAAAUUUUAAUUAAUUAAAUAUAUGUAGAAUAAUUUUAAAACUUUGACUUCCCGUAUGAGUACAAUUUGUCAUGAUCGUUGGUGUAGAUAUAAAAAGAGACUAAAUUAAAGGAUUUUGAAAAUGUGUCGACAAGAACAUCAUUGAAAAAUUUGAAGGUUCCAAUUUUGUGGGUCAUGCAAUUUAUUGGACACUGAAUGGAUAAACAAGCCACGCUCUCCACUUAUUUUCUUUCAAUAUAUAAGCCUUGUACGUGAUGUUGGUUGACUAUUAUGAUAGUAAAUUCGGGAGGAUGUUUAAAUGGACGGGCAAGAUAAGAAAUAGAUUUUCUAUUAAGAUAUUUGAAUGGAGAUGAAAGCAUGGGUAUAGGUUUGUACUAAGGAAAUGAACAUAUGAUUAAAAUAAACCUGAUACAGUUAGUCUAUAAGAAUGGAUCCUGUUUCUAACCUUUUAACACACAAAUUUGGAAACCUAAACCUAUGGAUUGUUUCUUUCCUAUAAUGGAAUCCUAUGUUCCUUCUCAAAGCAGCGCUGACUUUUCCCUUCCUACCAACUACAAAGAGAAAAUCUUGACUAAUCUCGAUAAAGGUUUAUUUUAUCUAUACAUGCGAGGUCAAAGUUUUAAAAGUAUUCUACAUAUAUUUUAAAUUUAUUCUAAAAUAAUGUGUUUGAUUAAUUUCUUGGUCAAUUCUCAAAGUCAAACUUGUAUUUUGAAUUGGAAAAUUCUAGAGAUUCUAAGAAACUCGUCUUCUACGAUACACAACCUGAUUGAAGCUGAGCUGUGAGAAAUUUUCACAAUUGUUAGCAUUCUUCAGGCAUUUGGUUUAUUUAAAUUUUGGUAAUAGUCAUAUGAUAGUAAAUUCGGGAGGAUGCUUGCAUGCAUGGGCAUCAUGAUUUUUUUUGAGAUGUUUAAAUGGACGUGAAAGAUAAGAAAUAGAUUUUCUAUUAAGAUAUUUGAAUGGAGAUGAAAGCAUGGGUAUAGGUUUGUACUAAGGAAAUGAACAUAUGAUUAAAAUAAACCUGAUACAGUUAGUCUAUAAGAAUGGAUCCUGUUUCUAACCUUUUAACACACAAAUUUGGAAACCUAAACCUAUGGAUUGUUUCUUUCCUAUAAUGGAAUCCUAUAUUCCUUCUCAAAGCAGCGCUAAACCUAAACCUGAUACAGUUAAUCCUAUAUUUAAAAUACAAGUUUGACUUUGAGAAUUGACCAAGAAAUUAAUCAAACGCAUUAUUUUAGAAUAAAUUUAAAAUAUCCUUUCACAAGUCUUUUAUUGAUUAUUUCAACAAAUGUUAAUUAAUUAAAUAUAUGUAGGAUAUUUUUAAAACUUUGACCUCCCGUAUGAGUACCCUUCUGAAAAGUCGGGAGGAUGUUGGUUGACUAUUAUGAUAGUAAAUUCGGGAGGAUGCUUGCAUGUAACAAUUUUAUUUUAUUUUAUUUUAAAAUUUAUUCUAAAACCAUAGGUUUAGGUUUCCAAAUUUGUGUGUUAAAAGGUUAGAAACAGGAUCCAUUCUUAUAGACUAACUGUAUCAGGUUUAUUUUAAUCAUAUCUUCAUUUCCUAAGUACAAACCUAUACCCAUGCUUUCAUCUCCAUUCAAAUAUCUUAAUAGAAAAUCUAUUUCUUAUCUUUCACGUCCAUUUAAACAUCCUCCCGAAUUUACUAUCAUAAUAGUCAACCAACAUCACGUACAAGGCUUAUAUAUUGAAAGAAAAUAAGUGGAGAGCGUGGCUUGUUUAUCCAUUCAGUGUCCAAUAAAUUGCAUGACCCACAAAAUUGGAACCUUCAAAUUUUUCAAUGAUGUUCUUGUCGACACAUUUUCAAAAUCCUUUAAUUUAGUCUCUUUUUAUAUCUACACCAACGAUCAUGACAAAUUGUACUCAUACGGGAAGUCAAAGUUUUAAAAUUAUUCUACAUAUAUUUAAUUAAUUAAAAUUUGUUGAAAUAAUCAAUAAAAGACCUUUGAAAGAAUAUUCUAAAAUAAUCAAUAACGUGUAGGUAAAUAAUCAAGAACAUCUUAACAGUAAAUGGAAAAUUUCCGGGACCAACCAUAUAUGCUACGAAAGGAGAGACGAUCAUUGUCGACGUUUAUAACAAGGGAAACGAAAACAUCACCAUUCACUGGUAGGUCCUAUGCGUGUCUCAAAGAAAGAGCAGUGGUAGCAUGCUUGCAUGACAUACAUUCUUUUAUAUCUAAGAGGGGGCUACAAUAUAUUACUUUGAAAAUAAAGUCAAAUUUAAAACAAUACUCUAAGGUUAUUUGCUUUAGUUCCAUUGAAAUACAAUUGAUGCCUCUUGUUACUAUGAUAAUAUGUUGUUGCAUGCCAUUAUAGGAUUCCAUUAUAGGAAUAUAGUUAUGGUUUAGGUUUCCAAAUUUGUGUGUUAAAAGGUUAGAAACAGGAUCCAUUCUUAUAGACUAACUGUAUCAGGUUUAUUUUAAUCAUAUGUUCAUUUCCUUAGUACAAACCUAUACCCAUGCUUUCAUCUCCAUUCAAAUAUCUUAAUAGAAAAUCUAUUUCUUAUCUUGCCCGUCCAUUUAAACAUCCUCCCGAAUUUACUAUCAUAAUAGUCAACCAACAUCACGUACAAGGCUUAUAUAUUGAAAGAAAAUAAGUGGAGAGCGUGGCUUGUUUAUCCAUUCAGUGUCCAAUAAAUUGCAUGACCCACAAAAUUGGAACCUUCAAAUUUUUCAAUGAUGUUCUUGUCGACACAUUUUCAAAAUCCUUUAAUUUAGUCUCUUUUUAUAUCUACACCAACGAUCAUGACAAAUUGUACUCAUACGGGAAGUCAAAGUUUUAAAAUUAUUCUACAUAUAUUUAAUUAAUUAAAAUUUGUUGAAAUAAUCAAUAAAAGACUUUUGAAAGAAUAUUCUAAAAUAAUCAAUAACGUGUAGGUAAAUAAUCAAGAACAUCUUAACAGUAAAUGGAAAAUUUCCGGGACCAACCAUAUAUGCUACGAAAGGAGAGACGAUCAUUGUCGACGUUUAUAACAAGGGAAACGAAAACAUCACCAUUCACUGGUAGGUCCUAUGCGUGUCUCAAAGAAAGAGCAGUGGUAGCAUGCUUGCAUGACAUACAUUCUUUUAUAUCUAAGAGGGGGCUACAAUAUAUUACUUUGAAAAUAAAGUCAAAUUUAAAACAAUACUCUAAGGUUAUUUGCUUUAGUUCCAUUGAAAUACAAUUGAUGCCUCUUGUUACUAUGAUAAUAUGUUGUUGCAUGCCAUUAUAGGAUUCCAUUAUAGGAAUAUAGUUAUGGUUUAGGUUUCCAAAUUUGUGUGUUAAAAGGUUAGAAACAGGAUCCAUUCUUAUAGACUAACUGUAUCAGGUUUAUUUUAAUCAUAUGUUCAUUUCCUUAGUACAAACCUAUACCCAUGCUUUCAUCUCCAUUCAAAUAUCUUAAUAGAAAAUCUAUUUCUUAUCUUGCCCGUCCAUUUAAACAUCCUCCCGAAUUUACUAUCAUAAUAGUCAACCAACAUCACGUACAAGGCUUAUAUAUUGAAAGAAAAUAAGUGGAGAGCGUGGCUUGUUUAUCCAUUCAGUGUCCAAUAAAUUGCAUGACCCACAAAAUUGGAACCUUCAAAUUUUUCAAUGAUGUUCUUGUCGACACAUUUUCAAAAUCCUUUAAUUUAGUCUCUUUUUAUAUCUACACCAACGAUCAUGACAAAUUGUACUCAUACGGGAAGUCAAAGUUUUAAAAUUAUUCUACAUAUAUUUAAUUAAUUAACAUUUGUUGAAAUAAUCAAUAAAAGACUUGUGAAAGGAUAUUUUAAAUUUAUUCUAAAAUAAUGCGUUUGAUUAAUUUCUUGGUCAAUUCUCAAAGUCAAACUUGUAUUUUGAAUUAGAAAGUUCAAGAGAUUCUAAGAAAGUCGUCUUCUACGAUACACAACCUGAUUGAAGCUGAGCUGUGAGAAAUUUUCACAAUUCUUAGCAUUCUUCAGGCUUUUGGUUUAUUCAAAUUUUGGUAAGUAAUCAAAUAUCAUACACAACUUGAAGUGGUCCUGCACAUUGAAGUGGUCCUGGAAGAACAUUCAAAACUGCACAUUGAAGUGGUCCUGGAAGAACAUUCAAAACCAAUACACAUUCAAAUUACUUGGCUUAUAUUGAUACGCGUCGAGGAAUUGUUGAUACCCAAGCCACAUGUGAUCUGAUUUAAUGAAUCUCUGCCCUUCAUCCGAAGAAUUCUGGUGUUCUGGAUUGAUGGGAGCAAAAAGGUGACCAGUUUUACCUUGAGUCAAAUUCAAAUGACAAAAUAUAUUACCAGGGCAAUCAUGGACACCACCCUUAACUACAAAAAUAGCGCACACAGCCAAUCCCAUCAACCUAGUAUACACCAAUUUGGAGGCAGAUGUACCAUAUUACUGUGGAGUCUAUACUCUGUUGGCUGAACCACUCAAGAAUUCAACUUCCAGGAACAAAAGUACUGGAUUCAAUAUGUGGAGUAUAUGGCACCAUCUGGGUCAUGAAAAUCAAUGUCAAGUUAUAUGGAAAUAAUGUAGGAGUAGUGCUCAAAGGAGUAUAAGAAUUAUUCCAUAGGAUUUAAUUGAUUUACUUUUACAAUAUGAUCAAGAGAGAGAGGAGAGAAACCUGAAUUGGGAAUUGAAAUCUUGGUAAUUUAUUUGCCAGACUUUGCAUUUCCCUUAAUGUAGCUGCCACAAAGUUGCUGCUUUCAUUCUCAGACAGUCUGAAGCAAUUAGAAAAUGUGAAUCGGAGGCCCCCACAUUCCUUGGAUCUGUAGACACUUGAUGGACACAAAAUGUUUUCCAUAACUGUGCCAUCAUGGGCAUCUAUUUCUUCUAUACUUGAUGGAAGCUCUGGUAAUGAUUGAAGCCUCUUGCAACAACCCAGCCUAAGGCCUUUGAGCUGUGAAAGUUGAUUGAGACGUGCAGGUAGGGUAACAAAAUUGUUUCUGCUCAGAUCUAAAUAUUCCAAUGAGCACAGAGAGCUAAAGUCAUUGGGAAUUGCUCCUUCCAAUAUGUGGCAAUCACUUAGAUUUAACUUUCUUAGGGAUCUUAAACCAAAGAAAGAUGCAGUUGCCACACUAUUCUUAGAUUUAACUUUCUUAGGGAUCUUCAUAUUUAGUUUCAUAGGAAAGAUGUUUUCAAAGAAAUCUGCAUUCUUUGUUUCUAUUAUAGUAUUGACAUCUACCAGAUUAUUUUCUGACUUAGUAACAAGAAACCUAUAUGCCACACUAUUCUUAGCAUAGCCAAUGAACAUUGCAUCAAAGGUUUUAGGACCUAGUUUUCGUUUUUUAGGUUCGGGGAGAAGAACUUUAGCUAAACACCCCCACACUUUCAGGUAUGCUAUAUUAGGUGCAUAACCUUUCCACAACUCAUAAGGAGUUUUACUAGUUUUCUUGUAAGGUAUUCUAUUUUGAAUAUGGCAGGCGGAUAGGAUAGCUUCCCCCCACAAGUUCAAGGGUGCUCCUGAACUUACUAACAUUGCAUUCAUAAUUUCUUUUAAGGUCUUAUUUUUCCUUUAUGCUAUUCCAUUAGACUCAGGGGAAUAAGGAGGAAUAAGGAGGAGUAGUUUCAUGAAUGAUCCCAUGAUCUUCACAAAAAGAAUUAAAGGGGUUGGACUCAUACUCUCCUCCUCUUUCAGUUCUAAGCCUUUUAAUUUUCUUACUUAGUUGAUUUUCCAUUUCAUUUUUGUACUUGAUGAAAGCAUCUCUUGCUUCAUCUUUGUUUCUCAAAAGAUAUACCCUUGUAUACCUUGAGUAGUCAUCUAUGAAAGUUAUGUAGAAUUGUUUACCACCUCUAGUCAUUGUAUUUUUUAGGUCUCCUAAGUCACUAUGUAUUAAACUUAGUAGAUCUGAUUCUCUUUCAACUGAUUUGCAAGAUUUCUUUGUGGUUUUAGAUUCUACACAAGAUUCACAUUUUCCAUGGUUUUCUAAGGACAGAUUAGGGAUUAAACUCAAUUCAACCAUUUUCUUCAUAUAUGAAAAGUUCACAUGUCCUAGUCUACCAUGCCAAAUAUCACAAGAAUCAACUAUGUAAGCAAAAGAAGAAGAUGUAUUAUUAUUGAUAAUAUCAUAAACAUUCAACAUAAAUAAACCCUGAUUACAAUAGCUCUUUCCCACAAAUGCAUCAUUCUUGGUUAAAACUAUUUUAUCAUAGUCAAACAAGAUCCUCACUCCUGCUUUUCCAAGUAGAGAUACCGACACCAAGUUCCAACGGAUAUCUGGCACAUGAAGAACAUCACAUAGGGCAAGCACUUUUCCAGAUGUUAGCUUGAGGAGAACUUUCCCUUUGCCAAUCACUGGAGUAGAUCUAGAAUCACCCAUGAACACUUGGUCCUCUCCUUUCUUUAUAGUGGUAUAGGAAGUAAAUGCAUUUCUAUUCCCACAGAUGUGCCUAUUAACCCCAAAGUCUACCACCCAUUCCUUCAUAUUGGUGACCAUGCUCACCUCAGAGGAGAUUACUGUUGUGAUCACCUCUGUCUCUGCCAGAUUUGCCUUUGAACUGGUCUUCUCAAUUCUCUUCCUAUGGCGACAUUGAGUUGCAUGGUGUCUAGACUUGCCACAGACAAAGCAAUUACCGCGUUUUUUAAUAAUUAGAUUUUGGACCUUAUUUAAUGCAUUGGGCUUGGUCCUAAAGUUUUGUUUCCUGAACCUAUUAUUUUUGGGUUUAGAUUUUUCUUCUACUACAUUAGCUUUAGAAGACAAUUCCUUAGCUUUCUCAAUAUUGUCCCUAUUUCGGUUUUGUUCCUCAAUCCUAAUAUGGAUUAUGACAUCCUCUAAGGACAUUUGUUUCCUUUUAUGUUUCAUGUUGUUUUUAUAGUCUUUCCAAGACUCCGGAAGAGCCUCUACUAAAUAACCAGCCACAAAAGGUUCGGGUAAUUUAAUGUCUUCAAUAGCUAAGUCAUUAAUCAACAAGUGGUAGUCAUGGAUUUGAGAUGAGACAACUCUAUCCUCACUCAUUUGGAAAUUUAUAAAAUUCCCUAUGGCAUAUUUAUGAGUUCCCGCAUCUUGCAAAAUAUAUUUUUUAUUCAUUGCAUCCCAAAUUUAUUUUGCAACUUUAAAUUGACAAUAAAUAUCAAAAAGUUCAUUAGAAAGUGUACUCAGAAUAGCAUGGCUAACUUGUUUAUUUCCAGUUUCCCAGGUUGGUAACAUAUGAGAACCAUCUUCUGGUUUUGGAUCAGUCAAAAUAUGUCCUAAGUUCACCACAUCAAUUGUAGAGAAAACCCUUUCCUGCCAUCUCUUAAAGAAUGUCCCAUUAAAUGGAUUAAUUUUAGAGGUGUCAGGAUGGGUGUGAAUUAGGGAAGCUUUCAUUUGAAUUUAUUUCAAGAUUGUUGGAUUUUAAGGGUAUGGAAACAAAGACUAGCCCAAAAGACACAAACAAAGAACAUAAUGAAUAAAAAAAAAAAACUUAUCGGCUGAGGCAUGACAAGCACUGUCCUUGAAAUAGAUCCACCCUCCUCGAAGACGAACUCGGUGCACUAUGUGAGAAAGGGUAUAAAUAAUGUGAGAUAAGGUACAAAAAAAUGUGAAAAAAUGUACGAAUAAUGUGAGAAAAUGGUAUGCACAAUGUUAUAAAAUGGUAUGAACAAUGUGAAAAAAGAUACAAAUAAUAUGAGACAUGGUAUGAAUUAUGUGAGAGGGGAUACAAAUAAUGUGAGGGAAGGUACAAACACUAUGAGAAAGAGUACAAACAAAACAAGGAAAUGUACGAACAAUGUGAUAAAUGGUAGGAAAAAUGUAAGACAUGGUAUGAACAAUGUAAGAAAAAUAAAAAAUAGAUAAGAUUAAUAAAUUAUUUUUUCAUUAAUAUAAAUUAAAUAAUUAAAAUACCUAAGUUUUUCAAAAAUUUUAAUCAUGGUAGUGGGCCUUUGAUCAACCAAAGAUAGCCCAUGUAUCAUUUUCCAAAGUGAAGCACAACAACCUUAUAACAGUGAUGUCACAUAGCAAUUCAUUAUUCAUUAUUUUGUUUUCCCUUUUCAAUGUGGAUUUUCUUAAAGCUAUUAAAAAAACACACAAAAUCAAGAUUUGAGCAUGGGUCUUUCACAAUAUCUUUUAUAUACUAAUAAUUAUAAAUUAAUUAAAAUGAAAUUAUUAUAAAUAAGUUAAUUUUAAUUAUCUUAUUAUGUCUCAUAUAAAGUGAUUAGAUAUAGGAUAAAUAUAAAUUUAUAAAUAAAAUUAUUAACAUUUUCAAAUAAAAAAUAUAAAUAUAUAUCAAUUUUUUUUAUAUCCUUUAGUAUAUCUAAACUUAAUGCAUUAUCAUUUUAGUAUUAAUAUUUCCCAAUUCGGUAUAUUAUUGUCUGAGAUUACAAAUUUAUUAUACAUUUAUCAAUUUUUCUUAAAACAAUAUCAUUAUAUACAUUAUUACUUUUCUAUCAUUUUUUGAGUUAUUUCCAACAUUUCAUAAGGUUUUAUCAAUUUCCAUCUUAUAUAUAUAUAUAUAUAUAUUUCAGAAUUUUCAUUGAUAUUUCUUUAUAUAUCUAUAAACUCCAACUAAUGAUAUAUCGGUAAAAAUCAAUAUUUUUAUUCUUACUUAACAUAAGAAAGAAAAUUAUUCAAAUGGUGCAUAAAUUAAUGUGACCUCCUGAUGAGAAUGACAAUGACAACCAUGAGUCAUAAUUAGUGUAUGUGUGUGGUAAAUUAACUUAGUGUUUGAUAAAAUAAUUAUUUAUCAUCAUUUAAAAUUUAAAAAUAAAUUUAAAUGUUAAAUCAAAAUAAUUAACUUAUUCUAAAUACUAAUUUUUUUUAUUCUCUUUGUUCAUAUUUGGUGAUAACCAUGCUUUAUUUUUAGAAUUCUUUUUUUUUUUAGUAAAUAUUUUGUAGUUAUUUUGUAGCUUCACAAUAGUACUUUUUAAUAUAAAUGUUUAACAAGCUUGAGUUUAUGAAGAUAAAUAUUAAGAAAAAUUAAUGAGUUUAAAUAUAUCAAUAUAAUAACUUUUAAAAAAUUAAGUUGAUUUUACCAAAAUAAAAAUAAAAAUAAUUCAUCUUAAAAUUAAUUUCAAUAAUUAAGUAAUAAGGAUUAAGUUUUAUCAUACACUCUCUUAAUUAAUAAAUGACAUAACUUCUUUCAACAACUUCUUCGUUCUACUUUUGAAAAAAAAUAAUAAUAAUGUGAUAUUUAUUUAUUUAUGUCUAAAAUUUAAAUAUACUUGAAUUUGACUUAAAUCUAAAUAUAGCUUAAUAUUAUUAAGUGUUCAGACUAUUUUUUUUUAUUUGUGUCUAAAUAUUAUUAACUGUUAAAUUGUUUCUUUUUAUUAAUAUCAAAAUAUGUGAAGUGUUAAAUUUAUUUAUUUUUGGUUAAAAACAUUUAUAAAAGUAAUUGUUAUAUUUCUUCUUAUUUUAAUUUGAAAAGUUAUAAUUUAACAAAAUAGUAAUUUAAUUAACACAUCUAAAAAAUAUUAUAAUACAUUGUCAAAGUAAAAAUUUUAUAAUGAUAAUUAUGUAAUUAGUAAAUUAUAUUAUUGUACAAUCCAUUGUUCCAUGUCGUAUAAUAUAGAAUAGCUAUGCAUACCCAUCAGUGCAUAGACAUAUAUCUUUUGAUAAUCUAUCAUGAAUGUCACCUGGACUCUAAGUGAAGUAUGUAGCUAUUAUACUAUAAAGAUGGCAUAGGAAGAGGCUCCGGGUUUACUAGUUCUCACUCAACCAUAGAAAUAGGGAAUAUAUUGCACAUUAUUUUCAUCUAAAAGAAAGGUAGAAAGACCUUAGAAAUGGAACUUUUAGAUAAAACCUAAGGGUGGCAAUGAGAUGAGUCUAAGAAGGAUCACCUCAAUCUCAAUCUUAUGCCAUUUAUUUAUAUUAAAUGGGGUGAGAUAAGACAAAAUUAUAUUCGAACCUGUCUUGAAUUUGGUUCGAGGGCAAGAAGGGUCUUUACAAAAAUCAGCCUCAUUGUCAUUCUUAGGUACGCAUCUAUACCAAUGAAAGUUUUUACAUCUAUUAAAAAAUUUAAUGUUCCCGAUGUUAAUUAACUUCACCAGACUACAUACACUUCAUAAUCGUGAAAAAGUGUUAAAAUUCUCAACCAAUCAAUGACAUAAACUACAAUCAAGUUUAGUACAUCGUAACCCUAAAAUACCUCCAAACCCCAUUUCUUGUAAGACCCCCUUCUGAUUAGGUUGCAAAUGUUGAAGUGCAUUAUACAACUAAUUAGGCGAACAACAAGUGUCAAGGUAAGACUGCAAGCCAUACAUAUACAUAUGCAUAUAAAUUCGAAAUUGAAAGAAAAUAUUAUCAAAUUUUAAAAAGAUAAAUUUCAAUUUUUUUUUUGUCUUUGAUACAUUUUUUGAGCUUGUACCAUUUUGUUUUACAUAUUCAUUGGAGUAUUUCUUCAUCAUGGGUCUUCAUCCAUUAGGGCACCAAGGAGAGCAAGUUCAUUGGCACGUGCUUUAAUGGUAUGUAGGAAGGUAGUGAUGCUUUGCAAACCCUUGGUGUGAUUCUUAAGGUGGUUGUUGACUUGUUUAAUGUAGACAUGUGAUAGUUUGACAUAGGUAUUGGUGAAGAUGAUCUAUGCUUCACGAAAGGUUGUGGCACAGGCAAUGAAUGGAAUUAUGGUGGGUGAAACGGAGCCAAUAAGUGCAUUUAGGAUCAAUUGAUCUUGAUGAAGCAAGAAUAGGUUGGGUUGGGUAUUACAGUGUCGUUGGCAUAGUGGUGGGUGGACAAGGUUUGGUUCUAUCAAUAUAGCUAAGGCGGUCAAAGCCAAUAAAUAGUGUUUGGAAUUGAAAUCUUUAUGAUAUAUAGUUGGUAGUGGUUAGUUUAAGUGGGGCUCGAGCAAAAACAUUUAUUGAGAUGAGUAUUUGGUGUGACUCAUGGGUGUUGUGAAUAUUGAGAGUAGAAGUUACAGAAGUGGUGACAUCUUAGGUGGCCAUGAGGCUAUGAUGAUGGGGAGGAGCAUUAGAUGGCUUUGGCAUAGAAAAAGAGGUAAGAAGGAAGAACAAGUGGUGGUGAGGGUUUUCAGGUUAAGAAGCUUGAAUGCUCUGAUGUCAUAUUGAAGAAUGAGAUUGGUAAAUUAUUUUUCUAGGUUGAUUCUAUGUUGCUUAUAUGCAUGAUUCACCAAGGGUUUCUGACAAGCAUUAGCUAAGGGUGGCUGAACCCAAUGACAGACCAGAUGAAGGAUUAAUAAUAUAUUGCACUCCAGCAGUUCAACCAAUUCCCUUCGUUUCCUUAAUGACUUCUUUUGGUGACCUAUCAAUUUCUCUCUUGGAAAGUCUAGUAAUGGGUUGCCAAUUACCUAAAAGUUACUUCUGAGGUUUUGUUUUGUUGAUUCUAUGCUAACUGAUAAUCUGCAGAGGAAACAACUUGUUCGUCUGGAGAAGGUCUUGAAGCAUGCACUGUGAUGAAUUUGACCAGAAGAGUAAACUCAUCAAGUCCAUAUUAAGUCAUCAGGUUCCAGUAGAGCUAUUUCAAAAACUUCUUUAAUGCAUUAGCAUUUAAAAAUUGAAACAAUAAAAUAACAUAUAUUAUUGAUACUAUCAUUUAAAACAAGAAAUAUAUUGUUGAUAAUGGCAUUUAAAACAAUAAAAUAGUGCAUUAGACCUGCAUUCAAAUCUUCAAUUCUCAAACACCACCAACCCACCCAUGAAUAGAGAAAGAGAAGAGAACCCUAGCAAAAGUAGAGAGGUUCGAUUCUCAAAUCUUCAAUUUUCUUUUUAUGUGUUCAAGUCAUUUUUAUUUGUUAAAUGAUUCCAGCUACUACUUGGGUCUAGUAUUUCCUUGGUGUAUAUAUCAUGCACUUCUCAGUAGAAUGCCCAUAGACAUGGAGAAACAAUUUUUUAUUUAUUUGCAAUGCCUAAUAUAAAUUAAUAAGCACCUAAUUUUUUGUUUCAGCUAUGAAUGGUAUUUUUCUCUAGAUCAUAAGUACGUUGGUUGAAUUUUAAAAAAUUUAUACCAUUUCAGCGACUAAUUAAUAUCAUGCAAUAGAAAAACAAAGUUGAAAUUUGGGAUAAUAAAUAUCAUUAAAGUACAAAGAAAGUAACUUAUUGGGAGCAAAUUCUUCACAACCUGGCAUUCGCCUUUAGAUUAAAUAAUUUAUUAAUAAUCUCCUCUUUCUUUCUAAACUUAUACCGCUGUUUAUGAAAGUUUCUAAAAACCAAAGCCCAAAGCCUAGACUAUAAAAAGGAAAUAAUCACUUGGAGAGGGGUUGUUUGUUUUUCUUGAGAGCCUAAUAAAUGCAACGACAUAGACAGAAAGAGGCGGAAGAGUUGAGUCGGAGGAUCAAGAAACACAACCAUUCUUCUCUUUCAUUAGGGUUUUUGGCUGACUCUAAGGCCGUCUUACCUUCCUCUUAGAAUGAUGGCCUCUCGUUUCUAUACAUAUCCUUUCAUGCAUUUUCUGGCUCUCCCAUUCUCUUUUUCAAAGCUACGUCUUUCCUCAUAGACCCUGUUUGGUUUCUAAGAAAGUGGUCUAGGUCUCUUUCUUUUUCUUGAUUUAUCUUUUGGUUUACAAGAAUCAGCGACACAAUAAGACUGCCAUGAACGCAUGACGCAGCCACGUGGGAGAAGGCAGCAACCACUUUCGCAUUUUUACUAUGUAUCUCCAGAAACUCCUUUGUACAGCCCACACACGCGCUAAUGAAGCAGAUUCAGCAGAUUUUAAGAGGGGGAAUCUUGAAACCACACAACAUCAAGAGACUUGGCCGGAAGUGUGAUGAUGGGUGUUUCCGAAGAAGAGUUAUAAUUCGCCCACUGUUAAAUAUGGUCAUAGCCGUGAAGGGUCCCACGAGCCUUGAAUUUGUCACUACAUGCAAAAUAUAUGCAGAAGUGAUUGAAAAUGCAUGGCCACCUUUUCCUGCAUGUGAAUGUGUUGAGCUCUAUGGUGCAAUUACUAAUGGAAUUCUCAAUUUAGCUGAUAAGUAUUUUGAGAUGCAAAAGCAUGAUGCUGUCCGGGCAUCGGAAAUUUAUCAGAAAGCAGGAGAGCCAUCAAGCAUUCACUCGACAAGCAAGAGUAACACAUAGGCCACACCAUUCUCCAAAUAGACACAACAACAUACAUUCUUGAAGGCAAGUCCCUUUUUAAAAUUUUAUCUUAGUUUAAUUUUAAUUUAUUUAGUUAGUUUAGAUGUUUUUUUCAAAAUUAGUUUAAUUAAUUCUACAUGAUAAAGCUCUUAUUUUUCAUUUCGAUUUAGUUUAGUGUUGAUUUUUCUUUUAGUUUAAGUGUGUUUGCGAUUUUAAUUCAAUAGCUUAAUUAUUCUUAUUAGAUAAAGUUCAUAUAUAUAUAUAUAUAUAUAUAUAUAUAUAUAUUAUCCCAAAUUAGUUUAGUUUUAAUCUAUCUUUUAGUUUAAGUGUGUUAGUAAUUUUAAUUUAGUUGUUUAAAUAAUCAUGUGAGAUAAAGUUCAUGUUUUUAAUUCUAAUUAGUUUCAUCUUAAUUUAUUCUUUAGUUUAGAUUUGUUGUUGACAGUAAUUUACUAUUUUAAUUAAUCUUAUUAGAUAAAGUCUAAUUAAAAUUAGGUUAGUUUUAAUUUAUUCUAUAGUUUGAGUGUGUUUGCGAUUUUAAUUCAAUUGUUUAAUUAAUCCUCUUAGGUAAAGAUCUUGUUUUUAAUUCCGAUUUAGUUUAGUUUUAAUUUACUUAUUUAUUUAUUUUAGUUAAGAUGUGUUUGUAAUUUUAAUUCGACAAUUUAAUCGACCUUAUUAGAUAAAGUUGAUGUUUUUAAUUCCAAUUUAGUUUAAUUUUAAUUUAUUUUUUAGUUUAAAUGUGUCUGUGUGUUUAAUUGACCUUAUGCUAGCUCUUGAUUUGUUAUUCUCAAUUUAGGUGUUUUCUUGAAUCUUAGUCAUUAAUUCUUGGUGGAUAUCUCAUUAGUUUAUUUUAUCUAAGUCUUAAUAAUUUAUUAUUUCGAUAGUCUCUUGUCAAAUUUACUUUUCAGAGGCCAUCGGAAAAUAGUGAAGAUUGACCUCCAUUCUCACCACUUUAGUUUGUUUGGUUGUCAAAAUUUUUACUUUGUGAUUUUGUUUGCUUUUAUUUUGCUUGUUUCUUAUGUUUUGAUUGUUUUCAAAUUAAUUUCUUUUAUUUUAAAAUAAAAUAUUUUUCUCAAAAGAUCCAUUUGAAAAUUCUAUUUUAAAAAUCAUUCAUUUAGACUCCUUAGAAUCAAAAUCUCAUUUUUUAAUAAUAUGUAACCAUGUCUUGAUCGGUUUGUAUCUUUCACAGUUUUCAAUCAAAAUUCCGAUUUGGAAUGGAAUAUGAAUCCGAGCUUGUGGUCCCAAACAAAUGGGAUAAUUCUGGUCUAGAUUUGUGUAUAUCAAUUGAGGAAUUGGUGGAACCCCUACAUAAGAAAAUUCUUCAAAACUCAUCUUUGCAGCCACCUUUGCUAUUUCAUGAAAUCAUGUAUAUUUAUUAUUUAGGAAUUAUAUACAAGAUGUAUGUGAUAAUUGAUGAUUUCGUAUACUUUGAUCAUUUUUGCUAGGCUAAUUAGAUAACAAGCACAUUAGGAUUUUUUUUAUUUUAUUAUCUAACCCCUCAUGUCUUGUAGAAGCAUGUUACAAGUCAUCUAUCCUAAUAUAUAUUUUAUUAUAUAUUAGUUUUUUUUUUCUUUUUUUAAUCCUAUCUAUGUUGUUGAUAUUAAUGCAUUGAAUUUGAUGCUACCUAAAACAAAAUUAUAUUUCAUGUCCUCUAUUAUAAGUGGACAAUCAUUCCUUAUUUUAGAUUUUAGAUAAAGAACGAAUAAUGAAGAUUGGAGUUGUAAGAAAUUAGGAGAUCCUAAUUUUAAAUAUGUAACAAAGUUCUAUAAUCACUCCAGUACGUUUAAAAUUUGUAUUUCUUUCUAAUAUGGGAGCAAACUUUUUCCUUCUUUCUUAUAAUUUUCAUUUGGGAAUGAUUUAAAAAUAAAUAAAUAAAGGCCCUUCUAAAUAUUAAAAAAACACUCUCUUAUAAAAAUUAAUUAGGUGGAUGGUAAGGUCAAAUUCGGGAUAGCUUCAUAUUUUUUGCUUUAACUGAAAAUUAAAAUCAAAAUUAAAGUAAGAAUUUUUAAGAUGUUGUAAAAGUUUUAUUAAACAUGAAAGAACUUAUUGUGUAAACAAAAAUAGAACUAUAGAAUUUUUAUAAGAAAUAACAUUUUUAUGACUUCUAUAUGAAACCUUUUUUAAAAGUGAUAAGUUUUUUUUUUUAAAUAAUUAAAUAGGUAUAAAAACUUUUAUUCAACUUAAUUUUUUUUAACGGUUAAAAGUCAAUUCAAAUAAAAUUUAAAUAUAUUUGAAAAUCAUUUUUAAAAAUAAAAAAAAAAAACCACUUUUUUUUUAAUUUACAUUUAAUUCAUGAAAUUUCAUUUAUUGUUAUUUAUUUUCGGGAUUUAAUUCUUUGCAAUUGUUUUUGAGUGUUUAUAAAGUAUAAUUAGGUUAUGCCCAAAUUUAUUCCUUUAACUCUAUCCAUUAGAUAUAAGUAGCGUGAAAUUUUGGCCCAUCUCCACCUUUCUUCACUUCUGACAUUGUCAUGCACUACUUCAUCAACUCCAAACACAACCGCUGAGGAUCGAAGAAAAUGAGACAAUGGUCAAUAAAAUGAAAGUUUAAUCAUUUAAUCUUUUUUAGCACACCCCUCAUAACUGUCAGUGAUUUCCUGCCAACUUAACAUAUUGACAUGGACUUGGAGAGUUCGGUCAAUUGCAGCAGCUUGGUUAAUUGUAAGUGUCUUUUCUCUAAACCAUAAAUUCCUACGUUUUAAUUUACAAAAGCCAGUGAUUUUUUUUUACUUAAGGAAGCAGGAAAGGGUUUAAAAUAAGAGUUGAAAAGUAUGCCAAUUAUUUUAACUUUAAGAAAAAACGUUUAUUUUAAUUUAAAAUAAGUAAAUCAAAAGGAAUUGAUUUUAUCUCAAUUGUAUAAGAUUUUAUAAAAAUUAUCUUAUUUGCAAAAUAUUUUCAGAUGUAAAAGUAAAAAAUUAAACAAAUCAUUUGAUGAUCAUAGUCUAAUUUUAAAUUAUUAGAAUAAGUCAAUCCUCUAAACUAUAUCAUUUAUAAUUUUUUUGAUUAUUAAUAUGAUACGUAACCUUCCACGGAAUUGGAAUAAAAUAUGGAUAAUUAAAAAAUGUCAACUAUCCCAUUUCAAACUUUUCUAAUAUAGCAUGAUAUUUUAACAUGAUGAAUGAAAUGGGAAUGACCAAAAAUUGUAAAAUCAAAGAUAUAUCUAUUGUGGACAUGGCAUUCGGAGGCUUCUUAACAUUGUAUUGGUCUACUUAAUGAGUUGAAACAGGAACACAACACCAAAUUCUCUUUUUAUAAUCAAAGACUUCCAUGGAAAAUUCCACCAUAUCAUAUCUCAAAGAUUAGUCAAAUUCCAUUAUCUUUAUAGACUUUUAACAAUCCAAGAAAUUGACAUUAAUAAUCCCAUACACAAUAUUCUACAACUUUACAUUAUCUUGAUUGAAGAUAAUCAUAUUAUUUCAUUAACAAUUCAAGAAAUUCCAUUAUCAAUCAAAAAAUAAAUCAUGAAAGCUAAAUAAUACAAAUAUUCAAUGAAAUCUUUGGCGUGUUAUUUCUUUACAGCUUCAACAUGGUGGCAUGUCCGACGGAGGAGGCAGCAUUUGAGCUUCCGGGUGUUUACCAUUUUUCAUUAUGAACGCAGUUUCCAUGCCCCAAGUCAGAUGGCGUUCUACAUGGCAGUGCAUGAACCACACUCCUGCAACAGAGAAAAUAUACCAACAUUACACCUAACUUAAUUGUAAUAUUAAGAAAAAUUAUUUCCUUGGUAUGCAGGUUAGCAGUUUCAAGGGUUUUUAUUUUUUAUUUUUAAUAGACGACAUGAGUGCUUGGAACAUACCAGGGUUGGAUGCCUCAAAUCUGAUUGCAACCCAACCAUUCGAAGGAACGGAGAUGGUAUUCUGAAAGGGAGGAUCCACCAAAUUAUAGCGUAAAGGGUCCUUAUUUCCAUCGAAAUUCCCAAAUCCCCAUCCAACAACAUAGAAACUGUAUCCAUGGAGAUGCAUGGGGUGGUGUGUUGCUGCAAGCACGUUUGUCCCUUGAAAAACAAUCUCCACUGUGGAGUUAUACUCGAGCACCCUUACUUCUGUUCCGCUGCUUGGCAACUGAUAGAUUAAUGGAAGAUAAUCAGCUGUAAAAUCGAACACCAGUGGUAGAUCGCUAGGAAAUUUAUCUCCAUAAACACCACUGAUGUUAUAAUAGUAAGCUUGUAGUAUGUCAACUGUAGGGGUAUCGAAGCUUAUGUUGUUUAUACUUGAGGAGAACCGCGUCCCAUUGGCCCCUGCACAUGAAUUAUUGACGCAUGGGUACGAGUUUACAGAAACAGUGUAAAUCAGGUUAGUGCUUGUGCUCAAUGGGACAUUGCAAGGAUGUUCCGCAUCUACUAAGCUUCGAAGGCCGGCCAUGACCUGAACCGACGCAUUUGUGUCAUUGUAUGCAGGAAGAAGAGGGAAGGAUGGAGGCGAAGAUGGAGUGUAGUAUCCGUUGUACUGUACAAUAGCUGUGGUGGUUGUGUUAUCAUAAAAAUCUUGAUAUUUCGGGGCAACAGAAUAAGUUAUAGCUGCCAUGUAAUAGUGAUCCGGGCGUUGGUUAGCUUCUAGUAAGACAUCGUAGGUUUGGCCAGGAAAUAUUGUGAUAAAAUCUCGUGUCAAUGGUUUCGUGUAGCUACCAUCUGUUCCAACCACUGUCAUUUUAUGCUUGGCAAUGGAGAAGAAGAGAGCCUCUUGUAAGGCAGCAUUGAUUAUGCGAAGUAGAUAGGUCUUUCCAUGAUCCACUGUUAGCUUGAAUGUGUCUGCAAUUAGAAAGGGAAAGUUGUAUACUUAUGACUAGCCAAAAAAAAAACAAAAAGUUUCCAUGAGGAUCCACCAAUUAUGAAGUGAUUGAUUGAUUAGGUGUGUAAAUUUGGCUGCAUAGUUCAAAAUUAUAUUUGGACUAGCCUUUUUUUUGUGUGUUAAAUCAUGGCUCUACCAUCCUUAUAGCUAUAUUCCUCUUUCUUAGCAUUAACCUUUAAAUAUGUUGAUGUUAAUAAGAAAAAGUACUAGGGUUAACAUACAAGAAAAUGAAAUCAUGUACAAUUUUAAAACGGGAAGUUAAACUUUGUACCUGAUUUUGAGCAUGGAUAUAGAUCACCGGGUUGUCCAUUUAUCAAUAAAGCAUCAGAGGGGUCAGGGUCACCUCCGGUUGCAAGCCCUUCAUCUCGAACCGCAUUCACAUCAUUCUUCCACCAUUCUCCUGCAUUUCAACAACUUCAAUAAUUUUAGAUUUUGCUUUGUUGUUUAAUUCUUAAUAUGUAAAUUAACCUUUAAAAGUAACAACACUUAUACCUAAUAUGAUGGGGACCUCUCUGUCAGGCUUGUGAAAAGGAUACUUGGUUCCAUUCUUGGGAUAGAUGAUUAUAGCUCCAUGAACAGUGGCUCGGGUCCAGUCACUGUGAGCAUGCCACCAUAGAGUGCCUUCUUCAGUGGAAAGGAUGAUCUUCUGGGUAAACUUUGACCCUGGCUGAAUUGGGCAUUGUGUGAUAUACUCAGGACCAUCUGUCCAUGGAUAUCUAGGCAUGGUCACCCCAUGCCUGCGAAACCAUAACUAUACGUUAAAACUAGUACUAAUUUUCAAAGUAACAAAAGAUGGCAUGCAACAACAUAUUAUCAUAGUAACAAGAGGCAUCAACUGUAUUUCAAUGAAACUGAAGCAAAUAACCCUAAAGUAUUAUUUUAAAUUUGACUUUAUUUUCAAAGUAAUAUAUUGGAGCCCCCUCUUAGAAAUAAAAGAAUGUAUGCCAUGUUGGCAUGCUGCCACUGCUCUUUCUCUGAGACACGCAUAGGACCUACCAGUGAAUGGUAACGUUUUCGUUUCCCUUGUUAUAAACGUCGACAAUGAUCGUCUCUCCUUUCGUAGCAUAUAUGGUUGGUCCCGGAAAUUUUCCAUUUACUGUUAAGAUGUUCUUGGCACUACAAAGCCUUGUAUAUGAAGCUUCCCUCACCUGCAAUCAAUUAAAAGUUAACCAUGCAACCUCAUCCCAAAAGAAAUAUUACAUGCAUGAAUAGUUGCAUCGAUCCAUUCACGUAAGUGUAUAACCAAUUAGAAAUUGAUAGCAUGCAUGAACGACUCAAUGACACCAAGGUAAUAGAUCAUACGGUAUGAAAUGAGAGCCAUACUACUCCUUAAAUAUCAUGAUUAGAAGGUGGCGUUAAGGCCAGAAUCAUAUAUAGUAUUUACCACAAAAGUAAGCCGACGGGUUGAAGCUUGGCAAUGGAUGCCACCACCAAAAACUAGAAACGCUAAAAUUUGCAGGAGGAAAACCUUCAUGAUCAGCCACAUUUUCCUUGGAAUAAAAGCCUCUUCUCUUCUCUUGCCCUAAACACAACUCCUUCAAUUCUCUUACUACUUUUGAUGUAUUUCUUUCACAUGUGAUUCAUUAUAUAGGCAUGGUAAUUCUCUCGGGAUACAAUACUUCCUCUCCACGUGUCAAUAUAAGAGGAAGUGAUUUGAAUGUGUAUUGGUUUUUAAUGUUCUUUCAGGACGACUUCAAAAUAAUUAAUUAUGAUAUUUCUUACAAGUUACCUACGCGUUCUUUUAGAAUAAAUUUAAAAUAUUCUUUCACAAGUCUUUUAUUGAUUAUUUCAACAAAUGUUAAUUAAUUAAAUAUAUGUAGGAUGCUUUUAAAACUUUGACCUCCCUAUGAGUAGCCUUCUGAAGAUCGUUGGUGGCAAAGUUGUUUUCGUAUAGUUAAUACAAUUUGUCAUCGUCGUUGUUUUCGUUUGAAUGGGACAAAGUUGUUUCCAAUUUUUUUUAAAACUUGGGAAUUGAGAUUAUAAAAGACAAAGUUGUUAAUACAACUUCAGAAUCGAUGAUAAACUAAUUCGGUAUUUCAGAAUUUUCCAUAAAAAAACACAAAAAUAUAUUUUGUAAAAAGUUGAAAAUAGGAUACAAACAACCCCUUGUAGUAUUUUUUUUUUUCUCAACAAAAACCAAUUUAAUAACAAUAAUAAUAAAUAAUUAUAGAUUUAAAAGAUAAUCUGAAAUUUCUUUCAAUAUAUAAGCCUUGUACGUGAUGUUGGUUGACUAUUAUGAUAGUAAAUUCGGGAGGAUGCUUGCAUGUAAAAAUUUUAUUUUAUUUUAUUUUUAAUCAUGGAGCACAUUUUGAUAGAUUCUGAUUUAUAAUACUGCAUCAAUGGUCAUGAACAUUGCAAUCAUGAUUUUUUUUGAGAUGUUUAAAUGGACGUGAAAGAUAAGAAAUAGAUUUUCUAUUAAGAUAUUUGAAUGGAGAUGAAAGCAUGGGUAUAGGUUUGUACUAAGGAAAUGAACAUAUGAUUAAAAUAAACCUGAUACAGUUAGUCUAUAAGAAUGGAUCCUGUUUCUAACCUUUUAACACACAAAUUUGGAAACCUAAACCUCUGGAUUGUUUCUUUCCUAUAAUGGAAUCCUAUAUUCCUUCUCAAAGCAGCGCUGACUUUUCCCUUCCUACCAAAUACGAAGAGAAAAUCUUGACUAAUCUUGAUAAAGUUUUAAAAGUAUUCUACAUAUGUUUUAAAUUUAUUCUAAAAUAAUGUGUUUGAUUAAUUUCUUGGUCAAUUCUCAAAGUCAAACUUGUAUUUUGAAUUAGAAAAUUCAAGAGAUUCUAAGAAACUCAUCUUCUAGGAUACACAACCUGAUUGAAGCUGAGCUGUGAGAAAUUUUCACAAUUGUUAGCAUUCUUCAGGCAUUUGGUUUAUUUAAAUUUUGGUAAGUAAUCAAAUAUCAUACACAACCUGCUCUUUGAAGUGGUCCUGGAAGAACAUUCAAAACCAAUACACAUUCAAAUUACUUCGCUUAUAUUGAUACGCGGCGAGGAAUUGUUGAUACCCAAGCCACAUGUGAUCUGAUUUAAUGUAGCUGCCACAAAGUUGCUACUUUCAUUCUCAGACAGUCUGAAGCAAUUAGAAAAUGUGAAUCGGAGGCCCCCACAUUCCUUGGAUCUGUAGACACUUGAUGGACACAAAAUGUUUUCCAUAACUGUGCAAUCAUGGGCAUCUAUUUCUUCUAUACUUGAUGGAAGCUCUGGUAAUGAUUGAAGCCUCUUGCAAUAACCCAACCUAAGGCCUUUGAGCUGUGAAAGUUGAUUGAGGCUUGCAGGUAGAUUAACAAAAUUGUUUCUGCUCAGAUCUAAAUAUUCCAAUGAGCACAGAGAGCUAAAGUCAUUGGGAAUUGGUCCUUCCAAUAUGCGGCAAUCACUUAGAUUUAACUUUCUUAGGGAUCUUAAACCAAAGAAAGAUGCAGUUGCAAACGCCUAGAGCGUGGAAUUUCUGCAGGCAACAACUGGAAAGAGAGGAGCAAAUUCCUUGGCUUGGAUUCUAGUCCUUUACAUCCCUCAAAUGAUAAUACUUCAAGGUUUUCUGAAAGAGAAAUAGAGGGCGGCAGCUCUUUUACAGAGUUCCAGCUGCUCCGAGCUUCUCUAAACCUUGUAGGCUCCCCGAACCUCUGGCAAAUUGUCUAGUUUUGAGCAACCAGAUGGAAUAAGAGUUUGAAGAGAUUUCAACUUACAAAUGCUAUGUGGAAGAAUUGCAAGGCUUUUGCAUUCUCUCAGAUUCAACAGAACAAGUCCACUUAGAUGUUGGAUAGGUGAAGUUAGCUCUUUUAGAGCAGUUCCAUCUAAGAAAAGUUCCAACAAACUCCCCAUAUUUUCCAAGACUUCUGGAAGCUCUUUUGAGUUUUAAGCAAUCUGAGAGAAUAAGAAUUUCAAGGGAUCUCAACCUAUAAAUACAGCUUGGUAAUGACUCAGGGUUUUGACAGUUCCUCAGAUUUAAUAAAACAGGUCCAGUCAGAUAUUCAAUCGACAAGGGCAAUCCUUUUACUGCAGUGCCCUCCAAGGAAAGCUCUGAUAAAUGUUUCAUGCACCCUUGGACCUCUGGAAACUUCUUGAGUUUCGAGCACCCGGAGAGAGUAAGAAUUUUGAAGAGAUUCCAUACAGAUGCUUCUUAGAAAACUCUUAAGAUUCUCGCAGCCUUCUAAAUUAAGGAAAACAAGCUUGUUUAGAUCUCCAGUGGAUGGGUGAACCUUGGACAAACUUGUACAACCUUCAAGAAUUAGUCUCCUAAGGUUUGGGGCCCCCGAGAAGUCUGGGGUUUCAAUCAGGUGUUGGGAGUAGCUAAGUUUUACGAAUUUCAAUUGCUGAUACAUCUGUCAAAAACAAAACAGAAAAAAUGAUUAUAAUUCGUUUAAAGUGAAAGACGAAACUUGCAAAGAUUAUAAUCAUAUACCUUGAGUCCUUUCCAAAGUUGUUCAACUCGACUGUAACUCAUAUUUAGCUCGACAAGCUGCUCAGGAUGAAAAUUUAAUGGGAGGGAUUUCAGAGGGUAUCCAUGCCAAUAUAGACAUCUUAAGUUGUUCGAUAGAGAUUUGAAGUCUCCAGAAAGAAGCAAUUUACAGUCUUUGAAUUGAUUGAGCUUAUUCAUCCUUGUGCAAGCAUCAGCCAGCACAUAACUGUUUCCAAGAAAAAUAUUCAAAGCUUCCACAUAGCCGCACGUUACAGACUUUGAGCAAUCUUAAUUUGUUCAUCUUCAUGAAGGCAUCAAAACUGAAGUGUAGUUCCUUUGAUGCUGACAAGUCAAGGACUAUGCCUUCAACUACUUCAGUUCCUUGCAAUUAACCAGGAACAGAGUAUGGAUUGGAAAUUAAAAUCACAAAAUUCUAAAAGGAAAAGCACAGAAAGCAUCAAACUAAUGACUUGUUUUCUUGUUUUUUUAGGCAGUGUUCUAGGAAGCAAGUAUGAAGAUAAAAGAAAAUGCAUCUACUAAGACAGAAACUCAGGGAAAAGUUAGCAAAGGAUUCAAAUCAAAUCAUUCCCCCAGCUUUAUAUCUGCCUUUGCAUACAUAAAUAUGCAAUACCUUAUUAAAAUUGUACAUAUAUGUGAGUUUCUCAAAUAAGUUGAAAUUAUUCAAACUUCCUCUUCACCUAUAGAGCUUAUAUAUACAAAAAGGGAACACACACACAAAGUUCAUGUAUUUAGGUCUUACUAUGUUUCUAGUUAAUGCAUCACUAACAUCUUCAUGAAUCCACAAUCUGCUGUGUUUUCCAGGAUAUUUAAGAGAUUCUUGCCAAACAAUUUCCCAACCCAUUUCUUGUAACAAAUCAUGCAUGCACAACUUAUUAUCUGAAACAAUUAUGAGUGACUUAUCAACGAGAACCCUUAUUCCAAUAUCCGGAAAGAAACCACAACUCUCUAGUAUUUCUGUGACAAAAUCUUUGUCCUCCCAUUUUCAAAAGCAUGCAAUAUCGAGAAAUAUAUCUCUUUGUCAUCUAAUCCAUCAAAACCCAUUUUAAGCACGUUCUGAAUUUCCAUGUUGCUAAUUCUUUUUAGUUUGUCCAAUUCACUUUUCCAUUCAAGUAUGCUCUUGCUAUACAAAAAAGCACCUAAGACUUCAAGAGCUAAGGGAAGACCCUUACUAUAAUGUAUUACAUCAUAGCAUAGCUGCAUAUAAUCUUCUCCAGGGUGGUUAUGUUUAAAGGCAUACUGACGAAAGAGUUGAAAAGCUUCACUAUCCUCUAAUCCCCUAACUUCAUAAAUUGCACUGACUCCAUGUGUAACAAGCAAAUGCUUUUCUCUGCUUGUUAUAAUAAUUCUACUUCCUGAACCAAACCAAUCAUGGUUUCCUGCUUAAUAUUCUAACUGUUCCAAGUUAUCCACAUCAUCAAGAACAAUAAGAACCUUCUUAGAGUGGAGCCUAUCCUUUACAAAAUUGAUUCUUGUAUUGGAAAUUCCUACAUUUGGAUUUCCAUCCUUCAAUGUCUUUGAGAGAAGUUCCACUUGUAAAUGAUCUAGAACACAUUUUUGUGAGCCUUCUCUAACACUUGUAAAUGAUCCAAUAAUUGGUUCAAACAGUUCAAAAUUGGUCCAAUAAAUAUACCCUUCAAAAGGAGAAAUUGAACCAGAAAUGUCGCUUGGUGGUUGGAUCAAUUAGACCAACUGAUUUGUUUCAAUUUUCAAAAAAUAUUGCUUUAACAUGUAUGAUAAUCAAAAUAUAGGAAAAAAAACUAUUUACUAAGAAAUGAGAUUAUUAUAACAAAAUAGAAAAUGUAAUCUAUUUUAAUGAUAUGAUGACUUGUAACUAGAUGAAACUUUGACCAGCAAAGAAAAACAAACAAAUCUUGAGGAAUUAGAAAAUAUUAUCUUUUAUAUUAAACUUAUCUUUGUGUAAAAGCUCUCUACAAUUAACUAUGGGUUUUCAUAAAGCUUUAUUUAGGCUAUGUUACAUUCUUGGAAAUUAAAAAAAAAAAAAUGUAAGAAAUUAAUAAAUUAUUUUUUUCAUUAAUAUAAAUUAAAUAAUUAAAAUACCUAAAUUUUUCAAAAUUGUUAAUCAUGGUAGUGGGCCUUUGAUCAGCCAAAGAUAGCCCAUGCAUCAUUUGCCAAAAUUGUUAAUCAUAGUAGUGGGCCUUUGAUCAGCCAAAGAUAGCCCAUGCAUCAUUUGCCAAAGUGAAGCACAACAACCUUAUAAUAGGGAUGUCACAUAGUAAUUCAUUAUUCAUUAUUUUGUUUUCCCUUUUCAAUGUGGAUUUUCUUAAAGCUAUUAAAAAAUCACAUAAUAUCAAGAUUUGAGCAUGGGUCUUUCACAAUAUCUUUUAUAUACUAAUAAUUAUAAAUUAAUUAAAAUGAAAGAAUUAUAAAUAAGUUAAUUUUAAUUAUCUUAUUAUGUCUCUUAUACAAUGAUUUAAUAUAGGACAAAUAUAAAUUUAUAAAUAAAAUUAUUAACAUUUUCAAAUAAAAAAUAUAAAUAUAUAUCAAUAUAUUUUUUAUAUCCUUCAAUAUAUCUAAACUUAAUGCAUUAUCAUUUUAGUAUUAAUGUUUCCCAAUUCGGUAUAUUAUUAUCUAAUAUUACAAAUUUUUUAUACAUUUAUCAAUUUUUCUUAAAACAAUAUCAAUAUAUACAUCAUUAUUUUUCUAUCAUUUUUUGAGUUAUUUCCAACAUUUCAUGAGGUUUUAUCGAUUUCCAUCUCAUAUAUAUAUAUAUAUUUCAGAAUUUUCAUUGAUAUUUGUUUAUAUAUCUAUAAACUAGAACUAAUGAUAUAUCAGUAAAAAUCAAUAUUUUCAUUCUUAUUUAACAUAAGAAAGAAAAUUAUUCAAAUGGUGCAUAAAUUAAUGUGAUCUCCUGAUGAGAAUGACAACAACAACCAUGAGUCAUAGUUAGUGUAUGUGUGUGGUAAAUUAACUUAGUGUUUGAUAAAAUAAUUAUUUAUCAUCAUUUAAAAUUUAAAAAUAAAUUUAAAUAUUAAAUCAAAAUAAUUAACUUAUUCUAAAUACUAAAUUUUUUUAUUCUCUUUGUUCAUAUUUGGUGAUAACCAUGCUUUAUUUUUAGAAUUCUUUUUUUUAGUAAAUAUUUUUUAGUUAUUUUGUAGCUUCACAAUAGUACUUUUUAAUAUAAAUGUUUAACAAGCUUAAGUUUAUGAAGAUAAUUAUUAAGAAAAAUUAAUGAGUUUAAAUAUAUCAAUAUAAUAACUUUAAAAAAAUUAAGUUGAUUUUACCAAAAUUAAAGUAAAAAUAAUUCAUCUUAAAAUUAAUUUCAAUAAUUCGGUAAUAAGGAUUAAGUUGUAUCAUAUACUCUCUUAAUUAAAAAAUGACAUAACUUCUUUCAACAACUUCUUCAUUCUACUUUUGAAAAAAUAAGAUAAAUUAAAUUAAAAAUUAAAGUGAUAUUUAUUUAUUUAUUUAUGUCUAAAAUUUAAUGUACUUGAAUUUGACUUAAAUCUAACUAUAACUUAAUAUCAUUAAGUGUCUAGACUCUUUUUUUUUAUUAGUGUCUAAAUAUUAUUAACCGUUAAAUUGUUUAUUUUUAUUAAUAUCAAAAUAUGUGAAGUGUUAAAUUUAUUUAUUUUUGGUUAAAAACAUUUACAAAAGUAAUUGUUAUAUUUCUUCUUAUUUUAAUUUGAAAAGUUAUAAUUUAACAAAAUAGUAAUUUAAUUAACACAUCUAAAAAUAUUAUAAUACAUUAUCAAAGUAAAAAUUUUAUAAUGAUAAUUAUGUAAUUAGUAAAUAAUAUUAUUGUACAAUCCAUUGUUCCAUGUCGUAUAUUAUAGCAUAGUUGUGCAUACCCAUCAGUGCAUAGACAUAUCUUUUGAUAAUCUAUCAUGAAUGUCUCGUGGACUCUACAGGAAGUAUGUAGCUAUUAUAGUAUAAAGAUGGCGUAGGAAGAGGCUCCAGGUUUAGUAGUUCACACUCAACCAUAGCAAUAGGGAAUAUAUUGCACAUUAUUUCCAUCUAAAAGAAAGAUAGAAAAGACCUUAUAAAUGGAACUUUUAGAUAAAAACUAAGGGUCACAAUGAGAUGACUCUAAGAAGGAUCACCUCAAUCUCAAUCUUAUGUCAUUUAUUUAUAUUAAAUGGGGUGAGAUAAGACAAAAUUAUAUUCGAACCUGUCCUGAACUUGGUCUGAGGCCAAGAAGGGUCUCUAAAAUAAUAAGCCUCAUUGUCAUUCUUAGGUACACAUCUAUACCAAUGAAAGUUUUUACAUCUAUUAAAAAAUUCAAUGUUCCCGAUGUUAAUUAACUUCACUAGACUACAUACACUUAAAAUGCAUGAAAAAAUGUCAAAAUUCUCAACCAAUUAAUGACAUAAACUAAAAUCAAGUUUAGUACAUCAUAACCCUAAAAUACCUCCAAACCCCAUUUCUUGUAAGACCCCCUUCUGAUUAGGUUGCAAAUGUUGAAGUACUUUAUACACUUAAUUAGGUGAACAACAAGUGUCAAGAUAAGACUUCAAGCCAUACAUAUACAUAUGCAUAUAUAUUUAAAAUUGAAAGAAAAUAUUAUCAAAUUUUAAAAAGAUAAAUUUCAAAUUUUUUUUUUACCUUUGAUACAUUUUUUGAGCUUGUACCCUUUUGUUUUACAUAUUCAUUGGAGCAUUUCUUUGACUUCCCAAAGAACUUUUUUUUUUCUAGGACUAAAAACUUUUUUCCUUAAUCGACUUGGGAUAUUAUAUACACCCACAACCUAACUUAGUAGUUUUAAAAUUAAUUGGUUAAAAAGAAUGAAAUAAUCCCAAAAUUUGUAAAUAUAACAAGAUUGUGUUUUUACUUGAAAAGUAGCCCAUUUUGACAUAAAUGUCUUUCGCCAUUUCAAUUAUUUACAUUUAAAUUUAAAAAAAAAGUUAUGACAUUUUUGUCAAAAGAAGGACACAAAAAGAUCAAAAGUUAAAUUUCCAGAUUUAGUUUUUUAAUAGAUAUUUUAAUAAAAUAAACCUUAGUUUUAUAUCACAUAAUGUUUCUUCUUUAUUGUUCUUUAAUCCCUUUUAUUUAUUUAUUUAUUUUAUCAUACACGACCUAUUAAAUUUGAAAAUUUUAACAAUUUCUUGCAGUGCAUGCCUACGUGCUUAUCACAUGAGCUUCUCCAUCUAUACUAGCUAGGGAUCCAUUUGAUAAUUUCUUUUAGUGUCCACAUGCUUAUCACAUGGACCUCUUCACUUCUAUUAAUAGGGGUCCAUUUGGUAUUUCAAAAUAGUUCAAGGGCUUUGCUUAAGAAAAGCUUAGAGACUAGUUCGAAACAAUGUUUUUAGAACCCAACUAGUUAUUGAAUAAAAAAAGUUAUUGAUUCAUUGUCUAGUGGUCAAAUUAAUGUUUGAACUGCAGUCAAAUUGGUGACAUCAUAAAUAUAUAAAUUAUAUAUUAAAAAAAAUUAUAAAAUUAUAAAACUUAUUUUUCAUCUUUGACAUUUCCAAACUUAAAUCAUGAAUAAAUAUAAAUAUAUUAAUAUUUUAAAUUUUAUAAAUAAAAUUUGUGUAACAUUCAUAUGUAAAGAAAUAUAUUUAAAUAGAAUAAAAUUCUUUUGUUCAUAAUUUAUUUUACUUAUAUUAUAUUAUUUAGUUGUAUUACAAAAUUUAAAAUAAUUAUGUUAAUUUAGGUUUAGUUUGCAUUUUUUAAAUUAUAAUCAUUAAUAACAAAGUGGUGAUAGCCUAAACAUGAUCUAAAGGUCCAUGGUUCAAACCCUUGGUUCCUCAUCAUUUUCCUGGUCUCAUUAGGUGGGCUAGGCUUGGUAUGCGAAGGGCUAACCUUCCACCCAUGAUCCAACCUUUUAGUUGAUGAAAAAAGAAGGCUAACCUAGAAUCGAUAGACCAUGGUUCAAAGUUGUGGUUGCGGUCACUAACUUGGAGGGUCUUGCGGCACAUUGGUCUUGACAUCUUAGCUUGAUAUUAGAUGAUAUGUAAAAUAAGAUAAAUAAAAAUUAUAAAAUUAUAAAAUAUUAUAAUAAAUAUUUAAAAAAUAAAUAUAAUUAAAUAAACUUAAAAUUUAAUAAAAUAAAAUAUUAUGAAAAUUAAAAUUGUUCAAUAAAUUUUUAAUAUUGAAAUUGAAAACAAAAACUCUUUAAUUACCAAACUCAAAUUAAAAAAUAAAAUAAAAUGUGAUGAUUUUUACCACACAUUAGCAUUUAAAAAUUGAAACAAUAAAAUAACAUAUAUUAUUGAUACUAUCAUUUAAAACAACAAAUAUAUUGUUGAUAAUGGCAUUUAAAACUAUAAAAUAGUGCAUUAGACCUGCAUUCAAAUCUUCAAUUCUCAAACACCACCAACCCACCCAUGAAUAGAGAAAGAGAAGAGAACCCUAGCAAAAGUAGAGAGCUUCAAUUCUCAAAUCUUCAAUUUUCUUUUUAUGUGUUCAAGUGAUUUUUAUUUGUUAAAUGAUUCCAGCUACUACUUGGGUCUAGUAUUUCCUUGGUGUAUAUAUCAUGCACUUCUCAGUAGAAAGCCCAUAGACUAAUAUAAAGGAGAAACAAGUUUUUAUUUAUUUGCAAUGCCUAAUAUAAAAUUUAAUAAGCACCUAAUUUUUUAUUUCAGCUAUGAAUGAUAUUUUUCUCUAGAUCAUAAGUACGUUGGUUGAAUUAAAAAAAAUUUAUACCAUUUCAGCCACUAAUUAAUAUCAUGCAAUAGAAAAACAAAAUUGAAAUUUGGGAUAAUAAAUAUCAUUAAAGUACAAAGAAAGUAACUUAUUGGGAGCAAAUUCUUCACAACCUGGCAUUCGCCUUUAGAUUGAAUAAUUUAUUAAUAAUCUCCUCUUUCUUUCUAAACUUCACCGCUGUUUAUGAAAGUUUCUAAAAACCAAAGCCCAAAGCCUAGACUAUAAAAAGGAAACAAUCACUUGGAGAGGGGUUGUUUGUUUUUCUUGGGAGCCUAAUAAAUGCAACGGCAUAGACAGAAAGAGGCGGAAGAGUUGAGUCGGAGGAUCAAGAAACACAACCAUUCUUCUCUUUCAUUUCUAUACAUAUCCUUCCAUGCAUUCUCUGGCUCUCCCAUUCUCUUUUUCAAAGCUACAUCUUUCCUCAUAGACCCUGUUUGGUUUCUAAGAAAGUGGUCUAGGUCUCUUUCUUUUUCUUGAUUUAUCUUUGGUUUACAAGAAUCAGGAGUGAAGUAAAGUGGGCUCUUGAUUUAUGUUUGAUUUUUCUUAUUCAAACCUAUGUUUUGAUCUUUUCUCUCCAGCUCUUGUGGUCUAGGUCUAAUAUGCGUUGUGUUUUCUUUCUUUUUUCUUGGUUUUUGUUUGGUUUUCCAAGAAAGUGAAGGAAAAGGAACUCUUUACUCUCUUGGCAUAUUCCACUUAGGAUUGUCCUCCUACAUCCUUUGAUGCUUUAGUGUUUGGUCAUUAGUUGUUUUUAAGCCCUUAUUGAUGGUCCAUUAAGACAUUUUAAAGGGAUUAGGCGGAUCCCUAUCUUGAUUUUAGUGAUUUUUGAAUCUUAGUUUUAAUUGAUUUAUAACAUAUUUAGGCUUGUUUAGAACUUUUAAAAUUCAUAAUUUUGAAUGUGCCAAAUACCCCCUUCCAUCAAUUCCAACUGCAGCAACUGCCAUUCAAAGAUGCUAGCCACAUAUUAAACCCAUGCAUGAACCCCCAGCCAGAUACCCAUUUUUUCCUCCAUCCAUCAACCACCUUCUUACUCCCACCACCGCCACUGCUCACCAUUCCCACUUCUCCUCCACCACCAUGGCCACCACCGCUUCUGGCUCUGUCUUCCUCCUUCUGCUCCUUGCUGCCAGCGCUGCCGUUGAUGGCAGAGUCAUAAGCAACCGCACAUCGUCCACCGGCCUAGUCUCUGACGGCGUCCACGACCACCGCAAUGGUUUGCCUUAUCUUCUUCUCAGGUCUUUUUCGGCCGUUUCAGCCUCGGAUUCAUGUGAUCAUAUAGUAAACCCAAAUGGAAAUCAAACCUUCACAACCCGCUCACCUUUCCGAUGCCCGUGAUGAUCAAGUCUGGCACUCGAAAGAGAGAGGACAACUGGGUCAUCUCCCUCUUCGUGAUCCUCCACAUUGGGCCCUUCUUGCAUCGCCUUGGAUUUGAAACUGACCGGUUUAGAACCAUAACUCCUGCACGCGAGAGAGAUCACCAUAAGCCAUGCAAGGGAGCAUGCCAGUCACGUUCUCUAACUGCCAUGCAUCCGGUGAAGCGGUUUUGCGAGGAGAAGCCUCCAGAAGAGAAUCUUUUCGGUUGCGGGAAUAUAAAGAUCACGCCAGAAAGAAUAAAGAGGGCUGUUCUAGAGACUUCGGAGGAGGAGAGAGGAAAGGAAAACUGACAUAGAGAGUCUCUGUUUCUGGGCGUUUUUUGGAAGAGAGUUCAAAGAUCUUCUUUCUGUAGAAGAUCAUCACAUGCACCGAUUCAAAGAAUUUAGAGAACUUCUCGUUAGAGUCAAGGUUCUCAUCAUUCUAGACCUUCAUGAACAUCUUCUUCACGGCGGCAUUGGCAUCCCGAUUCCUGAACCUCCAUGAUUGAUUGAUCUCCAUCAUCUUCACGAUCGUGCACAAGUUCUGAAAGUAGAGACGUGAAUCUCUUCAUCGUCUUCACUCUCUAUACUUGUAUCUCGAAGGUUAUCCCGGUUUCUAUGUGCAUCGGAUCUCCAUAGGAAAAAUUAGAGAAUGAAUAGAGGUUGACUGUCAGCCCCUUAGACCCUUGACUUAACCAUGGAGGAAUAGGCCUCAUGGGUAGGCCUUGCACCCAUGAAAGCCUAGGAUGAAAGCAGGGAAAUCCUGGAGGUUUGGUGGUUCAAACUCUAGGAGGCAUGUGAGGAGGCCGCAGGUGAGCCAGACAAGCACUGCGCGCGCAUCGCGGGCGAGGCAGACACGCACCACGCGCACACAGUGGGCAAGCCAGACGCGCACCGCGCGCGCACAGUGGGCGAGCUAGACGCGCACCGCAUGCACACCACAGGCGAGCCAGACAUGCACCGCGUGUGCACCAGAUGGGCAUCGCGCGCGCAUCUGACUUAGGUGGUGCAGAUGAAGGCUGAGGGACUUGGAAUUUUAAUUUAUAAUUAAAAUUAUUAUUCCAUUAUGCCUUCUCAGACAUAUUGAUGUCUCCUCAAGAAACAAUGAAAAUGGCUCGUAUUGCUCUUUAAGGGGGGGGGUAGGUGACUCAAAGGAGGGAGCCACCAAGAGAAGCCUUGACCGCACCAAGGGGGCACCAUGGCAUGGCCUUGGGCGUGCCUAAGACACACGACAUGACUCGAGCACGCACACAUGGGCUCCACGACAUGUGUGGUGUGCACCCCAUGGCCGCAACGGCACGGGGCCUGGUGCGGCCUGACCCCUCCCCGUGCAGGCACGAGGGAACCUAAGCCUUGUGCGGUAAGCCAGUUAAUGAAACCAUGGGCACAAUGCCAUGGUCUGAUGGCUCCAAUAGCUGACUCGCAUCAAGAUGCCUACGCAAAGCACAGGGUGCAAUGCCCUGUGCACCAAGAGGGAUCAGUCAUGGGCGCAAUGCCAUGGCUCGUUGCUUGGAAGCUGGGAAGCAAGCAACAAGCCCAAGCCAUGGGCACCUAGACAUGGCAUGGGUUCAUUCAUUAGUGUGGGGAAGGCACACUGAUGCACUAGACGCUUGGUCAAAUGGGUGGAGCACGUUGCCUGGCUUAGAGGGCCUUGAUCAAAGACAUGCUGAUGGGCACCUGGUCACAAGAGGCACCUUACGGGGGAGGGGUCAGCUUGUUAGGGGGACUCACCAGUAGCUUGGCGAGCAAGACCUGAGGAGAUGGCAGUGCAGCUAGCUAGUGGCAGCUAGCUCAGUGACCAAGUCAAGCCGUCAUUUGAACUGCAGUUGGCUGAGGGAUGAUGGCUGGUGCAAGUGGGUGGCAUGUGCAGGCCACUAUCUAGGUGGUGGGUGGUUAUGCAGGGCAGUUGAGGGCGGUUCUGGCCAGUUGCAUAACCACCAAAGUUGGCUUCAAGAUUUGAAUUGGAAAUUCAAAUUUGUAAUUGCAGCUUGAGUCUUUUAAAAGGGCUCCUGCAGCCUUCAAACAGGGAGAGAGAGUUUUGGGGAAAGGGUUCCUUCUCGUAUGCCUUGGGUGAGAGCAUUGUACUCUAGUUCAGGAAGCAAUUUUGUCUUGCAAGAGUGAUUAAUACAAGUUAGGAAAGGAUUCUCGUAACCUCAUGUGUCCCUGUUGCUUUGUUAUUUCUGUGUUCUACUCUGUUUUUCUAAACGUUAGGAUGGAAGGUUGGCUAAGGACUGGUCCUUAGCACCGCGCACUCGUGAAAAAUUCAGUGAGAUAUUCAGGGGUAUGACACUGACCAUGAUUACUAUAUCUAGAUAUAUGUUAUGGAAUAAUGGCAGUUGUAGUAAAUAAUACACAAUGGGUUACAGGAUAAUGUUGAUGCUUGUUGAUUUUUUUAAUAAAUACUACAUAUAGAAAAGUAGAUGUAUAACCAGCCAUAAGUGUUUUUAGUGGCUCUUGAUUACAAGUUAUUGUGCCUUGUUCAUAUGUAUUAUUUUUUUCUUCUACAUGUUUAGUGUUGUCAUUUUAGUUCCAAGUAUAAUAUUCGAUUCCUUAAUUCUAAUCUUUAUUGCCAAUAUUUUCACUUUAUUCAUGAUUUUUUUGAAUACAUGUUAGUUUAGGUUGGGUGUGGACAAUUUGGGCUACGCAUGAGUGUUGUUAGAAUUUGAUAUUUAGGAAACUAAAUGAUUAAAUGUGGAUUGCUUGGUGAAUUAUGAUUGAGAUUGAGUUAUUUUUUUCUCUUUUUAUUCAAAACUUCUUUUCAUCUAAAUAAGUCAUUGGAUAAUCACAUGAUAAUUGGCUUUGAAUAAAUUCUCCUCAUUUUGAUUCUUAGAAAUUUGAUUUGUCUUAAUUUUCUAAAAUAAUUCACACAUGUACAUUUACAUUUUUUAAUAAUCCAAAUUUAAAAAUAUACAUGAACCGUUUUCCUUUUUUGGAAAAUUGAUUUUAUACCUCAUUCAUAACAAGAUCAAUCUUAGUCUCUUUGAUAAUGGAUGGCUUUUGUAUUUAAAACCUAUCUUAGUCUCUUUUAAGUAGAAAAUUUCAAUUUCUAAAAAGAAUAAUGCUGCCCAUUUUAUUUGGUAUGCAACUUUGAAAGGUUUUAAAAUAUUUUUCCCUUAAUCUAGACUUCUUAAAUUUAAUUUUUGACAUAUUAAAUAUUAAGAAAAGAUUUCUGAAAUGAGAGAUAUAAUUUUUUUCUUUUUGACCUUGCUGCACCUAUGCUCCCCUAGAGCUGAAGGAUGUUUACUUAUUUUUAAAUGUGUCAUGAAUGUAACAUUGCCUUGUGAUUAUUAUUUUUUAUUAAAAAUAGACAUGUUAGCUAGUUGUACGAAUUUUUGUAUGAUUUUAGGACAUCUCCAAGUUAAUUAAAAAAAUAAGUUCUUGAGUAUUUUAACAAAAUGCCCUGUUCUGAACCUACUAAUAUCAUUAUGAAAUCUAGUACUAAAUGAGAGCUAAUUGAUAAAUUGGAUGAUAAAGUAGACAUAUAGAAGAUAUUCUUUGAAAAUUUUUGUAAUGAAAUUCAACUUCUAGAUAUUUGUUUUUGAUUUAUUAUAUCCCCUGUUUUGACCAUUUGCUGACUUUUUUUUUUUCUUUUUUUUUUUUUUUUUGUAAAAGAACUCAUUUGUAAAUAAAUUUGACAUUGAUUAUAUAUAAGUUUAGUUUGUAAUUCCUUUUUGAAUUCAUUACUAUUAUUUGUGAGUUAAUCUCAUUUCUAUGAAAAUGCUUUAAGAUGCUAAAACAGGUAUGCAAACCCUCUUUUCAUAAUUUAUUUAAAUUAAAGCUUAUGAUUGAACAUUGUCUAUUAGAGUUUGCUAGUUGUGUUGAGAUUUAUGACUUUAAAUUUGACUUGUUAUGGAAUAUGUGAUUGCUUAGAAUACAAUGUGAUGCUAUUGCUUGUUAUCUAACUUUUGUGUUUUUUGGAACCGCUCAAAUUAGGUAUGCCUUUCUUCAUAUAAUUGAUGAAUUGUAUUGAUGUGUUUUAUUUAGUUCAUAGUAUCCAUGAAUCAACCAAUUGAUCUUCGGAAUUAUUUCAAUUUACUUAGUAGAGACCUAGCUUUUAGGGCUUAGAGGGACGCUAUAGUUCUUCAUUGUACCUUCCUGAUAAGUAAUCUGAUACUCGAACUUAGACUCGGGUUUUCAAAGACAAGCAUUUCUAAAUAAAAAGGAGUCAUUUUCUAGGGUUUUUCUUUCUUAUUUUGUUUGUCAUUUUAAAAAAAUAAAACGAAAAUAAGUGGUGACUCCAUUAUUUAUAAAAUUGGUUUUUCACAAACAAAAAGUGAGUGUUGCCAUCGAGUGAGAAUGCAUGUGAAAAUGCGGGAUCACAAACGGUGAAGUAAAGUGGUUCUUGAUUUAUGUUUGACUUCUGUUUUUUAAACCUCCAUUUUGAUCUUUCCUCUUCGGUUCUGUUUGGUUUCCAAGAAAGUGGUCUAGGUCUAAUAUGGACCAUAGUUUCUUUCUUUUUCUUGGUUUUUGCUUGUGUUUUUCUUUUUCUUGGUAUAUCUUUGGUUUACAAGAAACAGGAGUGAAGUAAAGUAGGUUCUUUAUUUUUGUUUGGUACUUUGGUUUCUCGUUCUCAAACCUACGUUUUUAUCUUUCCUUUUAUGCUCUGUUUGGUUUCCAAGAAAGUGGUCUAGAUCUAAUAUGCACUGUGCUUUCUUUCUUUUUCUUGCUGUCUGUUUGGUUUACAAGAAGCAGGAAUGAAGUGCAGUGCAUUCUUGAUUUCUAUUUGGUUUCGAAUAAAGUGAAGGAAAAUGAUGUCUUGCUUGUUAUAUAAUCAUUGAUAAGACGCCCAGGGUAAGAACCUCAUAUUCCUAAAAACAUGCUUACCAAUGAUUUUGCUUGAGCUCUUAGAAAUAAUCUCAAAUAAUCUCACUUAAAGCUCUCAAAUAGUAAUCUAUGUCCACCAUGAUAAGACAUGAUGAAAUAAGCCCCACAAAAAUAGUAUUUCAGUGCCAUUAUUUGAACCCAAGAUGAGCCCCAUGGCUCUAUCGUUUGCCUUUCUCAAGCAAACCCUACAAAGUGAAGGCUUCUUUUCUAUUAUUUAACUGUGGAGUGAGGUAACCACAAGGGAGAACCAUCAAGUAGACGCUAUCUCUUUUGCUUUCACUCUUUAUCACUGCUUUAAGUCUAAUUAUGCCUUAGAAGUAGAAACUAUGCACUAACCAUUCUCAGGUCCCACAACCCACUAUUCAUAAGCAUCAGAGUGAUGCUGUGCAUGAAGAUACUUGUACAAGGGUUUUAUGUCAUGCAACUUUCGGUGAAUCCAAUAUGUUACGAACUCCACAAAAACAAUAUAUGCCAUGAUGUACACCAAGUAGGCAAACCAGCCAACUUCACUUAUUCUUGAAAAGCACUUUGUCCACCCAUUUUCGACUGCAUACUCUGAAAAUGUUGGGAGAGCAGCAAACCAGGGAAAACUCCUCAUGGAAGCUUUGACGUGCAAAACAAAAAUGCACUAUUGGAAUAACAUGUAAUUAAGAGCUCAAGAAGACAUGCCAUUCCCUAAUGAAACAACGCUAAGCACUAUUGGAAUAAGCACGCAUUUAAACAAAACUGACAUAGAGAGUCUCUGUUUCUGGGCGUUUUUUGGAAGAGAGUUCAAAGAUUUUCUUUCUGUAGAAGAUCAUCACAUGCACCGAUUCAAAGAAUUUAGAGAGCUUCUCAUUAGAGUCAAGGUUCUCGUCAUUCUAGACCUUUAUGAACAUCUUCUUCACGGCAGCAUUGGCAUCCCGAUUCCUGAACCUCCAUGAUUGAUUGAUCUCCAUCAUCUUCACGAUCUUCACGAUCGUGCACUAGUUCUGAAAGAAGAGACGUGAAUCUCUUCAUCGUCUUCACUCUCUAUACUUGUAUCUCGAAGGUUAUCCCGGUUUCUAUGUGCAUCGGAUCUCCAUAGAUGAACUCGGAUUUUGCAUUGAUCUGAAUCUCAAGCAUGCAUUAUUUCCAUAUUGUGCUGCCAAACUUGGUGUUUUUCUUCAUUUAUUCUUCACCACAACAGUUGGACAUAAAGGUUAGUCUCAAUGAAUCUUUACCAUUUGAAUUAGUUUAUUAAUGAUUUUUAAGUUAUUCAUUGAUGAAGUUAAGGCUAAUAGAUGAAAUUGGUUUGUUGAUUUUGAAACUCACGGCUGUUUGUGACAUGCUUUUAUCAAAAUUAGAGAAUGAAUAGAGGCUGACUAUGAUUACUAUAUCUAGAUAUAUGUUAUGGAAUAAUGGCAGUUGUAGUAAAUAAUACACAAUGGGUUACGGGAUAAUGUUGAUGCUUGUUGAUUUUUUUAAUAAAAGCUACAUAUAGAUAAGUAGAUGUAUAACCAGCCAUAAGUGUUUUUAGUGGCUCUUGAUGACAAGUUAUGAUGCCAUGUUCAUAUAUAUAUAUAUAUUAAUUUUUUCUUUUUUUAAUCCUAUCUAUGUUGUUGAUAUUAAUGCAUUGAAUUUGAUGUUACCUAAAACAAAAUUAUAUUCAUGUCCUCUAUUAUAAGUGGACAACCAUUCUUUAUGUUAGAUUUUAGAUAAAGAACGAAUAUUGAAGAUUGGAGUUGUAAGAAAUUAGGAGAUCCUAAUUUUAAAUAUGUAACAAAGUUCUAUAAUCACUUCAAUCCACAUUUAAAAAUUGUAUUUCUUUCUAAAAUGGGAUCAAACUUUUUCCUUCUUUCUUAUAAAUUUCAUUUGGGAAUGAUUUAAAAAUAAAUAAAUAAAAGCCCUUCUAAAUAUUAAAAAAACACUCUCUUAUAAAAUUUAAUUAGGUGGAUGGUUAGGUCAAAUUCGGGAUAGCUUCAUAUUUUUUGCUUUAACUGAAAAUUAAAAUCAAAAUUAAAGUAAUAAUUUUUAAGAUGUUGUAAAAGUUAUAUUAAACAUGAAAGAACUUAUUGUGUAAACAAAAAUAGAAUUAUAGAAUUCUUAUAAGAAAUAACAUUUUUAUGACUUCUAUAUGAAACUUUUUAAAAAAUUUAUCAGUUUUUCUUUUUAAAAAAUAAUUAAAUAGGUAUAAAAAACUUUUAUUCAACUUAAUUUUUUUUAACUCUUGAAAGUAAAUCCAAAUAAAAUUUAAAUAUAUUUGAAAAUCAUUUUCAAAAAUCCAAAAAAUCACCUAAAAAUAAUUUCAAAUUUUUUUUAUUUACAUUUAAAUACUAAGUGAUUCUUUUAAAAAUCAUUUGUAAUGUCAAAAUAUUUUUUUAUGGAUAAAAAUAUUACAAAUAAAAAACAUUUCAAUCACAAUUAAUUUAUUUUUAAUUCAUGAAAUUUCAUUUAUUGUUACUUAUUUUUUGGGAUUUAAUUCUUUACAAUUAUUUUUGAGUGUUUACAUAGAAUAAUUAGGUUAUGCCCAAAUUUAUUCCUUUAACUCUAUCCAUCAGAUAUAAGUAUCGUGAAAUUUUGGCCUGUCUCCACCUUUCUUCGCUUUUGACAUUGUCAUGCACUGCUUCCUCAACUCCAAACACAACCGCUGAGGAUCGAAGAAAAUGAGACAAUGGUCAAUGAAUAAUUUAUUAAUUUUUUUCUUAAUUUAAUAGCAUUGGAAUGUCAGUUGGAACAAACCAUUUGAUGAUCUUUUUCAUAAGUAUCCAUUUAGAUCAUAGUCUUUUUAAAAUAUUAGAAUAAAUCAAUUAGUCUAAGCUAUAUCAUUUAUAAUUUUUUUAUUAUUAAUAUGAUACCUAUCCUUUCACGGAAUUGAAAUAAAAUAUGAAUAAUUAAAAAAUGUCAACUAUCCAUGAUAUUUGAUACCAAACUUUUCUAAUACAACAUGAUAUCAUGUUGAAUGAAAUGGGAAUCACCAAAUGUUCUCAAAUCAAAGAUAUAUCUACAGGGGACACGUCAAAUUCUCUUUUUAUAAUCAAAGGCUUCCAAAAAAAUUCAACCAUAGCAUAUCUCAAAGAUUAGUCAAAUUCCAUUAUUUUUAUAGACUUCUAACAAUUCAAGAAAUUGACAUUAAUAAUCCCAAACACAAUAUUCUGCAACUUUACAUUAUUCUUUUUAUUGUAAUUGAAGAGGAAUACCAACUUAGUCAAAUAGAAAAUAAAUCAUGAAAGCUGAAUAAUACAAAUAUUCAGUGAAAUCUUUGGCAUGUUAUUUCUUUGCAGCUUCAACAUGGUGGCAUGUCGGAUGGAGGAGGCAGCAUUUGAGCUUCUGGGUGUUUACCAUUUUUCACUAUGAAUGCAGUUUCCAUGCCCCAAGUCACAUGGCGUUCUACAUGGCAAUGCAGGAACCACACUCCUGCAACAGAGAAAAUAUAUCGAGAUUACACCUAACUUAAUUGUAAUAUUAAAAAAAAAUUAUUUCAUUGGUAUGCAAGUUGGCAGUAUCAAGGGUUUUUUUCUUUAAUAGAGGACAUGAGUGCUUGCAACGUACCAGGGUUGGAUGCCUUGAAUCUGAUUGCAACCCAACCUUUCGAAGGAACAGAGAUGGUAUUCUGAAGGGGAGGAUCCACCAAAUUAUAGUGCAAAGGGUCCCUAUUUUCAUCGAAAUUCCUAAAUCCCCAUCCAACAACAUAGAAACUGUAUCCAUGGAGAUGCAUAGGGUGGUGUGUCUCUGCAAGCACGGCUGUCCCUUGAAGAACAAUCUCCACUGUGGAGUUAUACUCGAGCACCCUUACUUCUGUUCCACUGCUCGGCAACUGAUAGAUUAAUGGAAGAUAAUCAUAUGUAAAAUCGAACACUAGUGGUGGAAAGCUAGGAAAGUUAUUUCCAUAUACACCACUGAUGUUAUAAUAGUAAGCUUCCAGUAUGUCAACCGUAGGGGUAUGGAAGCUUAUGUUGUUUAUACUUGAGGAGAACCGCGUCCCAUUUGGCCCUGCACAUGAAUCAUUGACGCAUGGGUACGAGUUCAUAGAAAGAGUGUAAAACAACUUAGUGCUCGUGCUCAAUGGGACAUUGCAAGGAUGUUCCGCAUUUGCUAAGCUUCGGAGGCCGGCCAUGACCUGAACUGAUGCAUCUGUGUCAUUGUAUGCAGGAAGAUGAGGCAAAGAGGAGGUGAAGAUGGAGUGUAGUAUCCCCUAUAUUGUACAAUAGCUGUGGUGGUUGUGUUAUCAUAAAAGCCUUGAUAUUUCGGGGCAACAGAAUAAGUUAUAGCCGCCAUGUAAUAGUGAUUUGGGCGUUGGUUAGCUUCUAAUAAGACAUCAUAGGUUUGGCCAGGAAAUAUUGUGAUAUAAUCUCGUGUCAAUGGUUUCGUGUAGCUACCAUCUGUUCCAACCACUAUCAUUUUAUGCUUGGCUAUGGCGAAGAAGAGAGCCUCAUGCAAGGCAGCAUUGAUUAUGCGAAGUAGAUAGGUCUUUCCAUGAUCCACCGUUAGCUUGAAUGUGCCUGUAAUUAGAAAGGGAAAGUUGUAUACUUAUGACUAGCAAAAAGAAAAAGAAAAAUUUUCCAUGAGAAUCCACCAAUUAUGAAGUGAUUGAUUAAUUAAGGGUGUAAAUUUGGCUCCAUAGUUCAAAAUUAUAUUUGGACUAGCCUUUUCUGAUGUGUUAAAUCAUGGCUCUACCAUCCUUAUAGCUAUAUUCCUCUUUCUUAGCAUUAACCUCUAAAUAUGUUGAUGUUAAUAAGAAAAAGUAGUAUGGUUAACAUAUAGGAAAAUGAAAUCAUGUACAAUUUUAAAAUGGGAAGUUAAACUUUGUACCUGAUUUUGAGCAUGGAAAUAGAUCACCGGGUUGUCCAUUUAUCAAUAAAGCAUCGGAGGAGUUAGGGUCACCUCCGGUUGCAAGCCCUUGAUCUCGAACCUCAUUCACAUCCCUCUUCCACCAUUCUCCUGCGUUUCAACAACUUCAAUAAUUUUAGAUUUUGCUUUGUUGGUUAAUUCAUAAUAUGUAAAUUAACCUUUAAAAGUAACAACACUUAUACCUAAUAUGAUGGGGACUUCUGCGUUAGGUUUGUGAAAAGGAUACUUGGUUCCAUUCCUGGGAUAGAUGAUUAUAGCUCCAUGAACAGUGGCUCGGGUCCAAUCACUGUGAGCAUGCCACCAUAGAGUGCCUUCCUCAGUGGAAAGGAUGAUCUUCUGGGUAAACUUUGACCCUGGCUGAAUUGGGCAUUGUGUGAUAUACUCGGGACCAUCUGUCCAUGGAUAUCUAGGCAUGGUCACCCCAUGCCUGUGAAACCAUAACCAUAUGUUAAAACUAGUACUAAUUUUCAAAGUAACAAAAGAUAGCAUGUAACAAGCAUCAACUGUAUUUCAAUGGAUAUGAAGAAAAUAACCCUAAAGUAUUGUUUUAAAUUUGACUUUAUUUUCAAAGCAAUAUAUUGCGGCCCCCUCUUAGAAAUAAAAGAAUUUAAGCCAUGUCUUUCUCUAAGACACACACAGGGCCUACCAGUGAAUGGUGACGUUUUCUUUUCCCCUGUUAUAAACGUCGACAAUGAUUGUCUCUCCUUUCAUAGCAUAUAUAGUUGGUCCCGGAAAUUGUCCAUUUACUGUUAAGAUGUUCUUGGCGCUACAAAGCCUUGUAUAUGAAGCUUCCCUCACCUGCAACCAAUUAAAAGUUAACCAUGCAAUCUCAUCCCAAAAGAAAUAUUACAUGUAUGAAUAGUUCCAUCGAUCCAUUCAUGUAAGUGUAUAACCAAUUAGAAAUUGAUGGCAUGGAUGAACGACUCAACGACACCCAUAACAUGCAUGAACAACUCAAUGACACUAGGGUAAGAGGUCAUAUGGUAGAAAAUGAGAGCCAUACUACUCCUUAAAUAUCAUGAUUAGAAGGUGGUGUUUAGGCCAAUAUCAUAUAUAGUAUUUACCACAAAAGUAAGCUGACGGGUCGAAGCUUGGCAAUGGAUGCCACCACCAAAAACUAGAAACGCUAAAAUUUGCAAGAGGAAAACCUUCAUGAUCAGCCACAUUUUCCUUGGAAUAAAAGCCUCUUCUCUUCUCUUGUCCUAAACACAACUCCUUCAAUUCUCUUACUACUUUUGAUGUAUUUCUUUCACAUGUGAUUCAUUAUAUAGGCAUGGUAAUUCUCUCGGGAUACAAUACUUCCUCUCCACGUGUCAAUAUAAGAGGAAGUGAUUUGAAUGUGUAUUGGUUUUCAAUGUUCUUAUGAUAUUUCUUACAUGAGCAGGACCAUUCAAAAUAAUUAAUUAUGAUAUUUCUUACAAGUUACCUACACGUUACCUUAGAAUAUAUAAAUUUUAAAUAUUCUUUCACAAGUCCAACAAAUGUUAAUUAAUUAAAUAUAUGUAGAAUACUUUUAAAACUUUGACCUCCCGUAUGAGUACCCUUAUCAAGAUCAGUCAUGAAAACUGUUUUUCAUUGACAACUACUUUUAAGAAUUAUUUUAAAAUUAUUUUUGAAGAAUUAUUUUUAUAAACAUUAUUUAACCAACCCUUAUUAUUAAUUUUACUUGUUUUCGUGUUACUUAAGAUAAUUAAUAGUGCAGAACCCAUGACUUUGGUGGUUGGUGGCAAAGUUGUUUUCGUAUUGUUACGUAAUGCAAUUAUAAUAAUAAUAAAAUAAUUAAUUUUACUUGUUUUCGUCUGAAUGGGACAAAGUUGUUUCCCUUUUUUUUUUAAACCUGAGAAUUGAGAUUGUAAAAGACAAGAUGAUAAGCUAAUUCGGUAUUUCAGAAUUUUUCAUAAAAAACACAAAAAUAUAUUUUGUAAAAAGUUGAAAAUAGGAUACGAACAACCCCUUGUAGUAUUUUUUUCUCAACAAAAAGCAAUUUAAUUAUAAUAAUAAUAAAUAAUUAUAGAUUUAAAAAAAAAUAUUUUUUUUUUGGGGCAAUUUCUAGUAGUUCCAACUCCCAAAAACUUCUCCACCUUUGAUCUUUUAUUUGGUUAGGUUGGGUUGGGUCACCUCGACUUGGGCACCCACCCAACUCCAACAAUAUUUAAGUAAUUAAUAAAGUAAAUGAUUGAAUUACAAUGAACAAGUAUAAUGAUCAAAAUAAAAAUAAAAAAAUCUUUUUUGUUUUAAUACAAAUCAUUUACCAUUCAAAAAUAUUCUUAAUAUCUUCAUUUUCUUUUUGUGUUUUUGAAAGUUCAUUUUUGUUUUAACUAGAUCAAAUAAUAUUUGUACAAUAAUGCCUUUAACAUACAUUUUUGAUCAGUAAUACCAAAUAAACAUCUCAACAAAUAUUAUAUUAGAUGAUCAUUAAUUUCACUAUCUUCAUUUUAUUUAUCUUAUUCUUCUUUAUCCAGUGCAUUUAAUUAUGUGUUGUAAAAUGAACAAGGACCUCUACAGUUAUAAUCUCACCUAAAAAGUUGGAGAAGUUAUCUCUACAUUUAUGGUUCAUGCAUGAAAUAAAUUGUUUUUGUACUUCCAUCAUCAAAGAUGCAUGUAUGUCUAUGUGGACCCACAUUUCUCACAUGUGCCUCCACUCAAUCGGUGAGACUCACUUUUAUUAGUGAAAAAUUAAGUUUUGGAAAAGUCGGAGUCGCCACAUAUUUUAUUUUAUUUUAAAGGGAAAAUAAAACAAGAAAUAAAACCCUAAAAAAUAACUCCAUAGUUUUGGAAAAAACAUGUUUUUGAAAAACCCGAGUCUAGGUCCGGGGAUCAGGUUACCUAUUGGGAAGGUACCCCUAAAAGGUAGCACCCCUCUAAGCCCUAUAAAGGUCUCUACUAACUAAGUUAAAGGAGAUGUGACAAUUAAUUGGUUAAUUAUAAAUACCUAAGUAAGCAAGGUGAUUUCAAAAAUAGCAUGUCUAACAAGAAAACCAAUCAUAAUCAUAAAGAAGAUUUAGGGUGCGUACUUGGACUGCUUCUUAUGCGCUAUCACAAGACACCAAAGUUAGUUCAAAUAAUAUAUCAUCUAGCAUGCACUUUAUCAGAAAUAAUUUAACAAUGAAACUAAUAUCAAGGCACCCAAGCAUUAUCAAACAUAGACAUAGUUCACAAUGACAAGCAUAUUCACAGAAUUUAGAAGGCAGGUGUUAGGGGGCAUACCUGGAUAGCAUAGAUAACUUGUAACAUGUUUCCUUAAGACAUGAUGGGUUAGAUAAUAAAAUAUAAAACAAAGAAAUCCUAGCAUGCUUGUUAUCUAAUUAGCAUAGCAAAAAUGAUCAAAGUAUACGAAAACAUCAAUUAUCUUGUAUACAAUUCCUGAAAAAUAAAUAUAAAUAUGAUUACAACAAGUAACAAAGGUGGCAACAAAAAUAAAUUUUGAAAAUAUUUUCUUAUGUAGGGGUUUCACCAAUUCCCCAAUUAAUAUACAUGAAUCUAGCCUAGAAUUAUCCCAUUUGUUUGGGACCAUAAGAUUGAAUUCGUAUUCCACUCAAAACCAAAAUUUUUAUUGAAAACUGAAGAAGAUGCAAACCAACCAAAACAUGGUUGCAUAUUACUUAAGAAAAUGAGAUUUUGGUUCUAAGGACUCUAAAUGGAUUUUUAAAAUGGAUUUUUAUGAGGAACAUCUUGAGAAAAGCAUUUUAUUUUACAAUGAAGAAAUUAAUCUAAAAACAACAAAACACGAGAAACAAACUACCAAGUGAAACAAAAGAAAAAAAAAAUCACAAAACGGAAUUUUUUUACAACCGAGCAAACUAAAGUGGUAAGAAUGGAGGCCAAUCUUCACUAUUUUUUUAUGGCCUCUGAAAAGUAAAUUUUACCGGAAACUACCAAAGCAAUAAACUAUUCAAACUUAAAUCAAUUAAAUUAAUGACUAAUAUUCAAGAAACAUAUCAAUUAAGAGUAAUAAUCAAGAAUUAGCGCGUGAUCAAUUAAACACACAAAUGUAUCUUGACUAAUUAAAAUGGACCAAAUUAAAUCAGGGCAAACAUGAAUUCUCAAUCAUAGAAUUAUUUUAUUAGUGAGCUAACAUUAUAGAAAAUGCCUAAAUUAAAUAGAUGAGUGAAGCUAAAUCGGAAUAAACUAAACACAAGCACCUGCUAAUAUAGAAUUGAUUUUAUUAAUAACUUAAAAUUAUAAAAAAUACUUAAAAUAAUUAAAAUGAAUCAAAUUAAAUGAAAGCAAACUAAAAACAAAAUAUGAAUUCAUGGAAUCAACUUCCUAAAUAAAUUUACAUUAUUGAAAUGAAAUCUAUGCUCAAAAUGAAUUAAACACUAAUUAAGGCAAAUCUAAAAAUCAAAUAUUUAACACAUGAGGUCAAUUAUUUUAACAAACUAAAAUUUUACUUAAACCUAAAAUUAAAUUGAAAAACUAUCCAAAACUAAUUUUAAAACUAAACUAUAAAAUCAAUCUCAUUAACAAAUAGAUAAAUAGAUAACACAUGAAUAAAUAAGUAUGACUAAAACGAAAUAUGAACUCAUGAAAUCAAUUUUUUUUAAAUAAAUUUACAUUACUAAAAUGAAAUCUAAAUUUAAAAAUAUUUUUAACACCAAUUAUGGAAAUCCUAAAAUCAAAUAUUUAACACUUAAUAUUAACUACUUUAACGAACUAAAAUUUCACUUAAACCAAAAAUUAAAUUAAAAAACUAUCUAAGACAAAUUUUAAAACUAUGUCUCUAACCUAUAACAUAAAUCUUGCUAAUAAAUGGAUAAAUAGAUAGCAUAUAGAUAAAUAUAUCUCAAAUUGAAAAUGACUUACAAAGGUGUAACAAUAAAUUCAUAAAGAACCUUUAAUAUAUUGUAUUGAUUGGUUAAAAAUAUAAUAGGAGAAUAGCUCACCUAAUCGAAUAUGUGUAUGGGUAGUAGGCUUCUCAAAGUGGCAGCCGCGUGACUGAUUCGACUAGCCAAAUCCAACUGGCUGUGCAAAUAUGCAAACUUCCAAAGACCUCCGGGGCUUGCUUAGAUCACGACUUCAAGACGCAUGCUGUCAUGGACCAAACCAUCUUUCAGAGAACGUGUUGCAAUAUCUCCUCUCCAUAGGUCGGAAAUCUUCUUCCAAUAACUCAGACUGAUCUUUCAAAACUCGGAUUGAGUUUCGAAGAAAAACGGACUGACCUUCAUCUUCCAGUUUUGGUGUUCGACUCGUCCUUCCUCUUACCUCCUGAAUGCUCGAUAUCCUCCUCUUGCCUCUUCGUACAACUGUUGCCAAUUUGUUUCUUUUCUGGAUGCCUGCUUCAUAAAAGCUUUUCUUCGGUAAAACCGAGCUUUCCCAGCCUUCUCCACGUGCUGGAAAAUUUCCUUCAAGGGUGCAGCUGCACUUGUUUUUUUUUUUCAAUGGUGUGGCUGCACCUUUCUCACCAUCCGAAUCCCAAACUUUCCUUUGGUCUUAAUGGUGUGGCUGCACCUACUCCCACUCCCAGAAUGAUGUGGCUAUCGAUCUACUCCUCCAGAUUCAACAAGGUAGGUAUGCACUCAUCUUCCCAAUCGCGGGGUGAAUAGCCGGUGAAUAUCAACAAGCAGUCGUGUAUGUGGGUUCCAAAACAGCAGUUUGAAUCCACUUUGAAACCUGGACUGAUCCUCCUCAAACAGCAGCUCCCAAAUGCCUUUUUUUUUUUACACAGACUGAUUCCUCCACUUUAAAAUCACAACUUAACUCCCAAAAAUAAUCCUUCUGAAAACCCCUUCAAUCGUGCGUCGUUCUUCAUUUUUCUUUUUCUUUUUUCUUAAUCCAUCACUUCGUCAGCUCCUCUACUGCCACAGUGAUGGAAAAAACAGCAGAAAAUGGUUUCCUUAUCCUCUUCCAAUCACCCUCAAUCCCCUCCAAUUAUUCCUUUUGUUUCCUUUGCCUUACCUUUUCUCUCUUCCUCUCUCUCCAAUCCACUAGUUGUCUUCAUCUUUCCUCUUAAUGGUGUCUUUUCUUUUCUCCCUUACUCUCUCUCCAAUUACCGACUGCCUCCGUCUUUCCUUUCUAAUGGUGUCUUUCUUUUUCUUUUGGGAGAAUUAUGUUUUAGGGGUAGAUGGCCCCCAAAUUAACAAAAGGUCCAUGUAACUCUUCAAAUUGAGCCCAAGACCUAAUGAAAGUAUGGAAAUUGAGUUGAAGGAUAUCAUUCUUUAGUAUUUUCAAAAAUGCCCUUUGUUGAUUUUGAGAAAAAAAUUAAUAUUUUUGAAAAAUACUUUUAUUUAAUUUAAUAUUUUUUAUUUAAUUUAAUAUUUUUAAAAAAUACUUUUAUGUAAUUUAAUAUUUUUUAAAAUACUUUUAUUUAAUUUAAUAUUUUUUAAAAAUAAAUUUAUUUAAUUUAAUAUUUAAAAAAAAUUAAUUUAAUAUUUUUUUAAAUACUUUAAUUUAAUUUAAUAUUUUUGAAAAAAAAAUUUAAUUUAAUAUUUUUGAAAAAAAAAUUAUUUAAUUUAAUAUUUUUGAAAACUACUUUUAUUUAAUUUAGUAUUUUUGAAAAAAAAUUAUUGAAAAAAAAUUAUUUAACUUAAUUUUAUAAAAUAUUUUAUAUGUGUUCUUAAAGGGUAUAUUUGUCCGUUACUAUUUCAUAUCCUUCAACUCAAUUUGAAGAGUUAUAUGGACCUUUUGUUAAUUUGGGGGCCCAUCUACCCCCAAAAGAUAAUUCUCCCUUUUCUUUUAUGGAGCAUGUGGGAUCCAUGCAAAACAAAUAAUAAAAAAAAAAAAAAGUAAUAGGAAAAUUAAAAUACAAAUAAAAGAAAACUAAGGGUUAGAAUAAUAAAAAAAAACAUGCAACUAAGAAUUAAAAAUCCAAAUUAUGUAAUUUUAAACGAAAUUAAAAAAUAUAAAUCACAUGCAUAACUAAAAUGAAUUAUCAACUCAAGCAACUCUCUAUCAAAAUAAAUUAAUAAAUAAAUAAAUAAAACAAAAUGAAUAUGAUUAUUAAGUUCAUGCAAUUUUCUAAAAAUAAGUAAAUAAAUUAAUAAAACUAAUAAAUAGAUAAAGAUAAAAAAACAAAAACAAAAUCAAGCACAUGCAAGCCAUAUGAGCUAUGCAACCAUGCAAGCCAUGCCAACCAUGCAUCCAUAUAAAAAUGAUCUAAAUGGGCCUAGGGUGCCUAAGUGGGCCUAGGGUGGUGCCUAAUGGGCCUAGGGUGGUGCCUAAUGGGCCAAGUGUGUCUAAAUGGGCCUAAGGUGCUUAAGUGGGUCUAGGAUGGUGCCUAAUGGGCCAAGUAUAUCUAAAUGAGCCUAAAGUGGUGCCUAAGUGGGCCUAGUGGGCCAAGUGUGUCUAAAUGGGCGUAAGGUGCUUAAGUGGGUCUAAGGUGGUGCCUAAUGGGCUAAGUGUAUCUAAAUGGGUCUAAAGUGGUACCUAAUGGGCCUAAGGUGCCUAAGUGGGCCUAGGGUGGUGCCUAAUAGGUCAAGUGUUCCUAAACGGGCUUAAGGUAUCUAAGGUGGGGCCUAAUGGGCCAAGUGUAUCUAAAUGAACCCAGGGUGCCUAAGUGAGCCUAAGUCUAAACUAGGGCUGCCAAGAAUCACAAUGGAGUUAUAUAAAUCACUCAAUCAAAGUCCCCAAGGUGGCUUAGAAAAGAUAGGUUACAUGAGUAGUAGUGGGCCACCAAGGAAUUGUUGUAAAGUAUCAAACGAACACAUAAUAGGACAUGUGCUAGUAUGACAAAAUGGAGGGUCUACAGUCUAACAAUGGCAAAAGAAUCUAUGAGGUCAAGAAAAAAAUGAAAAAAAAUUAUAUGUUUUUUUAAUUCAUUUCAUUUAUUUAUUUUUCUAUUCUAUAUAAAAAUUCAAUAUAUAUAACUUUUUAACUAAUUUUAAUUAUAUUUUUCUUUCAUAUUUUAUAUAAUAAAUCAAAAACUAAAAAAAGAAGAUAUUUUUUAAUAUUUCAACUAUAACAAGGUGGGCAAAAUUAAUUUAUAAUGCUAGGAUAUCCUAACAACCUAACCUUCAAAUUUCCUUAAAUAAAUAAUCACUUCACUAGUAAUAUAUUUUCUUAUUCCACCCUAUUGUGAUUAGCACCAUAGUAUUUGUUAUACUUUGAAGCAUUUUGGUAUGAUUCUUAUCUCAUAAUAAGUCAUUUUUGAAGUAAACCCAACAUGGUUGAUAGAAAUCCUCUUCCUAAAUGAACCUCUAGGUUUCUUAUUCAUGAGUGUUGGUACAUUAAGUUAUAUAGUUUAAGAUUGAUAAUUUUGUUUCAUUCAUUUUGACUUAGGACUUUUUUAGAUUAUGUCUUUCUCUCCUUUGAAAACUCGAAGUUGUCGUGUGAUUAACUGGAAUAACAAAGGUAAGUAUCGAAUGAUCUAGAAAGGAAAAUUAGAGUUAGUUAAGGUUGGCACGAAUGUCCAAUUCUUAAACCGAGUUUUUUUUAAAAUAAGAAAUAAAUAAAAAAAACAGUUUUAAAGAACUCCUUGAGUUCUCUAAUGAUGCAGAGAGCGCUUAAGCGCUCAUUGCAGCACUCAAGUGUGAUAGAAUUCUUUAGAAUUUCACAGCUUUAAUUUUCCAACUUUUACAAGCUUUAUUUUGGGAAAAUUCUAAAUCUGAUCCACUAGGAUCUUGGCCUAAUAAAUAACUUUCCUAAAGAGGAUUUUCUCUUUUUGAUGUUAAUGUUUCAAAAAACCUAAUUUGUCAUCUUGCUCCCAAAACUAUGAAAGAUGAUUGUCUUCGCUUUUACUAGGUUGAGAAAGAGAUUUGCAUCUCCACAAACACUAAAGUAAGAUUCACGGGGAGCACAAGUGGUGUUGUACUACAAAUGUGAAGUAUAGUAGAAGUGAUAGUGAGCUCACGACCCAGAGUUGUUUGCAUCCUUCACAUCCCUGAGAUGUUUGGUUUUCAUCAUUCUAGCCACUUGCAAGUGGCCUCGACUCGACACCAUGAGUUAGAAAGAAUCUUGAUCGGUUAUCUAUUUAAAGCCAUGAGCUCACGACCUAGAGUCGUUCUUCUUAUUUAUGACCCAGAGUCAUUCUUCUUGGUGACAAUGGAGGUGCACUACCUGCAGGAAACAUGGAAGGUAAUGAGUUUCUUGUAGCAACAUUUUUUGUAAAAGAAUUUCCAGGGACAUUCAAGGGAACAUCGGCCUUUGCAUCAUUUAGCAAUGAAGUCACCAGACGAUCAAUCUCAAGAAGCGAAAGCCAUUGGUCAAAAAGCUCCUCGGAGACCCUAAGGUUCGACUUGAGAGCAAAAGGCAACACUUUCGGGAGCUGCAACAUUCGGUGUCCAAAGACACCAUAUUGCCAACUAUCUCCAUAUUCAUUGUUACACAACUUGAUUAAAGCUGAGCUGUGAGAAAUUUUCACAAUUGUUAGCAAUCUUCAGGCAUUUCAAUUAUUUAAAUUUUGGUAAGUAAUCAAAUAUCAUACACAACCUACUCUUUGAAGGGGUCUUGCACAUUGAAGUGGUCCUGGAAGAACAUUCAAAACCAAUACACAUUCAAAUUACUUCGCUUAUAUUGAUACGCGACGAGGAAUUGUUGAUACCCAAGCCACAUGUGAAUCUGUGCCCGUCAUCCGAAGAAUUCUGGUGUUCUGGAUUGAUGGGAGCAAAAAGGUGACCAGUUUUACCUUGAGUCAAAUUCAAAUGACAAAAUAUACUACCAUGGACAACGCCCUUUACUACAAAAAUAGCGCACACGGCCAAUCCCAUCAACCUAGUAUUACACCGAUUUGGAGGCAGAUGUACCAUAUUACUCUGUUGGCUGAACCACUCAGGAAUUCAACUUCUAGGAACAAAAGUACUGGAUUCAAUAUGUCGAGUAUAUGGCACCAUCUGGGUCAUGAAAAUCAAUGUCAAGUUAUAUGGAAAUAAUGUAGCCAUGUAGGAGUAGUGCUCAAAGGAGUAUAAGAAUUAUUCCAUAGGAUUUAAUUGAUUUACUUUUACAAUAUGAUCAAGAAAGAGAGGAGAGAAACCUGAAUUGGGAAUUGAAAUCUUGGUAAUUUAUUCUCCAGACUUUGCAUUUCCCUUAAUGUAGCUGCCACAAAGUUGUUGCUUUCAUUCUCAGACAGUCUGAAGCAAUUAGAAAAUGUGAAUCGGAGGCCCCCACAUUCCUUGGAUCUGUAGACACUUGAUGGACACAAAAUGUUUUCCAUAACUGUGCAAUCAUGGGUAUCUAUUUAUUCUAUACUUGAUGGAAGCUCUGGCAAUGAUUGAAGCCUCUUGCAAUAACCCAACCUAAGGCCUUUGAGCUGUGAAAGUUGAUUGAGGCUUGUAGGUAGAGUAACAAAAUUGUUUUUGCUUAGAUCUAAAUAUUCCAAUGAGCAUAGAGAGCUGAAGUCAUUGGGAAUUGCUCCUUCCAAUAUGUGGCAAUCACUUAGAUUUAGCUUUCUUAGGGAUCUUAAACCAAAGAAAGAUGCAGUUGCAAACCCCCAAAGCGUGGAAUUUCUGCUGGCAACAACUUGAAAAAGAGGAGUGAAUUCCUUGGCUUGGAUUCUAGUCCUUUACAUCCCUCAAAUGAUAAUACUUCAAGGUUUUCUAAAAGAGAAAUAGAGGGUGGCAGCUCUUUUAUACAGUUCCAGCUACUUCGAGCCUCUCUAAACCUUUUAGGCUCCCCGAACCCUUUGGCAAAUUGUCUAGUUUUGAGCAACCAGAUGGAAUAAGAGUCUGAAGAGAUUUCAACUUACAAAUACAAUGUGGAAGAAUUGCAAGGCUUUUGCAUUCUCUCAGAUUCAACAGAACAAGUCCACUUAGAUGUUGGAUUGAUGAAGGUAGCUCUUUUAGAGCAGUUCCAUCUAAGAAAAGUUCCAACAAACUCCCCAUAUUUUCCAAGACUUCUGGAAGUGUUGAGAUAUUAGGAAUGUUUAGAUAUUAGGAAAGUUGAGAUAUUAGGAAUAUUGAGAUAUUAGGAAAGUUGAGAUAUUAGGAUAUUAGUUGUUCUUUCCUUGUAUCAUUCUUUCCCAUUCUUAGAAUGGUGAUUACCCUCUAUAUAUACUUUGUACAUGAACGAAUGAAAGGAAGAAUGAAAAAACUACCAUUUAUCAAUUUGAAGAUGGUAUCAGAGCCAUGGAAUUGAAAUCCUGGAUAUUUUGUCGCUAUGGUAGUCCGACAACGAUCAACCCAUAAUUGGCAAGACCAAUCCAAGACCAACCAUCCUAAGACAAACCCUAACAUUAAUAAGUCAGCCUUCAAAUGCACUCACUGCAAUAAGACUGGUCAUACCAAGAGUUGUUGCUUUGAAAUUUGUGGGAUAUCUAGACUGGUGGGAUCAUAAUCGUGAUAAACGGAAGAAGGAUUCCGAGAAAGCCUCUGCAUUGGUAGCCACUAUAGAUUAUGGUGGUAAGUUUUUAAAUACUUUUACACCUGUUAUUAAUAGUGCAUGGAUAAUUGAUUCUGGUGCUACAGAUCAUAUGACUUUUUAUUCUAGACAGGUUUCAUCCCUUAGACCUUCCUCACAAAAAAUUGUUUCCACAGCCAAUGGUAACACAACCCCAAUCAUUGGGAAAUGAUCCUUGACUCUUACUGAUACUUUGAAUUUGGAUUCUGUUUUAGUUGUUUCAUCUUUAAAUUACAAUCUUUUGUUAGUUUCUCAAAUCACUGCAGGCUUAUCUUGUAUUGUCAUUUUUUGCCCUGAAUUUUGUGUUAUUAAGGACAUCCAAACAAGACAGACGAUUGAUUGUGGUAUUAAGCGGGGAAAACUCUAUUACUUGGACUUGCAAUCAAAGGAUUCAAAUAAGUUGCAACAAGCCUUGAUGGUAGAUGGAUCUGAGGGGGAGAAGAAAAAGUCUAAAAUUUGAUUGUGGCAUCGAUGUUUGGGACAUGCUUCCUUUGGUUAUUUAAAAAAAUUGUUUCCUAGUUUGUUUGCAAAGAGUGAUAUUUCUGGUUUCCGUUGUGAUAUUUGUGAAUUGGCUAAAAGCCAUCAUGCUUUGUUUCCAUUAAUUUUGAAUAAAAGUUUGCUUCCUUUAUGGUUAUACAUUCUGAUGUUUGGGGCUCAUCCAAAGUCCCAUCUUUGAGUGGCUCACGUUGGUUUGUUACUUUUAUUGAUGAUUGUACCAUAAUGACUUGGUUAUGCUUGAUGAGGACCAAAGAUGAAGUGAACUUGUUGUUUUAAAAUUUUCAUAAAAUGAUUGAAACUCAAAACAAUGUAAAGGUUCAGGUUCUAUGUAGUGAUAAUGGUGGAGAAUAUCAGAGUUUUAAUCUUCAAAAGCAUUUGGAAGGACAUGGCAUCAUUCAUCAGACUACUUGUUCCAAUACACCCGAACAAAAUGGAGUCGCUGGAUGGAAAAAUAGGCACUUGUUAGAGGUUGUUCGUGCUUCCUUGAUAGUAGCAAAAAUACCGAUAUCUUAUUAGGGAGAAGCAAUCACAUCUGCCGUAUACUUGAUCAAUCGGGUACCUUACAGCUCAAUUGACUUCCAAACACCUCUCCAAUCUUUUUUAAUGUUGUAGUUGUCCCAACUGUCCCAAAUCUACCUCCUUGUGUUUUUGGUUGGGUGGCAUUUGUGCAUCUACACAAACACCAAUGCACCAAGUUAACUUCCCGUGCAUUGCGAUGUGUGUUUGUUGGAUAUGCAUUGCACAAAAAGGGAUAUUAAUGUUACCAUCCUCCAACUCGACGACUGUUUAUUAUAAUGGAUGUGGUGUUUNNNNNNNNNNNNNNNNNNNNNNNNNNNNNNNNNNNNNNNNNNNNNNNNNNNNNNNNNNNNNNNNNNNNNNNNNNNNNNNNNNNNNNNNNNNNNNNNNNNNNNNNNNNNNNNNNNNNNNNNNNNNNNNNNNNNNNNNNNNNNNNNNNNNNNNNNNNNNNNNNNNNNNNNNNNNNNNNNNNNNNNNNNNNNNNNNNNNNNNNNNNNNNNNNNNNNNNNNNNNNNNNNNNNNNNNNNNNNNNNNNNNNNNNNNNNNNNNNNNNNNNNNNNNNNNNNNNNNNNNNNNNNNNNNNNNNNNNNNNNNNNNNNNNNNNNNNNNNNNNNNNNNNNNNNNNNNNNNNNNNNNNNNNNNNNNNNNNNNNNNNNNNNNNNNNNNNNNNNNNNNNNNNNNNNNNNNNNNNNNNNNNNNNNNNNNNNNNNNNNNNNNNNNNNNNNNNNNNNNNNNNNNNNNNNNNNNNNNNNNNNNNNNNNNNNNNNNNNNNNNNNNNNNNNNNNNNNNNNNNNNNNNNNNNNNNNNNNNNNNNNNNNNNNNNNNNNNNNNNNNNNNNNNNNNNNNNNNNNNNNNNNNNNNNNNNNNNNNNNNNNNNNNNNNNNNNNNNNNNNNNNNNNNNNNNNNNNNNNNNNNNNNNNNNNNNNNNNNNNNNNNNNNNNNNNNNNNNNNNNNNNNNNNNNNNNNNNGUGAACCAGGAAGCGGGUGAGUUGGAUAUGAGUGGUACAACUUUGGAACCAAGUAGUAAUGACCACCCAGAAAUUGAAGAAGUGAUAGAAGAAGGAAGAGACAAUACAAUUGAAUAAUCACCACCAUCUGAACAAUUUAGGUCCGAAGAUGUUUUCACUGAAAUACCAAACCAAUCGUCGUCUGCUGAGGGUGUUCUUAAUUUGGAACUUGAUCCAUUCAUGAAACGGUUACCACACUUUCAUAAUAGAGGUAUUCCUAAACCCACAUAUGAACCUGAAUUGUCUAUUAAAGUCAAAUAUCCCAUGAGCAACUAUGUGUCUAGCCAUUGUUUGUUUGAAUCAAAUAAGUCAUUUGUAAAUCAAUUAUCUACUGUAGCUAUUCCUAACAGUGUGUAAGAAGCCUUAGCUGAUCCAAGGUGGAAAACAACCAUGAAUGAAGAGAUGAAAUCAUUGUAGAAGAAUGAAACAUGGGAACUCGUAGAAUGUCCACCAGGAAAGAAGCCAGUUGGGUGUCGUUGGAUCUAUACUGUGAAGUACAAGGCAGAUGGUAGUAUUGAACGAUUUAAAGCAAGGCUGGUAGAAAAAGGGUACACUCAAACUUAUGAAAUUGACUACACAGAGACAUUUUCACCUGUAGCUAAGAUCAACACAGUUCGAGUAUUACUGUCUUUAGCUGCAAACCUAGAUUGGCCAUUACAACAAUUCAAUGUAGAAAAUGCCUUUCUGCACAGCGAGUUAUCUGAAGAAGUAUAUAUGGAUCUUUCACCAGGAUGCAUGGUGUCAAAAAGCAAUGUCAGAAGGUGUGUAAAUUGAAAAAGUCAUUGUAUGGGUUGAAGCAAUCCCCGAGAGCAUGGUUUGGAAGGUUCACAAAGUUAAUGAGAGCAUUUGGCUAUCAUCAAAGUAAUUUAAAUCACACUUUAUUCUUGAAAAAACAACAUGGUAAGAUUAUGGCACUCAUCGUAUAUAUGGAUGACAUGGUAGUUACAGGAAAUGAUCCUAAAGAAAGAAAAGCUCUGUAGAAUUAUCUAUUUAGAGAAUUCGAAAUGAAGGAUCUAGGUCCUCUGAAAUACUUUCUUAGGCUUGAAGUUUCUCGAUCAAGUGAAGGAAUUUUUCUUUCUCAAAGAAAGUAUGCCUUAGAUCUUUUAUAGGAGACUGGAAUGUUGGGAUGUCAACCUGUUGAUACACCAAUAGAAGAAGGUUUGAAAUUAUGUGUUGAGCCUAAUCAAGGGUCAACCGAUAAGGGAAGAUACCAGAGACUUGUGGGGAGAUUAAUGUACUUAGCUCAUACAAGACCAGAUAUUGCUUAUGCAUUGAGUGUAAUGAGUCAAUACAUGCAUAAUCCUGGAAAGCAAUAUAUGAAUGCAGUCAUGCGUAUUUUGAGGUAUUUGAAGAAUGCUCCUGGGAAGGGAAUUUUGUUCACUAAAAAUGUUGAUCAUUAAAGUAUAGAAGUGUAUACUGAUGCUGAUUGGGCCAGUGUAGUGGAUGAUAGGCGAUCUACAUCUAGUUACUUUACCUUUGUAGGUAGUAAUCUUGUGACAUGGAAAAGUAAGAAGUAGAAUGUCCUCACUCGUUCAAGUGCAGAAGCGGAAUUUAGGGGUAUAGCUUUAGGACUUUGUGAGGCAUUAUGGCUAAGACUCCUCUUACAAGAUUUAGGUUACCUAUCUAGGCAACCAAUCCGAUUGUUUUGUGACAAUAAAACCGCAUGUGAUAUUGCUCAUAAUCCAGUACAACAUGAUCUUACAAAGCAUGUCGAGGUAGACAGAUUCUUCAUUAAGGAGAAGUUGGAUGAUAAGAUUGUGGAAUUGCCUAAGAUUCGAUCAAAAGAUCAAUUGGCCGAUAUCCUCACCAAAGUUGCAGUCUCAAAUCGAGUGUUCUCAAAAUUUUUAGACAAGUUGGGCAUGUGUGACAUCUAUGCACCAACUUAAGGGGGAGUGUUGAGAUAUUAGGAAUGUUUAGAUAUUAAGAAAGUUGAGAUAUUAGGAAUGUUGAGAUAUUAGGAUAUUAGUUUUUCUUUCCUUAUAUCAUUCUUUCCUUAUAUCAUUCUUUCUCAUUCUUAGAAUGGUGAUUACCCUCUAUAUAUACUCUGUACAUGAACGAAUGAAAGGAAGAAUGAAAAAACUACCAUUUAUCAAUUUGAAGAGGAAGCUCUUUGAGUUUUAAGCAAUCUGAGAGAAUAAGAAUUUCAAGUGAUCUCAACCUAUAAAUACAGCUUGGUAAUGACUCAAGGUUUUGACAGUUCCUCAGAUUUAGUAGAACAAGUCCAGUCAGCUAUUCAAUCGACAAGGGCAAUCCUUUUAUUGCAGUGCCCUCCAAGGAAAGCUCUGAUAAAUGUUUCAUGCACUCUUGGACCUCUGGAAACUUCUUGAGUUUGGAGCACUCAGAGAGAGUAAGAAUUUCAAGAGAUUCCAUACAGAUGCUUCUUAGAAAACUCUUAAGAUUCUUGCAGCCUUCUAAAUUAAGGAAAACAAGCUUGUUUAGAUCUCCAAUGGAUCGGUGAACCUUGGACAAACUUGUACAACCUUCAAGAAUUAGUUUCCUAAGGUUUGGGGCCUCCGAGAAGUCUGGGGUUUCAAUUAGGUGUUGGGACUAGCUAAGUUUUACGAAUUUCAAUUGCUGAUACAUUUGUCAAAAACAAAAUAGAAAAAAUGAUUAUAAUUCGGUUAAAGUGAAAUACGAAACUUGCAAAGAUUAUAAUCAUAUACCUUGAAUCAUUUCCAAAGUUGUUCAACUCGACUGUAACUCAUAUUUAGCUCGACAAGCUGCUCAGGAUGAAAAUUUAAUGGGAGGGAUUUCAGAGGGUAUCCAUGCCAAUAUAGACACUUAAGUUGUUCGAUAGAAAUUUGAAGUCUCUAGAAAGAAGCAAUUUACAGUCUUUGAAUUGAUUGAGUUUAUUCAUCCUUGUGCAAGCAUCAAAAUCACCACAUAACUCUUUCCAAGAAAAGUAUUCAAAGCUUCCACAUAGCCGCACGUUACAGACUUUGAGCAAUCUUGAUUUGCCCAUCUUCAUGAAGGCAUCAAAGCUGAAGUGUAGUUCCUUUGAUGCUGAUGAUUACUACUCAAAAAGUGCUAUUUUGUAGCUUGUAAUUAAUCCUUUUAAACACUUUUGAGUAGUAGUUAUUGCCUUUUAACUCAAUUAACAUGUUAAGGACCCUUGCAAUCAUUUCUAAUCAAAUUGUGUAAGUUUUGGUGUUUUUGUUAGUAAUUUGAUCACCAAAACAAUCCAAGAUUGAGGAGAGUUAUUUGGAAUCCAUGGCAAAGCAAUGAAGAGCUCAAAUUCAUGAAGAACCAAGCAUUGGAGCUCCAUAGCCCUUUGCCAAAGUCGUUCAAAGUAUGCAAGGAGAGAAGCAAGGAGAAGAGGAAAACAGAGUGAAGAAAAUAGAGGACAGCAGCUGCAGUCUUCUUUUAUACUUUUGGAGCACUUCCCGAAGUCCAUUUUCUACAUUUGUAUAUACCAUUUCAAAGCUCAGGAAGUCAAGAAUCCAAUGCUUCAAACGGUGUGCGAUUCGGAGUUGAAACGAAGAAGUUACAGCCACUGCAAGUCAAUCACUCUAAAGUGUUGCGAAAUCAGCCUUUUGUUGCGAGAAUUUCGCAGCCUUUUUGUACAGUGUUGUGGAUUUCCUCCUGAAGUUUCACGCCACGAUGGAAGCCAAACACCACAAGGUGGAAGCCAACUUAGCAGCCCUGCGAGUUUAACUUGUUGUUGCGGAAAUAUUUCGCAGCCCUCUUGAGUGUCUGCGAAAUCUCGCAGACACCAUUUUUCACCUGCGAAAUGUUCCUGGAGCUUCCCGAUAUUUGCCACCGACUCUUUUGGAUAUUUUUAUUCAGAUAUUUUUGUAUAAAUUUCCAUUUUCUCCUUGUAUUCAGCCACUCAUGUAAUUCCUUAGCUAGGAAGUAUCCAAGGAAGGGUAAAUUACCUUCCUAUAUAAACUCUCUUGUAAACACUCUCAGGAGACGUUGGGGGGGGGGGGGGAAGUAUGUAAUAUAUAUAAUAUCAUAUAUCAUAUAUAGAAUAUACAGAGCCUUGCUCUGUUUUUCCUUCUCUUUCAUUUUUCAUUUCUUUUUCUUUCUAGCCAACCAAACUCUGAGGAUUUUUCCACAGAGGAUGAGAGGCUAAGCUUUUUGUCUCUUGGAGUGAGGAAAGCCGGGUAAGUUUCCACAUGCAUAAUUUGGAAGUUUUGUUGUUUUAGUUUUUAAUGAAGAGAAAGUGUAACCCGUUAGUGAUUUCUAUGUUUUUAGUUAACUUAAAACACCUUUAAAUCACCUGGGCCAACAGUUGGUAAGGCAAGUGAUUUCCAACCAUGGAAAUGCACUAGUUUACCCCUUGCGAGCCUUUGGGAGGUGACUUGAAGGUAGGAUUUUCUAGAAUAGCCAACACUUGGUAAGCUUUUGGACUCCAAGGAGACAUCCAUUAGUUAUCUCUUGCGAGCUUUUGACGGGUAAUCCAAGGUUAAAGAUCAUCUUGAAUGGUAAGUGCUCGUGAGAGGCAUGAACCAUUGCAAGUUGCAUCAGUGAGAGGGAUUUGGUGUUUGAACCCAUUAAUGGAAAGCAUCUGUACAACACCGGUUAGAGAAUUAACUAUAUGUUAAUUCUCUAAUGCGAGGAAAAGAAACAAGUGACCGGAACUCCCUUUUUGUAUGAGGAAUCUGAGCCUAGUGAUCUGAACUCCAAGAAACAUCUUUUCUUUGUAGUUAAAAUCAGUUACUAUUUUUGGUUAGUUUAAAUCUAAACCUUUUUUCAUUCAAGCAUCUUUAUGUUUUCUUUUAAAGCUAACCUUGCAAUGAAAAGGCACCAAUUCAGCUUUGAAUUAAUAUCAUUUGUGAAGUGAAAACACAUCCCAGUGAACGAUCCUAGAGCCACUAUGCUAUAGUAGCUUUGUCUUUGCUACCCUAGUAUAUGGUGUAAUAGGUUAUAAAUUUUGUUGAUUACUCCCUCAAUCAAGGAGCACCAGCUGGACAUGAAUCAGUUGAGACACCAAUUGGGCACGAAUCAAAUGGUGCCGUUGCCGGGGAUCGAACCUCGAAUCAAAUGGUGCCAUUGCCACUGCCACUGCUAGGCACGAAUCAAAUGGCGCCGUUGCUGGGGAUCGAACCCCGAAUCAAAUGGUGUCAUUGUCACUGCCACUGUUAGGGACGAAUCAAAUGGCGCCGUUGCCGGGGAUGGUGCCACUUUGCAGUGAUAUGAUCUUUUGAGAACACUUGUGAUCUUCAUUACAAGUUUGGUGACUUUUCUUUUCCUUUUACUAACUCUUUUUUAUUUCUUUAUUGUUCAUAUUUGAGUAUACCUUUUAUUUAGUUUUUAGUUUACCUUAAUUUUCUUUCUUUGAAUUGUUUUUCUUUUGUUUUCUUUUGUGUUCUCUGUUUUUAAUUCACAAGUUGCUAGUUGUGCAUGCCAUAUUGAAUACCAUAGCAGAAGAAGCCAUGAACUUCUUGAUAUAUGUGGCUGAAUUUUCAAGAGAAUGGGGUGAACCAAAUGCUAGAGAUAUGGGAAGAAUGACGUCUCAACCUAAAGCUAAGGGUGAGAUGUAUAUUUUGAAUGACGGCAUGGACAUGAAGGCAGAGAUUGCAGCUAUGGAAAGGAGAUUGGAUGAGCUAGAAAUGAACCAUAUGCAAGAAGUGCAAGCCAUUUCUCAAACACCAUUGCUACCUAUGCCUUGUGCCAUUUGUCGAUCAUAUGAGCACUUGGUGGAUGAGUGUCCUACCAUUCCAGCCAAGAGGGAAAUGUUUGGUGAUUGCAACACCUACAAUUCCAAUUGGAGGGACCAUCCAAAUUUCUCUUGGAAACCAUAGCCACAUCAGUAUCAGCAACCUGCUCAAGCACCACAGCGAGCCUCAAGCCUUGAACAAGCUAUGGUGAAUCUUAGCAAGUUCGUGGGAGAUUUUGUUAGAAAGCAAGAAGCCAUCAAUGCUCAAAUCAAUCAAAGAAUUGACAGAGUGGAGAGUACUUUGAAUAAAAGAAUGGAUGAAAUGCAAAAUGAUCUAUCUCAGAAGUUAGAUAUUCUCCAAGAUUCAAUCUCAAGGCUUGCUAACCUCAACACAAUGCAAGAGAAAGAAAACUCUCCUUCUCAACCUUGUCAAAAUUCUAUGAGUAUCCAUGAAAUGGAGGCUAAGGAGGGAAAAUCUUCACAAAAGAAGGAAGUCAAAGAAGUGAUCACUCUGAGGAGUGGUAAAGAGGUUGAUCUGCCCACAUGCAAGCUAGAGCAUAAGGUAGAGAGUGAAACAGAGAAAGAAAAGAGGGAGGAAAUCAAAGGAAAGAAAAAUGGCAAAAGCAUAGAGAAAGAUGACUAUGAUGUUAAUGUACAAAGAGAACCACAGAGGAUAGUCAUCAAAAAAGAAUUGAUGAAGAAACACAUGCCUCCACCUUUUCUCCAAGCUUUGUAUGAAAAAAUCAUACAGAUCACAUCUCAAGUGAGGGAUGCAAACUUCAUAUGGGAUCCGGGCAAGCUAAAUAAGGAUCAAAUUUUUUGAUGGACUUAGUCUUUCUAAAGACUAGCUAGUCCAUAUCUUUUUAUUUUACUUUUUACUUGUUUUAAUUUUGAUUUCAAUGUUUUAAUUUUGAUUUCAAUGUUUUAAUUUUGAUUUCAAUGCUUUAAUUAUGUUUGUUUUGAUGUAAUAUAGGUUUUUGGAUGAUCAAAAUCAAGAGGAAUUGUAAAGAAAUUGAAGGAAGUCUUUCGGAGCAAAAUCGGAGCAAAAUCGGAGUCAAACGGAGCGAAAACAGGGGUCUGCGAGAUUUCGCAGCCUCUGCGAAAUCGGCACUUUGCUGCGAAACCAGUUCGCAGCCCAAUUACCCUCUCUGCGAAAAUUUUCGCAGCUGCGAAACCACUUUUGGCACACGAGUGCCACUUCGCAGCACAGGAGCCCCCAUUUCGCGGCUGCGAACCACCAAAGCAUGAAAUCCUCCAUUUCGUAGGGAAAACUCCAUUUGGAAGGGUGUUUUGCAGCUGCGAAGCCAACUUUUGGCACACGAGUGCCAUUUCGCAGCACAGUACCCUCAUUUCGCAGCUGCAAAAAUGGCUGCGAAACCUAAAAAAAAAAAAAAAAUUCAUUUUUUUUGGCAAUAAAAGUCCCAUUCCGCAGAGGAUUUCACGGCUGCGAAAGCACUUUUGGCACACGAGUGCCAUUUUGCAGCACAGUGACCCUCAUUUCGCAGCUGCGAAACGGCUGCAAAGUUCUAAAACGUGAAAAAUCCCAAUUUCACAGCCACACCCCCAUUUCGGCAACUGUUGGACACAUUUCGAUCACUUCCUGAAGUUCAAAUUAUGCAUGAAAUAUCUUGUUUCAAAGCUUGGGAAGUCACGAGUCCAUAGCUUCAAACGGUGCUCGAUUUGGAUUUGAAAUGGAAAAGUUAUGGCUGUUUGAAGAUGACUGUGCAAACCAUGAACGGAAAUGUCGCACCUCCAUUUUGCUACUAUUGGACACGUUUUUGAAGCACUUCCUGGAGCUAAAAUUAUGCAUGUGAUAUCUCGUUUCAAAGCUUGGGAAUUCAGGAGUCCAGAGCUUCAAAUGGUAUGCGAUUUGGAGGUGAAAUGAAGAAGUUAUGGUCGUUUGAAGACAAGCGCGCAAAGCUGAGCGAGAAUUUCGCAGCCGAGACGCCAUUUGGAAGGGUGUUUCGCAGCUGCGAAACCACUUUUUGGCACACGAGUGCCAUUUGCAGCAUAGUUCCCUUCAUUUCGAAGCUGCGAUACAACUGCGAAAUCACCUUUGAGCUGCGAAACCACUUUUUGGCACAUGAGAGCCAUUUUGCAGCCCCGUACACUCAUUUUAGAGCUGCGAAAUCACUUUUGAGCUUUGAAAUGGCUGUGAAAUGAUCUCCGAGCUUCGAAAUGGCUGUGAAAUCACCUCCAAGCUUAGAAAUGGCCUGCAAAUUGCGAAAUUGACUUGCGAAAUGGAGGAAGGUUUGCAAAAACACCUUGCAAAGCCAAGAGAAGUUGCUAAAAUGCCAUCAGAGCCCUGCAACCAUGCAUAUGAAGAGGAGAGCCCCACACACCCUGGGAUCACACACACAAAGUCUCUCACUCCAUUUCUGACCUCCUUAAACCAUCAAAUCCCAUAGCUACCAACUGAGAGCUCCAGUUGAGGAUACUAUGCCACCUAAGGAGACUACCAGAACAGAGGCCAAAGUCCUGAUCCAACCUAUUCAAGAGGGCCACACAGACACAUCAGCUCCACAGGACCUUACCAUUACUUGAUCAUCUCUUUACUUUUUGUCUUUACAUAUUAUAUUAGUAUAGAUAAUUCCAUAUUUUGAUGUUUUAUAUUCUAGGAUUGGAUGUAUUACUGGUGAUACAUCAUAUAUAGACAUCAAUUUUUGUUUAAACUUAGCAUUUUUCUAUUUCCUCUACUCACUAACUCUUAUGUUUUCUUUGAAACAUGUGGUUUCUCCUAUACGACUCAGACUCCAUGUCACUCAAGAGGUACCACUUCCUCCCUAUUUUUUAAUCGCUUUUGUCACAUUGAGGACAAUGUUCAGCUUGGUUGGGGGGAGAGUUGAGGAAGUAAGUAUUGUUAAUAAUGCUAAGUUAUUUUGGUAAUUUAGUUGUUUUUUGCUUAAUUUUUAAAAUUUUUAAAAGUUUUUAUUCUACUCUCCAUGGUUAUUAAGGAAAAAUUUUCAAAAUGAAAUGGGAGAAAUUGAAUUUUUGUCUUUUUACUUGACUUAGAUUUUGUAUUAUGCUUAUUAAAGUUGGUGAAUUGUUGAAACUUCUAUUGAAGUCAACCUUAGUUCUUCCACUUUAAGCUAUCCACACACUAUGCACAAUAGGUUCCGAGUAUAAGAUGAAAAACUAUUUCCCUCUUGACUUAGGAAAAUUUUAGACUUGGUACCUUUGACCUCUCUUUAAUAGUGUUGGGACACCUCAUAAAGACCAAUGAGUCUUUGAAAAAAUAGAAAAAAAAGAAAAAGAAAAAGAAAAAGAAAAAGAAAAAAAAUAUAUAGAAUAAACUUCUUUGCUUGCCUUGAAACCCGAGCAAGGUCUGAGGGGUAUAUGGUGAAAAUCUUUAAAACCUGGUGCCCUAAGCCUUCAUUGGUUGGGAGUCACCGACCUCAAUGCUCGUUACAAGGGUGGAUAGGUGGAGUUUAACAUACUGUAGGUGCUUGAGUAUUAAAAUUCAUUCUCAAAAGUCCGGGGUAAAAUCCGAGGAGUUAGUGGUUGAAAGAUCCUUAAAGCUUGAUGCCCUAAACCUUUAUUGGUUGGGAGUCAUCGAUGGACCCCUGUUACAUGGACAAUUUAUAAAAAAAUACCUUUAAGCCUUGUACUCCUACAAUGAAAAAAAUUGUGAAAAAAGAGGUGCGUUCUUAGCCUUUUGGAGGUUGAUUAGUUUGCUAAGCUUUGAAAAAGAACUAGGUUGGGGGGAGAGAUUAGUUCAACAUACUAUAUUCGGAAGCUAAUAAAUAACACUUAGAUUUUUGUGGAAGAGUAAGGUUUGACCUUUUGGAAGUGCAAAUGAUUUUAAAGCUUAAAUUUGCAUAAUGCCUUCUCUUUAUGAAUUGUGAUUAGACAAGUUAUUUGAUAACUCUUGUUGAAGUUUGAGUUUUAUUUCUUUAAUGUUCCAUGUGAGAGUUAGAUCAUCAUGCCACUUGAGAAUUGUUUUUUUUUUAUCAGCAUGAUGUUGUAAAUUAUAGUAUUGUUUAUUUUUAGUUUUUAUCUCCUUCAUUGCUAAGGGACUAGCAAUAUGUCGGUUGGGGGGAGUGAUUACUACUCAAAAAGUGCUAUUUUGUAGCUUGUAAUUAAUCCUUUUAAACACUUUUGAGUAGUAGUUAUUGCCUUUUAACUCAAUUAACAUGUUAAGGACCCUUGCAAUCAUUUCUAAUCAAAUUGUAUAAGUUUUGGUGUUUUUGUUAGUAAUUUGAUCACCAAAACAAUCCAAGAUUGAGGAGAGUUAUUUGGAAUCCAUGGCAAAGCAAUGAAGAGCUCAAAUUCAUGAAGAACCAAGCUUUGGAGCUCCAUAGCCCUUUGCCAAAGUCGUUCAAAGUAUGCAAGGAGAGAAGCAAGGAGAAGAGGAAAACAGAGUGAAGAAAAUAGAGGACAGCAGCUGCAGUCUUCUUUUAUACUUUUGGAGCACUUCCCGAAGUCCAUUUUCUACAUUUGUAUAUACCAUUUCAAAGCUCAGGAAGUCAAGAAUCCAAUGCUUUAAACGGUGCGCGAUUCGGAGUUGAAACGAAGAAGUUACAGCCACUGCAAGUCAAUCACUCUAAAGUGUUGCGAAAUCAGCCUUUUGUUGCGAGAAUUUCGCAGCCUUUUUGUACAGUGUUGUGGAUUUCCUCCUGAAGUUUCACGCCGCGAUGGAAUCCAAACACCACAAGGUGGAAGCCAACUUAGCAGUCCUGCGAGUUUAACUUGUUGUUGCGGAAAUAUUUCGCAGCCCUCUUGAGUGUCUGCGAAAUCUCGUAGACACCAUUUUUCACCUGCGAAAUGUUCCUGGAGCUUCCUAAUAUUUGCCACCGACUCUUUUGGAUAUUUUUCUUCAGAUAUUUUUGUAUAAAUUUCCAUUUUCUCCUUGUAUUCAGCCACUCAUGUAAUUCCUUAGCUAGGAAGUAUCCAAGGAAGGGUAAAUUACCUUCCUAUAUAAACUCUCUUGUAAACACUCUCAGGAGACGUUGGGGGGGGGAAGUAUGUAAUAUAUAUAAUAUCAUAUAUCAUAUAUAGAAUAUACAGAGCCUUGCUCUGUUUUUCAUUCUCUUUCAUUUUUCAUUUCUUUUUCUUUCUAGCCAACCAAACUCUAAGGAUUUUUCCACAGAGGAUGAGAGGCUAAGCUUUUUGUCUCUUGGAGUGAGGAAAGUCGGGUAAGUUUCCACAUGCAUAAUUUGGAAGUUUUGUUGUUUUAGUUUUUAAUGAAGAGAAAGUGUAACCCGUUAGUGAUUUCCAUGUUUUUAGUUAACUUAAAACACCUUAGAGUCACCUGGGCCAACACUUGGUAAGGCAAGUGAUUUCCAACCAUGGAAAUGCACUAGUUUACCCCUUACGAGCCUUUGGGAGGUGACUUGAAGGUAGGAUUUUCUAGAAUAGCCAACACUUGGUAAGCUUUUGGACUCUAAGGAGACAUCCAUUAGUUAUCUCUUGCGUGCUUUUGACGGGUAAUCCAAGGUUAAAGAUCACCUUGAAUGGCAAGUGCUAGGUGAGAGGUAUGAGCCAGUGCAAAGUGCAUCAGUGAGAGGGAUUUAGUGUUUGAAUCCAUUAAUGGGAAGCAUCUGUAUAACACCGGUUAGAGAAUUAACUAUAUGUUAAUUCUCUAAUGCGAGGAAAAGAAACAAGUGACCGGAACUCCCUUUUUGUAUGAGGAACCUGAGCCUAGUGAUCUGAACUCCAAGAAACAUCUUUUCUUUGUAAGUAAAAUCAGUUACUAUUUUUGGCUAGUUUAAAUCUAAACCUUUUUCAUUCAAGCAUCUUUAUGUUUUCUUUUAAAGCUAACCUUGAAAUGAAAAUGCACCAAUUCAGCUUUGAAUUAAUAUCAUUUGUAAAGUGAAAACCCAUCCCAGUGAACGAUCCUAGAGCCACUAUACUAUAGUAGCUUUGUCUUUGCUACCCUAGUAUAUGGUGUAAUAGGUUAUAAAUUUUGUUGAUUACUCCCUCAAUCAAGGAGCACCAGCUGGACACGAAUCAGCUGAGACACCAAUUGGGCACGAAUCAGCUGACAAGUCAAGGACUAUGCCUUCAACUACUUCACUCCCUUGCAAUUAACCAGGAAUAGAGUAUGAAUUGGAAAUUAAAAUCACAAAAUUCUAAAAGGAAAAGCACAGAAAGCAUCAAACUAAUAACUUAUUUUAUUUUUUUUAGGCAGUGUUCAAGGAAGCAAGUAUGAAGAUAAAAUAAAAUUCAUCUACUAAGACAAAAACUCAGGGAAAAGUUAGCAAAGGAUUCAAAUCAAAUAAUCCCCCCAACUUUAUAUUUGCCUUUGCAUACAUAAAUAUGCAAUACCUUAUUAAAAUUGUACAUAUAUGUGAGUUUCUCAAAUGAAUUGAAAUUAUCCAAACUUCCUCUUCACCUAGAGCUUAUAUAUACAAAAAGGGAAUGCACACACAAAGUUCAUGUAUUUAGGUCUUACUGUAUUUCUAGUUAAUGCAUCAUUGACAUAUGCAUGAAUCCACAAUCUAUUGUGUUUUUUAGGAUAUUUAAGAGAUUCUUGCCAAACAAUUUCCCAACCCAUUUCUUGUAACAAAUCAUGCAUGCACAACUUAUUAUCUGAAACAAUUAUGAGUGACUUAUCAACGAGAACCCUUAUUCCAAUAUCCAGAAAGAAACCACAACUCUCUAGUAUUUCUGUGAUAAAAUCUUUGUCCUCCCAUUUACAAAAACAUGCAAUAUCGAGAAAUAUAUCUCUCUUUGUCAUCUUAUCCAUUAAAACCCAUUUUGAGCACAUUCUGAAUUUCCAUGUUGGAAAUUCUUUUUAGUUUGUCCAAUUCACUUUUCCAUUCAAGUAUGCUCUUGUUAUACAAAAAAGCACCCAAGACUUUAAGAGCUAAAGGACAUUUAACCGUUUGAUCCAAACAAUUCAAAAUUGGUCUAAUAAAUAAACCCUUCAAAAAGAGAAAUUGAAACAGAAAUGUCACUUGGUGGUUGGACCAAUUUGACCAAUUGAUUUGGUUCAAUUUUCAAAAAAUAUUACUUUAACAUGUAUGAUAAUCAAAACAUAGAAAAAAAAAACUAUUUUUCAAGAAAUGAGAUUAUUAUAAAAAAUAGAAAAUGUAAUCUAUUUUAAUGAUAUGAUAACUUGUAACUAGAUGAAACUUUGAUUGGCAAAGAAAAAGAAAAAGAAAAAGACCUUAAUGAAUUAGAAAAUAUUAUCUUUUAUAUUAAACUUAUCUUUGUGUAAAAGCUCUCUACAAUUAACUAUAUGUUUUCAUAAAGCUUUAUUUAGGCUAUGUUACAUUCUUGGAAAUUAAAAAAUAAAAAAUACAUAAAAUUAAUAAAUUAUUUUUUUCAUUAAUAUAAAUUAAAUAAUUUUAAAUACCUAUAAUUUUCAAAAUUUUUAAUCAUGGUAGUGGGUCUUUGAUCAACCAAAGAUAGCCCAUGCAUCAUCUGCCAAAGUGAAGCACAACAACCUUAUAAUAGUGAUGUCACAUAGCAAUUCAUUAUUCAUUAUUUUGUUUUCCCUUUUCAUUGUGGAUUUUCUUAAAGCUAUUAAAAAAACACACGAUAUCAAGAUUUGAGCGUGGGUCUUUCACAAUAUCUUUUAUAUACUAAUAAUUGUAAAUUAAUUAAAAUAAAAUUAUUAUAACUAAGUUAAUUUUAAUUGUCUUAUUAUGUCUCUUAUAUAGUGGUUAAAUAUAGGACAAAUAUAAAUUCAUAAAUAAAAUUAUUAACAUUUUCAAAUAAAAAAUAUAAAUAUAUAUCAAUAUAUUUUUUUUUAUAUCCUUCAAUAUAUCUAAACUUAAUGCAUUAUCAUUUUAGUAUUAAUGUUUCCCAAUUCGGUAUAUUAUUGUCUAAUAUUACAAAUUAUUAUACAUUUAUCAAUUUUUCUUAAAACAAAUUCAAUAUAUUCAUUAUUAUUUUUCUAUCAUUUUUUGAGUUAUUUCUAACAUUUCAUGAGUUUUUUUUUUUUAUCAAUUUCCAUCUCAUAUAUAUAUAUUGCAGAAUUUUCAUUGAUAUUUCUUUAUAUAGCUAUAAACUCCAACUAAUGAUAUAUUAGUAAAAAUCAAUAUUUUCAUUCUUACUUAACAUAAGAACGAAAAUUAUUCAAAUGGUGCAUAAAUUAAUGUGACCUCUUGAUGAGAAUGACAACGACAACCAUGAGUCAUAGUUAGUGUAUGUGUGUGGUAAAUUAACUUAGUGUUUGAUAAAAUAAUUAUUUAUCAUCAUUUAAAAUUUAAAAAUAAAUUUAAAUAUUAAAUCAAAAUAAUUAACUUAUUCUAAAUACUAAAUUUUUUUAUUCUCUUUGUUCAUAUUUGGUGAUAAUCAUGCUUUAUUUUUAGAAUUCUUUUUUUUUUUAGUAAAUAUUUUAUAGUUAUUUUGUAGCUUCACAAUAGUACUUUUUAAUAUAAAUGUUUAACAAGCUUAAGUUUAUGAAUAUAAAUAUUAAGAAAAAUUAAUGAGUUUAAAUAUAUCAAUAUAAUAAAUUUAAAAAAAUUAAGUUGAUUUUACCAAAAUUAAAGUAAAAAUAAUUCAUCUUAAAAUUAAUUUCAAUAAUUAAGUAAUAAGGAUUAAAUUUUAUCAUACAUUCUCUUAAUUAAUAAAUGACAUAACUUCUUUCAACAACUUCUUCAUUCUACUUUAGAAAAAAUAAAAUAAAAUAAAUUAAAAAAUUAACGUGAUAUUUAUUUAUUUAUGUCUAAAAUUUAAAUAUACUUGAAUUUGACUUAAAUCUAAAUAUAGCUUAAUAUCAUUAAGUGUUUAGACUUUUUUUAUUAGUGUCUAAAUAUUAUUAAUUGUUAAAUUGUUUAUUUUUAUUAAUAUCAAAAUAUGUGAAGUGUUAAAUUUGUUUAUUUUUGGUUAAAAACAUUUAUAAAAGUCAUUGUUAUAUUUCUUCUUAUUUUAUUUUGAAAAGUUGUAAUUUAACAAAAUAGUAAUUUAAUUAACACAUCUAAAAAUAUUAUAAUACAUUAUCAAAGUAAAAAUUUUAUAAUGAUAAUUAUGUAAUUAGUAAAUUAUAUUAUUGUACAAUCCAUCGUUCCAUGUUGUAUAUUAUAGCAUAGUUGUGCGUACCCAUCAAUGCAUAGACAUAUGUCUUUUGAUAAUUAUGUAAUUAGUAAAUUAUAUUAUUGUACAAUCCAUUGUUCCAUGUUGUAUAUUAUAGCAUAGUUGUGCAUACCCAUCAGUGCAUAGACAUAUAUCUUUUGAUAAUCUAUCAUGCAUGAAUGUCUCGUGGACUCUAAGUGAAGCAUGUAGCUAUUAUAGUAUAAAGAUGGUGUAGGAAGAGGCUCCAGGUUUACUAGUUCACACUCAACCAUAGCAAUAGGGAAUAUAUUGCACAUUAUUUCCAUCUAAAAGAAAUGUAGAAAAGACCUUAGAAAUGAAACUUUUAGAUCAAACCUAAGGGUGCCAAUGAGAUGACUCUAAGAAGGAUCACCUCAAUCUCAAUCUUAUGUCAUUUAUUUAUAUUAAAUGGGGUGAGAUAAAACAAAAUCAUAUUUGAACCUGUCUUAAACUUGGUCCGAGAGCAAGAAGGGUCUCUAAAAAAAUCUGCCUCAUUGUCAUUCUUAAGUACGCAUCUAUACCAAUGAAAGUUUUUACAUCUAUUCAAAAAUUCGAUGUUCCCGAAUUAAUUAACUUCACCAAACUACAUACACUUAAUAUGCAUGAAAAAGUGUCAAAAUUCUCAACCAAUCAAUGAGAUAAACUGUAAUUAAGUUUAGUACAUUGUAACCCUAAAAUACCUCCAAACCCCAUUUCUUGUAAGACCCCCUUCUAAUUAGGUUGCAAGUAUUGAAGUACUUUACACAUCUAAUUAGGCGAACAACAAGUAUCAAGAUAAGGCUGCAAGCCAUACAUAUACAUAUGCAUAUAAAUUUAAAAUUGAAAGAAAAUAUUAUCAAAUUUUAAAAAGAUAAAUUUCAAUUUUUUUUUUUUUUUUUUACCUUUGAUACAUUUUUUAAGCUUGUACCCUUUUGUUAUACAUAUUCAUUGGAGCAUUUCUUUGACUUCCCUAAGAACUAUUUUUUUUCCAGGACUAAAAACUUUUUCCUUAUUCGACUUGGGAUAUUAUAUACAACCACAACCUAACUUUCAUAUAUAAAGAAAUAUAUUUAAAUAGAAUAAAAUUCUUUUAUUCAUAAUUUAUUUUAUUUAUAUUAUAUUAUUUAGUUAUAUUAAAAAAUUAAAAAUAAUUAUGUUAAUUUAGGUUUUGUUUGCAUUUUUUAAAUUAUAAUCAUUAAUAACAAAGUGGUGAUAGCUUAAACAUAAUCUAAAGGUCCAUGGUUCAAACCCUUGGUUUCUCAUUGUUUUCCUGGUCUCAUUAGGUGGGCUAGGCUUGGAAUGUGAAGGGCUAACCUUUCACCCAUGAUCCAACCUUUUAGUUGAUGAAAAAAGAAGGCUAACCUAGAACCGAUAUACGCAAACCUAGAACUGAUAGACCAUGGUUCAAAGUUGUAGUCGCGAUCACUAACUUGGAGGGUCUUGAGGCACAUCAGUCUUGACAUCUUAGCUCGAUAUUGGAUGAUAUGUAAAAUAAGAUAAAUAAAAAUUAUAAAAUAUUAUAAUAAAUAUUUAAAAAAUAAAUAUAAUUAAAUAAACUUAAAAAUUAAUAAAAUAAAAUAUUGUGAAAAUUAAAAUUGUUCAAUAAAUUUUUAAUAUUGAAAUUGAAAACAAAAACUCUUUAAUUACCAAACUCAAAUAAGAAAAUAAAAUAAAAUGGGAUGAUUUUUACCACACAUUAGCAUUUAAAAAUUGAAACAAUAAAAUAACAUAUAUUAUUGAUACUGUCAUUUAAAACAACUAAUAUAUUAUUGAUGAUGGCAUUUAAAACAAUAAAAUAGUGCAUUAGACCUGAUUUCAAAUCUUCAAUUCUCAAACACCACCAACCCACCCAUGAAUAGAGAAAGAGAAGAGAACCCUAGCAAAAGUAGAGAGCUUCCUCUACAACCCACACCCACUCCCACACCGACAUCGACACUACGGAGAUAAAGUAGAGAGAUAAGAGAUCAACACCCAAGAUCAUCACUAAUGGAGGAGGAGGGGUCCAUGAAGGUGUUGCAGUCCACCAUGUGGUGAGGUUAGCAAAGAAAUGCCCUCCACCUCCUCUUCUCAUACACCUCAAAGACAAUCACGACUUGGACUAAAAAACUUUUCAAAGACUUCAUUGGGGUCAUCCUCUUCAUCAUGGGUCGUGAUUCUCAUGAAAUUUUUUUUCCUUUGAAGAGUCAUUGUUUUUAAAAAAAUUCUCAGUUAUGGUUGUUGUUUUGGUGUUUUUUCUCAGUUUUGGGUGUUGUUUUGCUAUGAUUUAGAAGGACAAUUGUUUGUAUUGAGUUUAACUCAAAAAAAAAUUUAGUAACUCGAAUGAUUCGUGCAAGUUAACUCAGUAUCUCGACUAAAUCAACUGAGUUUAAUCGAUUCCUGCUCGGGUCUUUACUUAAGAUGAUAUUGAGUAUCGGACUUGGCGUGGAAGGGGUUGAGGCGGAUACAACUCGGCCAAGUCAUACCGGACUUGAUCGAUACUUUGAACCAUGCGACAUACUGGUUCAUUGACUCACUAGUCCAACUGUUAGUCUAUCCGAUUCAAGGCUGAUUCAUUGUGUACUCCAACCUAAAGGCCAAACUAGACCAGGCUUCGGUGACAGUCCAACUUGGUCCUAGCUAGAUUUUUUAAUUUAUCCAAUUAAGAAAUCUCAAAUUAAUAAUAAUAAUAAUAAUAAUAAUUCAACUUUUGAAAAAGAAGAAAAUAUAUUAUUAUUUUCUAAUAGUUAAAUUACAUAUUAUAUAAUGGUAAAGCUUAAGAGGAAUCUAAAAUAUAAAAAACUAAUAUUACCAUUUCCAAUUUCUCAAAAUGAGAAAAAUGACUUUUAUUUCCAAUGACAAUAAAUUGUAUAGUUUGAUAAAUAUAUAAAAAAAAAAGGGUGCCAUAUGUAUCUUAGGGCGUGUUUGGUACAUAAGAAUGAUGAAUGAGAAUGAAUAUUUUGUUUCCAUUCUUAUUUCCUCUUGAAUAGGAAUGAAUUUGGUAAUUCCAAUUUUUGUGUUUGGAUGCAUAUAGGAAUGUAAAGUUGGAAUAACAAUUUGUUUCCAUUUUAAUGUUAAGUAAAAAUGGGAAUGAAAAUGGAAGAAAAGAAAUAAAUUAUCAAUAAUAUUCGUACAUAUGGUUUAAAAUAUUUGUUUUAAAAUUUUUUUAAGAGUUUUUCUACUUAAUAUUAACAAUAUAUUUCAAUGUAUGAUUUCAAAAAAAAAAAAUUGUUUUAAAAAAAUUAUACCUAGUUAUUGUUCUUUAGAAACAAUUUUUAAAAAUAAAGUAAAAUAUAAAAUUAUUAUUCCAUUUUUUUUUUCAUUUGAGAAAAUAAAUUUCAAAUCAAGUGAAACUUUGUAUUAAAUUUAUUAAUAACUUUAAUAAUUUUAAAAAAUAAUUUAAAACUAAAAAAAUAUAUGUAACGACUAUAAAAAAUAAUAGACAUAAUUAAUACUUUAAAAUUCUUUAAUAAAUCUUGUAAUUUUUAAAAUUAAUUUAAUACUUUAAAAUUUAAUUAAUUAAUAUUAGAUUAAAUAAAAUAAUUCAGAAUGUCAUCUUUGUAAUUGAGUAAUAAAUAUAUGCAUAUAAUGAAAAAUUUGGCUUAUUUAUACCUUACAAUUUUAAGGGCAAGGAAGUGAUCUAAUGUAGGUUGCUUAAUAUGAAAAGAUGCUUUAAAAUUUAAGAGCUUUUCAUGGAGCUCAUCAAAUGUAAUUGGGGUGUCAUGUGCUUGAACGACAUAGACUAGUUCUCUGUAUUCGUCAACAAGGCCAUAAAAGAUUUUCUCCAUGGCAUCCUCUUCAUCCAUUAGGGCACCAAGGAAAGUAAGUUCAUUGGCACGGGCUUUAAUGGUUUGUAGGAAGGCAGUGAUGCUUUGCAAACCCUUGGUGUGAUUCUUAAGGUGGUUGUUGACUUGUUUAAUGUAGACAUGUGAUAGUUUGACAUAGCUAUUGGUGAAGAUGAUUUAUGCUUCAUGAGAGGUUGUGGCACAGGCAAUGAAUGGAAUUAUGGUGGGUGAAACGAAGCCAAUAAGUGCAUUUAGGAUCAAUUGAUGUUGACGAAGCCAUGAAGAAUAGGUUGGGUUGGGUAUUACGGUGUUGUUAGCAAUGAGAGUGGUGGGUGGACAAGGUUUGGUUUUAUCAAUAUAGCUAAGGAGGUUAAAGCCAAUAAGCAGUGUUUGGAAUUGAAAUCUUUAUGAUAUGUAGUUGGUAGUGGUUAGUUUAAGUGGGGCUUAAGCAAAAACAUUUAUUGAGAUGAGUAUUUGGUGUGACUGAUGGGUGUUGUGAAUAUUGAGAGUAGAAGUUGCAGAAGUGGUGACAUCUUAGGUGGCUAUGAGGUUAUGAUGAUGUGGAGGAGCAUUAGAUGGCUUUGGCAAAGAAAAAGAGGUAAGGAAGAAAAAGUGGUGGUGAGGGUUUUUAGGUCAAGAAGCUUGAAUGCUCUAAUGCCAUAUUGAAAAAUGAGAUUGGUAAAUUAUUGUGUUUUUUUUUUCCUUUGAUUAUGAAGAAUAUAUAUAUACAUGUACAAAGAAUAUAAAUUUGGAAAGUUUCCUAAUUACCUAAAAUCAUAACCUAGAAUAUACUAAUUUAUAGUCAAUAGAUUACUUAUAAAAUGAAACAAAUUAUCUACAAAAGAAAACAAAUUAGUGAUUGAAAGAGAAUAUGGUAAUUUCCUUUAUUAGUGUCAAGUUUAACACCCCCCACAUCAAAAGGUGUAUUUGGAACCAUGUACAUAUUUCUGUUCUUGAAUUUCAUUAAUUAAGAUGUCCAACUUCUUUGCCUUUCAAAGAAAUUUCUCAUUCUCAUCAAUUUGAAAAUUGUAAUGGAAAGCUUCAAAAAGCAUCAAUAGUCUCCCAGUCUAUCACCAAUCAAAAUGCAAAUGCCCCUAUACAAGGUUUGCUACCAUCAUAUGACCUUUAUGUUGAAAUGAUGACAUUGCCCUUUGUAUAGUGGUGUGGCAUGCUUUGAUUUUUUACAAGUUGAAUUAUACUAAAAGUGCUUAUGGAGUCAGUUUAAGGAAAAGUAUUGGAGCUAGACAAGGGUUGCAAUAGGUCAUCACUUUAAUAUGCUGAGCGUUAAGAUCCUUAAUUAGGUUUUGCCAUUCCCAAUACCUUGUUAUAUCCCCUUCCCAAUUCCACAAAUGUUGUGAUCCCAUAUAAGUCUCCCACUUAGUCCUAUGCAUCAAUUAGCACAUAAUACGACCCUAUGCUUAGAAAUUGUACAUGUGCAACAUUGUGAGUUUCAUGUUUGACAAAAAUAUGAAUUCUAGUUAAAAUAAAUCUCGUUAAGAAAACACCUCUCCAUUAGGGACAAGUGAAGUCAUUAAAAUGUAGAGGUUGGCUACUCGUGUUCUAUGUUUGUUUUCUUCUUAUUUUAUUACUUCAUUUCAUGUCUUGCCUUCCAUAUUAUUAGUAUUUGUUUUACUAUUUUUUUUUUCUAAAGUAUAUGUGUUUUGUAGACCCUCCAUUUUGUCCUCCUAGCACAUGUCCUAUUAAGUAUUUGUCCGAUACUUUACAGCAGUUCCUUGAUGGCCCAUUACUACUCGUGUGACCUAUCUUUUCUAAGCCACCUUGGGGACUUUGGUUGAGUUAUUUAUCUAAUCCCGUUGUGACUCUUGGUAGCCCUAUUUAGACUUAGGCCCACUUAGGCACCUUAGCCCAUUUAGAUACACUUGGCCCAUUAGGCACCACCCUAGGCCCAUUUAGACACACUUGGCCCAUUCGGCACCACCCUAAGUCCAUUUAGGCACCCUUGGCCCACUUAGGCACCACUUUAGGCCCACUUAGGCACCUUAGGCCCAUUUAGAUACACUUGGCCCAUUAGGCACCACCCUAAGCCCAUUUAGGCACACUUGGCCCAUUAGGCACCACUUUAGGUCCACUUAGACAGCCCUAAUUUACACCUUAGGCCCACUUAGAUACAAAGACCCAUUAGGCACCACCCUAGUCCCAUUAGGCAACACCUUAGGCCCACUUAGUUUUACCAGUCUUGCUUAGGUCACCUUUCAAGUAGGGUUGCAUGGCUUGUAUGAGUAGCAUGUGCUUGAUUUUCUUAAUUUAUUUUAUUUACUUAUUUGUUAGUUUUAUUCAUUUACUUAUUCACUUUUUUCAAAAAAUUGCAUGAGAAUUGAGAUUUUAGUUUUUUCUAAUUGCAUGAAUUGAUAUCUCAUAUAUAUUCAUAUAUUUACUUUACUUUAUUCAUCUAUUUAUUUUUGUAGGAAAUUGCUUGAGCUUCAUAUUUUAAUUCUUUUAAUGUGUUUGAUAUCUUAGUUUUAAUUGUAUGAUUUUAAUUUUAAAUUUUAAAUUUUCAACUACAUGAUUUUUUUUAUUUUACUAUUUACUUUCUAUUUCACACGGGAUGAGGAAAUAUUUUCUCCUAAUGGCGUCAUUGAAGGUAUUUUCAUCAUUAGGGAUGACAUGAAACAGAGUCAUGGUUGUGGAUUUGUUAAGCUUCCUAAUAGAGAUAUGGCUGGCAGUGGCAGCAAUAAAUGCACUAAGUGGAAAUUACGUGAUGAGGGGUUGUGAUUUUUUUUUUUUUUUUUUUUUUUUUGGAAAGUGGAGAAUCAGUCCAGAGCAUAGCGUCAUUUUUCCUUUUGAAAGGAAAAUUACCAUGGCUGAUUUUGGCAAGUUAAAGGAGAAGGGUGCAGCGUGUAUGUGGACGAAAAGGGGGCUGUGUUCAAGCGGGGGUUGGCUGGUUUUCUUUGGGAGAGAAGACGAUUUGAGGAGGGAUUUUUUUUGGGAGGUGAGGCUGCGAUUUUCAGAGGGAGAUCAGUUCACGUUUCAGAGGCAUUUUUGGGGCUGCGGUUUGAAGGAGAUCAGUCCAUGUUUCAGAGGCAUUUUGGGGGCUGCUAUUUGCAAAGAUCAGUCUGUGUUUUGAAAGGAUUUUAGAGGCUGCUGUUUUGGAACGGAGAGACGCAACUGCUUGUUGAUAUUCACAGGCUAUUCACCCCGCGAUGGUGAAGAUGAGUACAUACCUACCUUGUUGAAUCUGAAGAUGAGAAAGGCAGCCGCACCAUUGGGAGCAAUUCCGGAACAGCCGCACCAGUGAAGGAAGGAAAGAAAGCUGGGUUUCGGACACUUUUGGGUCUAGUUCCUCUCAUCGGAGACACCACAGCCGCACCAGAAUUUUAAGGAGAGAGUCUUCCGUCCGGAUAGCUACAGAUCGGUUCCGAAGCUUGAUCCUCCAUUGCCUGUGCCGCCGCAACACUUUGUGCCGUACCCAUGCAUCUCCGACAACACCCUACUGCCAUUGGAGAUCCGCACCAGCUUGUCAGUCCCGCCACUUAAACACCAGAUUUUUAAGGGAAAUUCCUCUCCAUUAACGCGCAGCACUUUGAGGACUUGCAGUGCAUGGGUAGCCACCACACCAUGCAUCCUUGGAAUUGUUUUUUUUAAAUAAAAAAUCCUACUUGGUGGAAAGUGGCCUUUACCUUCUGAAAAGGCACUUUGAGAACUUGCUGUGCAUGGGUAUCCACCAUGCAUCCUUGGAAUUGUUUUUUAAUUAAAAAAUCCUACUGGUGGAAAGUGGCCUUCACGUUUUGAAAAAGGUGAGGAAGCUGCCAUAGCUGUGAUUGAGAUUAGUUUGCAUUACCAUCCAGCCCGUGAAGUAAGCAUUCGCAUAGAAGCUGCGAAUUGAGGAGGCCAACUUCAGAUUAUGGUGGUGGUUGGCCUUGCGAACGUUGCACCGUCAGUCACGGCUUGGAAGAAGUCGUUAUUUUUAAUAUAUGGCACAACGCGUCAGACUGAAGAGAAGAUCAAGACUUGGGUGAUGGGCAAAUGAAUUUUUAGGCAUUAUUGAAUUCUUCUUUUUCUCUUAUGCGAGCGUCACAGUCAACUGUUCAUUGCCCUAGGUGCUGUACACUCGCCGCCUUCCGCAAGCCCACUUGGAUGAUGGUUUAAGGAACCUGUGUGAACCACAUUUUAUUAAUAGCAACAAUUCAGGAAGCAUAUAUAUAAAACGGAUAGGAUGUGACGAAUGGCAAAAACGGUGUGGAUCAUGUGUUAAAAUGGAUCACUAUCUAUUCUUUCAGCAAAGGACACAAUCAAGCAUGUGGAACAUGAAGAUCAGUGGUCAGCAUUUUAAUAUUAGGAAGACAUCAAAUAUGGAAGGUCUCCACCCGACAGCACGCUGAGUACGGUUGGUUGGGAACUCACUAGCCUUAUCAAAUCGGAUUUGACUCGGAAACAGGCCUCAAAAGAUAGGAGCAUAUCCAGACAAACAUAUGGGUGGGUAUCUCCUGCUUCCGAUAUAGGGGAACCAAUAUUCCACGUCGCAGUUUGAAGCCUGAUCAGAUCAGGAACAGCACACGCACCUUCUGUUGGGUCUCUGCCAGACAACUGAGUGGUGCUCUGAGCUUACAUCUUGGUGUACAAUCUCCUCCUUCAUUUGUUUCUUUGAUCAGGAACUUUCAGUUUUGAAUUGAAUUUUCACAUCCAUUUUUUAACCGAAUAAUUCCGGCUUCAAAAAUCCAUCAUUAGACCUCUUUCAUAGACAAUAAAAUCCUUACUUUCAAUGAACUUUUGUUGCCAAAUUUCCUUUUGGCAUGCACCUUCCUAAUUUUCUCUAUUUCUUUUGAGCAAUUUUCUUGAUUUUCACGAUUUUCAAUAAUCAUGAACAAACUUCAUGGUUCCAAAUAAUGGGACUAUUGAAUUAAUUCGUGCAAAAGCAAUUCGGGAAUUGGUGGAACCCCUACACAAAAUCAUUCUUUUCAAAACUCUCCCUUGCUACCAGUUUUCAUUUAAUCACUGACCCUUUAGCUUUAAAAUUCAUUUUAGCAACUUUAAAAUUUUUUUUUUGAAAAAUUUCCAACACUUGUAUGAUUUUAGCCACUUCUUGAACUUGAAUUUAAAGUUUCGUUUGAGUUAAAAAGUCAUUCUGGAAUAGAAGAUAUAAACGAGUCUUUAGGGGGGCUCCGUUUUCACCCAGUUCUGGACACCCGAGAUCUUUUUACAAAAAUAAAAUUCCAGAUGACUUUUUAAAUUUGAUUCAAUAUUGUUUCUAAAUUCUAGGCUUCUUGAAAUUGAUAUUAGACACAUAAAAUAUUAAAAAAUACGCCUUCUUGAGGGAGAUAUGAUUUUUCAAAGUCGUACCUACUGUGCAUGAUGGAAUCUGGACAUUUGAUUAGUUGGAGCAUUUUAAAAAUAUUUUUAAAUACUAUCCGACCCUGAAUUUAUUUUUAUUGUGAUAUAGACACCUUGAAUGAUGUAUGUGAUUUUUUUUAUGAUUUUAUAUGAUCAUUUAUUAUUAUUAUUAUUAUUAUUAUUAUUUUUUAUGCAUGUCAGUUUCUCUUAUCUAAUCUGGACUUUAUAGAACCUUUAGGUGUCUUUGCUGCAAUAUGUCCUUUGAAUGAGCAUUUGGCUUUUGGUAUGUUGAUAUAGAUGUGUAGGAGUUGUUUCCUGAAAUUUUUCAUAAUUAAAUUCCACUCUAAGCUAUUUUUUUAGAAAUUGUUUUGUUAUGCUUCCUCUUCUAACUGCAUGCUAAUGGUUUUAUACUUUACUCGAAAUUGUUAUUAUUUUUGGAGUCAUUUGAUUUAUCUUAGCUCAAUUUUGGCUUUGGUACUGUAUAUUAGACAUAAUAAAGAUGUUAUAUAAUAUAUACUUGUCCUAACCAUUCUAGCCUUUUUUGAGGAAUCUUAUAAAUUAUGCAUGUUACCCAGGUAUGCUCUCUAUCACCCACUUUCUAAAUUCUGUGAAUAUGCUUGUCACUGUGAACUUGGGUGUCUUGAUAUUUGUUUCAUUGUUCAUUAUUUAUGAUAAAACGCAUGCUAGGUGAUAUGCUAUUUGAACUAACCAUUGAUGUCUUGUGAUAGCGCUUAAGAUGCAACUCAAGUACGCACCCUUUGACUCUCUUUUAUAAUCAUGAUUUGACUUUCUAGCUUAAUAUGUUAAUUCUGAAAUUACCUUAGUCUACUUAGGUACCCUCAAUCAAUUAAUUAAUUGUCACAUUCCCCUUAACUUAGUCAGUAGAGACCUUUGUAGGGCUCAGAGGGGUGCUACCUUUUUAAAGGUACCUUCCCAAUAAGUAACCUGACUCCCAGACCUAGACCCGGGUUUUUCAAAGACAUGCUUUUCCAAAAACUAUGGAGUCACUUUUUUUUAGGGUUUUCUUUCUUGUUUUAUUUUUCCUUUCAAAAUAAAAUAAAAUAAGUGGUGACUCCGACUUUUCUGAAACUAAUUUUUCACAAAAUAAAAGCAAGUCUUGCUGAUCAAGUGGGGACGCACGUGAGAAAUACGGGUCCACACAUGUGUAGGUAUGCAUUUGCAUAUACAAAAUGCAUUAAACAAAAUAUGAUUAAGCCAUUUUCACUGUGUUGAUCAUCAUCUUUGAAUACCUAAACAUUCUCUUUUUAUUUUAGUGGUUUUUUAGCUAGAUGAGCAAUCUUGUCUUUUCUUUUCAUAUGAAAUAAUUCUUUGUGUGAAAUUAAUUUUUUGAUUUUGUUUUCUUUACUUUGAUCUUAUUUUGGUUGUUUAGUUUUGUGAUGGUCAACUUGUUCACUUGCAGCCAUGAUGCCACUAUGAACACACACACACAUCAGCCACACUUUCACUUUCAUCACACACAACUCAGCAUGCUUCACUCACUUUCAGCACACACCACUUUGUUUCCUAAGGAAUUUUCUUCUUUUAGUUGUGUGAUUUUAUGUCAUUAUUUAUGUUUGUUAGUGAUUUCAAAUUUCUUAUCAAUUUACCUUUCUAAAAAUCAAUUCUCAAUUUUUCAAAUUCAUCUUAGACAUUGUUAGGUUAUGAAAAAUCAUUUUUCAAAAUCAUGCAACCACUUUAUUUCAGUAUGCAUGCUUACUUUGUGUUUCAAUGAUUUUCAAUUUUCUUACACUUGAAUACAAUUCAUAACUCUAAAAUAAUGGAUUAAUUCAUGGACUUCAUGAGCUUCAUCAUGAUUAUUGAGGGUUUAGGGAAGUGUGGAUCAAUUACUGAAAAUUAAAUCAGGCCUUGGUGAAGCCCUACAUUCUAUGUUUCCAAAACAACCCCUUAAGUUAUGAGUUUUUGACCUUCAAGAUAUUAAAUUGAGAUUGGACACUUUAGAAAUGAUCAAAAAAUAUUUUUCAUGCUUGGAUGACUUUUUUAAACUUCUUAAAAGUGUUCGAGAAAUUUUAUUUUGAACAAAAAUCACUCUCCAAGCUAAUAAAUAAAAUCAGUUUUUUUGGAAGGUCCAGAUUCACUUCAUUUUUUGAUACAUAACAUAUUUCUAUAAAAUUAAAUUGGUUUGAGAGGUUUUUAAUUUAUUUUGAUAUUUUCUCAUAUUUUAGACUUCUCAAGUAGAAUUUUAGGCUUUUAUUUCACUCAAAAACAAUUUUCCAUGUAUGAGAAACAAACCCAUCUUUUUGUGUAUUAUGCUAAUUCCAAUACGUAGAUGUGAAUGUUUAAUUAAAUUUUUGACUUGAUGAAUAUGUUUUUUAAUAUCCUAAAUAUUUUUCAUGUAAUUUAGACAUCUCAAAUAAGUUGUAAAAUUUUUAGUUUGAUUUUAUCAAACUCUUAAGAUAGUUUUUAAAAUUCAUCUUUGCAUAUAAUCAUAUUCUACUCUAUUUUUGAAUGAUCAAAUUUUUUAUUAAAUAUGGGAUAUAUGUUGUAUAAUUAGGAUUGUUGGACACUUGGGUUCUAUUCAAGACUCAUUAGGGUUGAUGCAAUUUUUUUUUUUUUGAUUUAAUAUCACUUCUAGCUAUUUUCUUAUGGAUUUAUUUUGUGCAUGUAUAUGUUAUGUCUUGUUUUAUGAGUGAUCCUAAGUUUAAUUAAAUCUAGGAUAAUCCAAGUAUAAUUAAGUUUCUGGGGCACUUGCGUUUAUUUGAAACUCUAUAAGGAUGAUGUACAACUUUUGUUUUGAUGAAAUAUCACUUCCAAAUAUUUUUUACGGAUUUAUUUUUGCAUGCCACUAUUAUGACCGUUGUGUAAUUUAUAUGUUUUUAUUUAUUCAACAUCUUUCCACAUAUUUUUUAAUUUCUUUGAUCCUUGUUAUGUGUUGUGGACAUGUUGUACGUAUUUGAUAAACCUAUAUUGUCAUUGCUUUGUUUCAAGAUCUCAUAUUUAGUUUAGUUUUGAGAAAUUAUUAGUUUGGUUGCUCUAUUGAUAUUAUGUUUGCUUUAAUUAUCUUAAAAAUCAUUAGUUUCAUUAUUCUGUUAAUCUCAUGCUUAGUUUAGUUUUUAAACAUUAUUAGUUUGGUUGCUUUGUGGAUAUUACUCGUAGCUUAGUUUCUAUUAAAAACCAUUAGUUUGGUCAUUCCAUUGAUCUCAUGUUUAGUUUAAUUUUUAAAAAUUAUUGGUUUAGUAGCUUUGCUAAUAUUAUGCUUAGUUUAGUUUCUUUGAAAAAUUAUUAGUUUGGUUAUUCUUUUUAUCUCAUGCUUAAUAUAGCUUUUAAAUAUUAUUAGUUUUGUUGUUUUGUUGAUAUUAUGUUUAGUUUAGUUUCUUUUAAAAAUCAUUAGUUUGGUUAUUCCAUUAAUCUCAUUUUUAGUUUAGUUUUUUUUUUAAAUUAUUACUUUAGUUGCUUUGUUGAGGUGAUGUUGGUUAUAAUUCUUGUGAAAAUACAAGCUAUGCUUAAAGGAGAAAAACACCCAAGAGGGGGGGUGAAUUAGGUUUUUCAAAGAUUUUUUCAAUACAACAAAUUCAAGCACACUAUAAACAAGAAAUAAAGAGAUAGAGUUAGAGAAUUCAAACUUGAAUUUUAUAGUGGCUCGGUACUUCCUUGCCUAUGUCCACUCUCCUCAAUAUCCUAACUGAGUGAGGGUUCCACUAGCUUGAAACUUCAACCAAGCUUCCAAUCCUUUACACUUGGAUUCCAGAUCCAAUGGGCUCUUACACAAUCCCUUCAAGAUUCAAACCUCUUGAAGUCUUUAACACUCAAGUUUUAUAAGAAAGAAACCCUCAACCUAGCUCAAAGAUAACUCAAAUACAAAACAAAACUAGGAUGACUCACAAGGGUGAACUAAAAGAUAUGCAAGUGAUGGUUUUAAUGCACUAAGAAAGAAAUGAGAGCUUAUAGGUCAAGAACAAGUAGGUAGACAAUUGAUUGCAAGUGUUCUCUACUUAAUAAAUGAAGUGGAGCUCUCAAUUUAUAGGUUUCUAAGCUCGGGAGCUAAGAAAAGCAAAAGGCAGCCUUGAUUGGUCGAGCUGGGGAUUGAUCAGUUCACUAGCCGUUGGAGUAUUUAAUGUUUGGCAGGUUACCGUUGCCUUGAUCGGAGGUCGACCGGGAAGGGGUGAACCUCAACCGGGAAAAGGAAGCUACUGGAUGAGAGGGAGUGUUUUUGGAACUCCUCGACCGGACCUUGACCGGACAAGGGCAAUUGGUCGAUCGGUUCCCCAACUGGUUGAGCUGGUUGGCUAGAGCCUCGACCGGUUCAGCCUUUUGGCCCCAAAAACCUAUCCUUUUCAAUUCCUUUAUUUUCUAACACUUAGGCAAGGUUUUUAGGUAAAAUAAUAUGCCAAUUUUGAAACGUUUUGCCUAAGGUACAUUUAAUAAAACUCGGGUUUUAAUGAAAUCAAAAUUUUAAAGAAUAAACCGAGUUUUCAAAGAAGUAUGAAAAAUUAUGAAAAUCCUAAGUGCACCCAUGCAUUCAUCUUACAUUCGUUUCCUAUAAUCAAAAGUCUUCCAAUAGUCUCAAUCUUGUAUCCCUUUGGUUCUUUGAUGAAUUUCCGAAUUUAUACCCGAGAUUCUUUAUCAUUCAAAUGAAUUAGUCAUUUAACCAUGGUUUGUUAUCAUCAAAACCGGAUUGAGCGAACCCUUGGGCUAACAAUUCUUUUAAAUAUCAUUAGUUAUUUUAGUUCAUUAAUAAAUUGGUCCCAUAUUUGAAAGUUCAUAUUUUUAGUUUGCUUUAAUUUAAUUUGGUUCAUUUUAAUUAGUUUAAGUACUCUUAUAGUUUUAGUUAAUUCAUUAAUAAAAUUGAUUAUAUGUUUGAAAUUUCACAUUUCUAUUUUACUUUUAUUUAAUUUAAUUCAUCUAUUUAGUUUAGAUAAUUUCAUAAUUUUAGUUCAUUAAUAAAAUUGAUCUCAUGUUUGAAAGUUCAUGUUUUUAGUUUAGUUUGAUUUAAUUUAAUUCAUCUAUUAAGUUUAGGCACUUUUAUAAUUUUUGAUUCAUUAUCAAAAUUGAUUAUAUGUUUGAAAGUUCAUGUUUUUAGUUUGGUUUGAUUUAGUUUGACUCAUUUUAAUUAGUUUAGGUACUUCUAUCAUUUUAGUUCAUUAAUAAAAUUGAUCCCAUAUUUGAAAGUUCAUGUUUUUAGUUUUCUUUGAUUUAAUUUGGUUCAUUUUAAUUAGUUUAGGUACUUUUAUAGUUUUAGUUCAUUAAUAAAAUUGAUUUUAUUUUUGAAAGUUCAUGCCUUUAGUUUACUUUGAUUUAGUUUAAUUCAUCUAUUUAGUUUAGAUACAUUUAUAUAUAGUUUUAGUUCAUUGAUAAAAUUGAUUAUAUGUUUGAAAGUUCUUGUUUUAAGUUUGCUUUGAUUUAAUUUGGUUCAUUUUGGUUAGUUAAGAUAUUUUUAUAGUUUUAUUUCAUUAAUAAAAUUGAUCCCAUGUUUGAAAGUUUAAAUUUUUUAGUUUGCUUUGAUUUCAUGGUUCAUUUUCAUUAGUUUAGGUAUUUUUAUAGUUUUACUUCAUUAAUAAAAUUGAUCCCAUGAUUGGAAGUUCAUGUUUUUAGUUUACUUUGAUUUAAUUUAAUUCAUCUAUUUAGUUUAGGUAUUUUUAUAAUUUUAGUUCAUUAAUAAAAUUCAUCCCAUAUUUGAAAGUACAUGUUUUUAGUUUGCUUUUAUUUAGUUUGACUCAUUUUAAUUAGUUUAAGCACUUUUAUAAUUUUAGUUCAUUAGUAAAAUUAAUUCUAUGUUUGAAAGUUCAUGCUUUUAGUUUAAUUUAGUCAAACUCAUUUUAAUUAGUUUAGGUACUUCUAUAAUUUUAGUUCCUUAGCUGAAUUGAUCCCAUUUUUUUUUAGGUUUUGUUUUAAAAUCAUUAAUGUUAGUUCAUGAUCAUUCUUAUCUUAGUUUAUAUGCUUUUAAAAUCCUAGUGGUUAGUUCAUGAAUCGAUAUCUUAUUAGUUUGUCUAAUCUAAAAUGUUUUGCUUCUUGAUUUAGCAAUCCUUCAUUUAAUUUGAUUUUUUAUUUUUUAUUUAUUUAUUUAUUUGCCGCCUUAGGAAACUCAUGAAGAUAAACCUCUACUCUUACCUAUUUUGCUUGGUUUUUUAUCCUUGUGUUUUGUGGUUUAAAAAUGUAACUUUUCGCUUUUAAGAAGAAAGUAUUUUCUCAAAAUGUUCUUUAUUAAAAUGGAUUUAAAAAACUCCUAUAAUUGUUAGGGUAAAAAAAAAAUCAUUUUCUUAAAAAACAUGCAACCAAGUUUUAAUUGGUUUACACCUUUCUUUUAUUUUCAAUAAAAAUUCUACUUUGAGUGGAAUAUGAAUCCAAACUUGUGAUCCCAAAUGAAUGGGAUAAUUCUCAACUUCGAUGAGUUUUUCAAUAUUCAUGCGAAAUUGGGAAUCCAUAGGCUAAAUUUGUGUAUAUCAAGUGAGGAUUUUGUGAAACCCGUACAUAAAAUCAUUUUUCAAAACCCUUUUAUUGUCAGCUUGUUGGAUUUGUUGCAUCUCUAGAAUAAAAUUUUGAUUUGGCUAAUUUAUGAUGCUCCUAAAAUUUUUUCCCGUGGUUGUAUGAUAUUGUGAACUUCAUGAACUUGAUUUUAGAAAUUUGUUUGAAUCAAAAAUCAUAUUUCAAAUGAAAAUUAUGAAUUAAUUUUUUGGUAGGUUUAGUUUUUGCCUAAUUUUGGAUACCCGAACUAUUUUUUGUAUUUUCAAAUUACUAGAUGAAUUUGAAAAAUUAUUCUGACUUUCGUCCUUAAUUAUAGACUUCUUGAAAUUUAUUUUAUACACAUACAAUAUUAUUUUUUUUUUGCUAAUUAGGAAAAUUAAUUUUCCUUUGUUGUCCCCAUUACAUUAUCCUAAUUUUAAAUAGAGAGGGUCUUUGAUUGUUUUUAAAAUUGAUCCAUAUACUUUCUUACCUUCUUAUUAUUUUCUUGUAAAUUAGACCUUCUGAAUAUAUUUCAUGAUUUUCUUAUGAUUUUAUAGCACUUCUAGGUUUGUUAAAAAAAUCGGUUUACGUAUUCUAUUAAAUUCUAUCAUAUUCAAAACCUUUUGAUAUAUUUUUGUAAAUUGAAAUUAAUCAAGGCUUCAAUAUAUUGUUGGGCUAGUUGGAUGAUAAACUAGACAUGUAGGAGAUGUUCCUUGAAAAUUUUUGUAAUUAAAUUCAGAUUCUAGAUAUUUUCUUUUAGGAUUUGUCUACAUGUUGAAAUUUUUAUAUAAUGUUUUAUUUAUUAUUUAAUUUGGAGUUAAUUAACUAAUCAUUUCUUGAUCUUGGCUUUGGAAUUGUAUUAUAGACAUAAUGAGGAUGUUGUAUGAUAUUUUUUUUUUUUUAAAUGAUAAAAUAAUACUUCAAGAUAUCUGUUUAGAGUUUUUCAAGUGAAUGCAAUUGUUCUACCCUUUGUUGUGUGCUUUGUUCUAUCUAUAAUUUUGGUAUUUUUAAAGUUAUCUUGUACAUAGUUUAUCCUUAACAAUGAGGUGUAUGCAUGUUCUAAGUGAUAGAUGAUAUUUCUUUGGAUUCUUGUCAUUUCUUUUAAGCUAUACAUAUACCAUGUGAAUUAUGAUUCACUAUCACAAUUAUUUAUUAUUGUAAUUGUUCUAACCACCCUCUAGCUUUAUGGAAAUGCCUUGCAAGUUAUUUAUGCAAUCCAUGGACGUCCCCUCAUACUUUUAUCCCUUUAGUUUGGUAAAUAGAUAUGUUUUGUGUGUCAACAUCUUCAUAUUUGAUAUUACUUUGUUAUGUGCUAUGAUUGGUGUUUGAUUCCUUGAAUUAGAUAGACACAUGUUGUAUUUUGUAUUAUUUUUCAAACUAACUUUGAUGUUUUCAUGAAAGUGCUUUAGGUUGCAGUUUAAGUAUUUUCUUUCUCAUAUGAUUGAUUUUUGUGGUUAGAUUGUUUCAGUGUGAAUAACAUUUGUUUGGCCUUAGAUAUAAUCACCUUUGUUAUUUUUAGUAUCCACAAUUUAUCGAUUAAUUAUCGUACUUACCUCAACCUAGUCAAUAUAGACCUAUUUUUAAUGCUUAAAGGGGUGCUACCCUUAUGGUACUUUCCUAAUAGGUAACAUGGCUUUCAUCCAUACUUAGACUUUGUUUUUCAAAGACACUCUUUUUUAAAAUUAAGGAGUCGUUUUUUAGGGUUUUAUUUCUUAUUUUGUUUUCCCUUUUAAAAAUAAAUAAAAAUAAGUGGAGACUGCAUUUUUAUAAAAAUCAAUUUUUCACUACGAGAACGAGUUUCACUGUCAAGUAGGGAUGCAUGUGAAAAAUGCAAGUCCACACAUGUCUUUUCCUUAAAAAAUGAGUCACAUUAUGGCUUUAUUUCUUAUUUUGUUUUUUAAUAAAAAAUAAAGAAAAAAAAGUGGCAAUUCCAACUUUUCAAAUAUAUAUAUAUAUAUAUAUAUAGUUUUUCCUAAUAAAAACGAGUCUCAUCGUCUAGUGAGGAUGCACAUGAAAAAUAUAGAUCUACAAAAUAGUGACUCCACUAGAAAUGUUUAGAGGGUUAAACUUGAACUCAAGUUGAGGGGAAAUGUGACAUUGAAUUAAUUGAUUAGUGGAUACCCUCUCAUUGUGCCUUUGUUAUACGCUUGCAUAUUUUAGGGCAUAGGAGAGGUUAACUUGGUGAUUAUUUUGUAUAUAUUGCAUGUGCCUUACUGUAUAUUGACUAUUGUUAUUAUAUGUGUUUGUAUAUAUCUGCUCAUGUUUGUAUAUAUCUAUUUUGCAUGAUUGUGUGAUGCAUGACUACCUUCCUUCUGCAUAAUGCAUGUUUUGCCUUUUUGUGUAGGAUACACAUUUAUCCCUCUAUCUCAAACUCCUUAGCCUUGGUCGAUUUUCUCCUUUUGAUCUCGUAUUUGGUGGAUGAGACUUGGUGCCUUGUUUGUUUCUCAAGUAAGCUAGUGAUUAGGAGUAUGGUCUAGUUGUGAGCUUUAUGUAUGAUUGGGAGCAUUUAGAGCAUUGUCAUGACAUUAUCAACAUCUUGAGAUUGUCACCUCAGAGUAGAUUACAACAUCAUCAGCCUUACCACAUCAUUUUUAUUUUAUCAUAAUCCUAUUUAGUCACCUCAUCCCUACUAUCACCCCACUUUGCCACAUCAUCCUACCUCACCAUGUCAUCACUUUGCCACAUCCCUAGUGCCUUAACAUCAUUUUAUGUUGUCAUGUCAUCCUUGCCACUUUAUUCUUAUCCUAUUAGCAUUGUUCCUUAUCAUCUCAUUCUUACUGUCAUCCCCAUUUUGCCUCAUUGUCAUACUUUAUCAUUUCACCCAACAUUUUUUUUUAUGUCAUCAUCCUAUCUUGUUGCAGCAUUGUGAUGCCUUACAGAGCAUCACGGCAUCAUUGACGUCACAUCAAUAGAGGUCACCACAUCAUAGCCACUUGGAGUUUGAUCAUUGAAGACUUGUAUAACCCAUGACUAGAUUCAAGAUAUAUGUGUGACUAGUGUGUUUACUUUUUUUGCUUUAGUUUAAGAUGUUUGGAUGCACUUAUGCCACACGCUACACACAUUAGAUUGCCCUGUAUAUGUGUUAAGAGAGGUAACAUGUGCUAACUAGUAGAAAACCUUAACCAUUAGGAAACCACCCUAAGAUUUAGAGGAAGUGCAUGUGUAGAGGUAAUGACCAGCUUGCAUGGAAGCUCCUAGUCUCUUUGGAGGUGUGUAGGAGGUUUUGUACCAACAAUGAGUAUGAUUGCUCCUACUAGGUACCUUUGAUCCUACCUUUUAGAGUCACCUUUACCUUGUAGAAUGAGAAUUAGAUCCUUGGACCUAGGAUACCUACCCACACAUAGGUGCAUUCAUGUAUAGGAAUUUGAUAACAACAAUUUUGCAUCAACAUUAGAGUUCCAUUAACAUAGAUUAGUUAUAUUAUCAUCCUCUUUACUCUUUAUUUGUUGGAUUCAAUUAGUCAAUCUUCUAGGUUAUACAUUCAUCGAUCUUGUAUAGUCUUAUUCCCUUUAGAAUUUUUUCAACCUGAAUAUGUUGUAUAUAAAAAGGAUUUACAUUUUUAAAUGUAUUGUCAUUGUUUUAGGUUUUUGUACAUUGAUGCGAAUCAUGGUAACUUAGCUUUAAAGGCGUAUCAACAAAAUUUAUACCUUGAAUACUAUUACUAAAGUAGCCAAGCUACUAUAGCAUAGUGGUUCUAGGAUCGUUCACUGGGAAGGGUUUUCACAAACACUAGUGAUAUUCAAAUUAGGAAAAUAGGUGAUUUUCUUAUGGAUGUUAGCUUUAAAAGAAUAUGUAAAUGUUUUAGAAAGAUUUAAACUAAUCUAAGCUAACAUUAAAGACUAAAAUGAAAGGGUGUAAAAACAAGUUUCUCAAAGAUAGGAUAGCUAUGCUCUGGCUCUUAUGCAAAUUGGAAAUCUCAGGAUAGGCUCCUCGCGUUGGGGUUGCAACUAUGGUGAUGCUUGCUUCCCGAACCGGUAUGGAUUUAGCAAAUCAAGUUUUAAUCCUUUAAAAUAGCAAAACAGAUGGUAGUGAAUUUCAUCAAUGGUUAUUCACCUUAGACUUCCUUUGAAUGGCUCGUAAGAGAUAACUAAUGGUCUAAAGCUAAAAGCUUACCAAAUAUUGGCAACUCAAAGUCAUUCCAGGUGAUAAACUCACCUUUCAAUGGCCAUUGAAAUUGGUUCUAACGGAUUAAUGCAAAACUUGGAAUUGAAAACCUCACCUUCCAAUAGCUCGUAGGAGAUAACUAAUGGAUAGAAAUCCAAAAGCUUAUCAAGUAUUGGCCGUUGGAAGUUGUCCAAAGGAAAUAAAAACCAAACUUUGAAUUAAUGAACCAUUAAUGAAAAAUGACUACCUUACCUUCCAGGUGCGAGAACCAUGGGAUUGCAUCCAAGCCAUCACCUAACAUCCAUACUUUGAGAAACUAAAAGUUUUAGCCAAUCAUCCUCUGAGGAAAAGCCCUCAGAGGCUGUUUGGCUACUAAGAAAAUAGAAAUGGGGAAGAACAGGAGAAAAGAGAAAAACUGAGCUUUAUAUAUUUCUAAGUAAAUGUACAGAGGAUCGAUCCCUAAAUCAUCCAAUAUCUUUUGGAGGCGUUGUGCACCUCUAUAUAUAACAAAAUUACAAGAUAAAGCCUUAUGUCGGCUGAAUACAAGGUUACAAAAGGAAUUUACACGAGAAAAUAUCAAGGCUAAAAAUAUCUGGGAAGUCGGUGGUGCGUGCGUGGAGAAACAGAGGAUUUCAAAGGCAUUUCGCAAGGUGCCUAAAUCCACCUUGCAAAAUUUCGCAAGGUGCUUUCUUCAUGGUGCGUAAUGGCCAAAUUUCGCACCAUGAAGAAAAUCUCCUUGCGAAAUGGUGUUCCCAUGGCUUGAUGCAGUUGUCUUCCGAAGGCCAUAUCUUCCUCAUUUCAACUCCAAAUCAUACACGGUUUGAAGAGUUGGAUUCUUGACUUCCUGAGCUUUGAAAUGGUAUAUAGCAUAUAGAAAAUGGACUUCGGAAAGUACUCCAAAAGUUCGAAAGAAGACUGCAGCUGCUGUCCUCUAUUUUCUUCACUCUGUUUUCCUCUUCUCCAUUGUUCUUUCCUUGCAUACUUUGAACAACUUUAGCAAAGGGCUAUGGAGCUCCAAAGCUUGGUUCAUUUGUGCUCGUGUUUCCACUUGAAAUUCAAGUAUGUAAACUUCCAAAAUCCUUGCUUUAACUUGUCCAAGUAGCUCCUCCAUCAUUUGGCAUGCUUGAAUUGAUUCAUAAGCUGAUAAAAACAUGUAAACUUGCCACAAAAUGGUUAAAACCAAUUACUAAGGACCUUAAUGAAUUAAUUGGGUUAAAUGAAUAUGAUUACUACUCAAAGGAGCUUAAAACCAUUAUAAUUAGGUCUACAAAAUAGCACUUUUUGGUAGUAAUCAUACAUUAAGUGUAGCAUUCUAGGAUAUGUUAUUUGACAUUUUUUGACCUAAGUCUAGGGUUUUGUGUUCUCUGGUUCAUUGAUAGGUUCCUUAAGUGACUCGUGUUAGUUAGAUUUUUUGAGACCUAGCUGGCUUCUUCUUGGUGAAAUGGUGGGGCGUUUGUCAAAGUUGGUGUGACUAUUUAUUUUUGUUGCAUCAAAGCUAUCCGUCUUGGUUAUUAAGUCUAUGUUAGUCUUGUGGUAUAGUUAGAGUUUGUAUUCUUUGUAGAUUGUUUUGACCUGUUAGUAUCUAUUUCUACUAUGGAUGUACAUUGAUCAUUAGACUCGACCUUUUUCAUUGAAUAUAUGUUUGUCUUAUGGUGCAUGUGUUAGACUUUUGAUAUGUUGCAUAAUUCACUUCCAUAUCAUGAUUAUUGGGCCUAACCCAUCAUAGAGAAUACUGAGCCCAUUAACCUAGGACUAAAGGAUCGACUUAGGGAGCUUAAGAUUGGGGCUCAUUUGUCUUGUGAUCAGAGUUGUACCUUAUUCACUUCCAUUUACACCUUGACCUUACAUCCUAUCUAUCUUGAGUCUUGCUCAACAUUUACCCCUUGACACCAUCACAUGACCUUUACAUCCUUUCUUAUCAUAGCUUAUACAACAUCAUCUACAUGGACAUUGUUUCAAUCUAUUUAUUUGUUCUUUGUACUUGAGACUGAUUUUAUGAGACAAGAAGGGUGGCUUACGAUGAGCAAAGUGGUCGAUUGCACAAGAUCAUUGACUAUUCUAUGGUUGAGAGAAGCAUCUUGAGAUUGUUAUAAAUCAUUAAGAAAUGGGAUAUUUAUGCAUGAUUUUAGAGGGAUGGAAUGCCUACAUUUUGAUAUUCUACACCAAUCUGUAGUGUUGACCAUGUGAGAGUUUAAGAGCAUGAUGUUUGAGGUUUUGACCAGGGAAUGAGUGUCAUCAUUUCAUGAGCCUACUUAUCUAAUCAUGUUGAUGUUCAUGCUAUGAUUCCUAGUGAAAAAAAUGGAGAAAAAAAAAAAAGAAAACACACAAAUUUAAUAUGGUUCGGCAGAUUGCCUGCGUCUAUAGGAACAAAGAAGAAGACUUUCACUAUAUCUCAAUUAGGUUUACAAAAAAGGGUAUUUAUACUAACCCUCAAGUAUUGGAAUUCCUUAAACCAUAUGCCUCUCCUUCCCCCCCCCCCCUCCCCCCCGCAUUCACUCCCCUCAUUCCACUCUACUUCACUCUGGCAUUUGCCCCUUUCUCCAUAUGUCUUUCACUCAAUAUGAGCCACAUACUACAACAAAUCACCUUUGUGUAUAAAGUUACCCUUUGCUAGCCAAUUAAGUCAUGCAUAUUUAGCCUUUUGAUUCAUCACCUUGCUUACCUCAUUUCUCAUACCUAUGGUUAGGGCCUCUUGGCACAUCUUUGCUUAUAGAUAGGAUCGCCUAGGUUGUGGGCUCCUUAGGUGAUUCAUCUUUUGUAUUCAUUAUGUUUGUCUUGAUCAUUUGUAUUAUUUUAGUCGUACAUCUUCUCAAUACUUGUUGUACUUAUUUGAGUCAUUGUUCAUUAUUCCGUCAUUAUGAGUUCAUAUAUGUACAUACAAGUUAGCCUUCUUGUACAUAUAUUGAGAUUUGUAUAGGUUACCUUAGGAUCCUUGUACAUGAUUGCCUUAAUUCAUUGGUUUGAUUAUUGUUAAAAAGAAAAAAAAAAUUAUGAUGUUAGUCUUUGUUGGCGGCUUGUGUGAUAGUUUUGAUCAUUUCAUUAUAUAUAGCCAUCUCAUCUAUACAUCUAGUUAUGAUUGAGUUGUGGGUUUUAUCCCUAACUAUGACAUGUUGCUUCUCUUGUACUCAAUUACACUUUUUAUUUAGAGUUUUAUUCUCAUUCAUCUUGGUUAUGUUCUUUUUUGCUUAUAUAUCGAGUCAUCAUUCAUUAGCAUUAUUUGCUUUACCUCUAGCCAUUGUAUUAUUCCUUUGAUUUCUUGAGCCUAUUUUAAGUCUCACCCUCGUCAUUUCCAUUUCUUUGAGUUAUUCAUGUGGAUGGUUGGUAUUUGUGUAGUUCUUAUCUUGGAUUUGUUUUUCUUUUCAUUGAUUUCAUCUUUUCAUUCAUUAUCAUAUGAAUCAUAGUGUAUUUUUUUUUCAUUCAUUUAGUUAUCUGUAUCAUAAAGCAUAUGUGAGGUUUAUAAUCUUUGAGUUUCUUUAUCUGUUACACUGUGUAUGCUAAAGGCAUGGGGAUUAUAUCAUUAGGAUUACUGAGCUUAAUUUCCCUUUGUUUCUUUUACCUUAUUACCUUAGCUUAAAUUACAUCCUGGGUCUUAAGACCACCUUGGGACCAUGACAUCAUGCAUUAUGCUUGAUAUCUCACACAUGGGUGGCAUUUGAGAUUGGUUAGAGAUCAGUUCAAGUAAUAUGGAUGAGAAACUAUGAGAGGAUUUACACUAAGGCCUAACCUCUCAACAAUUAUUAAUUUUCGAUAUGAUACCUUAUACUAGGGCAUAGCCAUUUCAUUCUCUCUUAUGGAGAAUGAUAGAUCAGGAGUCACUUAAAUUCAUAUCGACAUAUAUCCAUUUUUGAGAUAUAAGAUAAAGUUUGAUUUUGAUUAGACAAUUUACACUAGGGCAUAGCCAUCUCAAGGAGUUUAUACUAGGUCAUAACCCUCUUAUUGGUGCUUAAUUUUUUAGAUAAUAGCUUAUAUUGAGGCAUAGUCACUUCAUUCAUUCUCAUGGACCGUGAUACAUAAGGAGUAACUUGGAUUCAUAUAGACAUAUAUCCAUUUUUUAGAUUUGGGAUUGAGUUUGAUUUUGAUUUGACAAUUUACACUAAGGCAUAAUGACCGAACUUCUCUAUUGUACCAAAAUACUUAGCCUUUUUACGUAGUAACUCUGAUUAAGAAAAACUAGAGAAAGAGUCACUAUGGAUUUUGUAGUAUUCCGGGUAUCGUCCUCAAGGACUAGCUUAUGAAAAUUGUCAAUACUAGAAUAAAUGAAUUGUUUUUGUUUAAAUCUUAAAGUGAAAAAAAAUAUGUGAAUAAUGCGAAACUAAGUAAAAGAAAUUAAAUUAAUAAAAAAAUGAAUAUUGAUUUUAAAUUCAAUUGAUUCAAGUUUGGGGUUUUCCACAAUCCAACCUAGGGUAUAGAAAUUAGAGAAAACAAGGGUCUUUUAAGUAAUAUGAUCUUAGGGUUUUAGGAUCCUUGGCCGCUCGCGAUCAAGUUGAGUUCUAUAACUCAAAAUUGCAUCCGAAACCUAAUUUUUCCUUUUUAAAACAGAUUCCUAAAACCAUCAAAUGAAUGAGAUUGAUUACCAAUUUAAGAUUUGGAUUUUUAACCCUUCCUACUCCUUAUAGCUUUAUUUAGGGGCAAAUAACGGUAGGAAAGAUGAGGAUAACUAAUGAUCAAGAAUUACCAAGAAUCACUAGUAUCAGGUAAUAACCUACUGUAUCAUUCCCUAAAUGAACUCACAAGGAUAGGAUAAAAAAAAUGAUAAAUUGUCACCCAACCAAUAAUUAUUCUCAUUGUUAUAAUAAUUUACCCAUUGUCCUUAUAGGUUUCCUAACCCUUAGGUUUUCAUGCUUCAAGCCCCAAGUUGGCUCUUAGCCUCUCAUGGGGGUGAUGUCACAUUCUCAAUCCAUAAUAGGGUAAAAAUCCAUAAUUUGAAUCAAAAGAAACUAAAAACAAUAUAUUUUAUAAAGAGGAAAAAGAAAACAAACCAAAGUUCUCGUCUUCUUCCACCUUCAAUGUUAAGUUCUCCGAAAAAAAAUCCAAGAUCCCUAAAACCUAGAAUUGAGAGAGUUUAUAUAAUAUCGUCAAUUACCUAACAUGUGGCACACUCUCAUUGGCCACUUAUUACAAAAUCAUUUCCUAAAAAUGAUUAAAAAAAUAAUAAAAGGGUGAUUUCUAGUCAUGUGGGGUCCACUUAAGGCGGAUGGAGUGCCCUAGAUGCAAUUCCCAAGGUAGAGAAGGCAAAACAUCAAAGUGACAGUGGGUGAAUUCGAAAUUGGUGUCAUUUCAAAGUGGAUUUCGAAUUCAUAAGUUGAAUAGAUGCAAUUCCUGAGGUAGAGGAGGUGGAACAUCAAAGUGGCAAUGGGUGAAUUCGAAAUUGGUGUCAUUUCGAAGUGGAUUUCGAAUUCAUAAGUUGAAUUUUGAAAUCAUUUCGAAAUGACCCUUCAGCUUGGUGCAGUUGUCUUCAAAUGGCCAUAACUUCUUCAUUUCAGCUUCGAUUUGCAAACCGUUUGAAGCGUUGGAUUCUUGACUUCCCAAGAUUUGAAAUAAAAAAUAGAAUGUAUACAAUGGACUCUAGUAAGUUCUCUAAAUUUUUCCUCAAAAUCAGAGUAUAUAAUUCCAUCAGAUUUUUGAGUUCUAAAUUUCCAUGCAGCUGAAUCUUGCUUCAUGCCUCAUUUCCCAUGUUUUCUUGCCUUAUUUCUUACUCCAUAAUGGUCAUUUCUCAUCUUCCAAACUCAUGAUAUCCUCGUCUUUCCUUUCCUUACGGUCCAUGAGUCUUGACUCACUUAUUUCCUCAUUUAGCCCUUUCUUGAUCUUUCAAAAUCUAAAGUGAUUCAACUUGCACCAUUUUCUUCCCUUGAACCUGAGAUAAGUCUCCAAAGUACAAAUUAAACUCAUGACUAGGGCCUUAGCAUCUAUUUAGUUCAAGUUAGGUGAUUUGAAUGUCUUUUUGUGCACAAAUCAUAUAGAAUAUGUGCCAUUAGAGCACAUAUUUUGGCUCCAAUCACAUAGCCACCUUAGAAAGUUUAUAUUGGUGUAUAGCCCUCUCAUUGAUGAUUGAUUUUCAAGAUGAUAGUUUAUACUAGGACAUAAUCACUUUAUUCCUUCUCAUGGAGCAUGAUGGAUUAGGAGUCACUUGGAUUCAUAUUGACAUAUAUCUAUUUUUGAGACCUAGGAUAGAGUUUGAUUUGAUUUGAUGAUUUAUACUAGGGUAUAGCCACCUUAAAGAGCUUAUACUAGGGCGUAGCCCUCUCAUCAAUGAUUGUUUUUUUAGAUGAUAUCUUAUACUAAGGCAUGCCUUCAUUCCAUCUCAAUAAGCAUGAUGGAUUAGGAGUCACUUGGAUUGAUAUUGACAUAUAUCCAUUUUUGAGAUAUGGGAUAGAGUUUGAUUUUGAUUUGACAAUUUAUACUAAGGCAUAACCACUAUGCUUGAUUCCCUACACUAGAGCAUAUUCGUCUUUUAGAGGAGAUUUGAAACUCCCUUCACAUUAUAGUAUGAAGAUACUUUAGGGAGUAAAAAUCUAUCUUGAUGAGAUUGUGUAUGUUACAACAUAACCAUUCUAGAUAUUAACUUGCACUGAGGCUUAACAUUUUAGACGUUACCUUAUAUACCAGGGCAUACUCCUUUUAUCAGUGUUUGAUUUUGAAGAUGAUUAAUUUGUUUUGGCCUUACCCAUUUUUACUCAAUAUAUUCAUGUUGGGGCAUAACCCACUCAGUUGGCGAUUGAUUAUUUUUUGAAAUGGCAAUUUAUAUUGAGCAUGACUACUCUGUUUGAAUCCCUACAUUGGGGCAUAACCAUUCUCUUGAAGGUGAUCAGACAUUCUUUUCAUAUUGGAGUAUGAAAGAUGGUUAAGAGAUAUUGAUUUGAUGUCUUUUAUAUUGGGGCAUAACCAUUUGAGGGAGUAUUUAUACUAGGGUAUGACUAUCUUAUUGAUCUUCUAGGACAUUGGAAUUCGACCACUUAAUUAAGGUUUUAUAUAGGUUAUAAAGAUGAUGAUGCCUUGGAUUCGGUCUUCUCACCAUACCUGGUCUGAUUUAGAUACUAUCGUAUAUUUACUUCAUACCAAAACACUCCAUUUUUUCUAUAUCUUCACACUUAUAUCUUGUAUUCAAUCCAUCCAUAUCAUUCCAUCAUGAUGUAUAAAGUUAUUUUGCUUCCAGAUCAUAGGAGCAUGUAAACUAAUCAUGAGUUUCCUAGUCAAACUUUCAUGUGCCUUUUGGAUACUGAAUUUAACAUCUUCCAUGAUGGCAAGGCUUGACAGAUUGUCGAUUGUUUGUAAUGUUUUUCAUUUGAUAGUCUACAUGUCAUGGCAUGACUUGGUGCAUAUUUAGACUUAGAGCUUUAGUUAUCUUUGUUUUUGUCCAUCAUUUGGUUUUAUUUUGAUAACAUGGUCCCAAGACCUAUAGUCCUAUUUAGCUUUUUUAAUUGAAGAUUAGACAUUUUCAUCUUAUUAUCAAUGAGUGCAUCCUAGUGUAUGUCUUUGUUCGUGCCACACCCUAAUUAUCCGACUUUUUUUAUAUUUUCUGUUAAUGUCACGCCUCGACUAUUCGACCUCUUUUAUGUUUUCUUAAUGUCAUGCCCUGAAUAUUCAACCUUUUUUUGUCUCUAUUAGUGUCAUGCUUUGAUUGUCCAACUUUUUCAUGUUUUUUUAGAGCUAUCUUGAUUGUCCAAAAUUUUCAUGUUUUCCUAAAUUCGAGCCCUGACUGUCCAACUUCUUUUAUGUUUUCCUAGAUUCGCACCCUGAUUGUUGGGUCUUCCUUGUGUUUCCUCUAAUGUCCAUGCACUGAAUACAUGACCUUUUUUAAUUUUUAUUUUAUUAGCCUUGAUUUUUUUCUCUAAUCAUUAGCUUCUUCUCUUUUCUUCUUCAUUCUCUUGUUCACCCAUUCAUUCCCCCCUUUGGAUAGUAAGGUCCUUAGUGUUUCACAUAGAUAUUGUCACUACCUUGUUCAGAAGAGUCUCCCUUAAGAUCCACGUAGAUAUUGCAUGUUUCUCUACUAGUAGAUCAAUGAGCACAUUUCAUAACCUUAGAGAGCUUGUGUCUUAUUGGGACAAAUUUGGUGAUCUUUCUUGUACUUUAGUAGAGCCCACUUUGUUUGGUUGGUUUAUACACUUACUUCACUUGUGAACUCUUCUAAAAAUGGACAUAUUUGUAGAUCCCAAAAUUUUCCCUAAGCCUAUUCUCACUUUUUAUUUUAUUUUAUUAUUUUAUUAUUUUAUUUAUUUUAUUUUAUUUUAUUUUUACUUUAUUUUUUUCUUCUUUUCUUUUUCUUUUUUUUUGUUCCUUUCUUGUUUUUCACCUUUUUUUUCUCCCACACACAUGCAACUACAGAACCUUUCCCCUUCUUAUUUUUCCCUCUUCCUUCUCUUUUCUUUGCUUCUUUCUUUUUCCUUCCUUUUUGUUUUUCUUUCUUUUCUUUCUUUUUCUCUCUUCUCUCUACCCACUCUCACUCCCAAACCCAUCUCUAGCCAUCAUCUACCUUCCUCCUCUUUCCCUUGUCUUAUUUAUUCUCCUUUCAUUUUUCUUCUUAUUACCCAUUUCUCUCUCUCACCUUGAAGAUCCAUAACCAUGGCUGCCCCAUACUCAACACUCUCACCACUAGACAGUUGCCAUCAGUGAGCCAUUAUUUGUCUGUGAUCCAUUUUCUCCCUUUGUUUCUCUCUUUUCUUCAUUUUUUUCUUUCUCUUAUCUCACCCAUUUUCUUUUAUUUAUUAUUAUUACUAUUAUUAUUAUCCCAUUCUUUCCUCUUAUCCCUUCUUUCCAUAUUGCAUUCAAGAAAUGGGUAAGAUGCCCUUUUUCAUUUUCUUAUUUCUUUAGUCAUUUUAUUUUUUAUUCAUAAAGUAAUUGUUCUUGAUUGUUGAGUUUGCUUGUUUGGACUUUAGAUAAUUUUGCUUGGAAUUUGCAUAUUAGAUGUUGAUCUUCUUUUAGACUUUAAUAAAUUAAGUUAUCCAAAAAUCUUCUUUUAAAAAAAUAAAAUAGGUCGAAUAAGAUAUUUUCAUUAAAUAAGAAAAAUGGACCCAAAAAUAAGUUUCUAGACAUCCUUUUUAGAUAAAAUAGUCGAAAAAUUUUAUUUUAAUAAAAGAAAUAAUUCAUAAUUUUAAAAUAAAUAAAUAAAUAAAUAAAAAGUUCACAAAUAUUUUUUCAAAUAAAAUAAAAUAAAAAUAAAACAAUCCAGUAAUCUUGUUUUAAUGCAAUAAUAAUUCAAUAAAUAUUCUUUUUAAUAAAAUAAAGUUUUUUUUUAAUAGAAACUUUAGAAAAAAAUAGUUUUUUUUAGGAAUCUUUUUUUUUUUUAACAAAAAUUCAAAAAAAAAUUGAAUAAUAAACGAUCUAGAAAUUUAUUUGUUUAACAAAAUUUUCUAAAAAAAAAUUUGAUUUUUAAAUAAAAUUGUCCAAAAAGUUAAUUUUAAUAAAAUCGUCCAAAAAUUGAUUUUUGAAUAAAAUUCUCUUUCCUUGAUAAGAAUGGGAUUUAAAAUAAUUUUUAUAAAUAAAGGUCUUAAAGAAUUUUUUUUAAAAAAUAAGAAUAGGAUAAGUAAACCUUUAAAUUGAACUGAAAGACAACCCCCCCCCCCCUUUUUUUUUUUUUUAAUAAAUUGGUAAACUAAUCUCUUUCUAGAUGAAAUCCAAAAAUUCUUUCUUAAUAAUGGAAUCCUUGGGAAUAAAUUUGUGAAAAAAAUUUUUCUAAAUAAACUAGUAAGAAUCUUUUUCUAGGUAAAAUAAAAAAUAUAUAUAUUUUUAAUAAAAUUGGGUUGAACCUUAUAACCUUGUAAAUAUCUUUCUUUAAGUUUGUAAAAAAAAAAUUUAAAUAAAUAAAGAUUGAAUCAAAACACUUUUUUAAACAAAUUAGUAAAAUUCACGCCUUCUUAAUAAGGUAAACAAAAAUAAUUUCUUGUAAGUCAAAUAAAAUCUUUUGUAAUAAAUUGAAGCCUUGUGAAUAAAUAAAUUCAAAUCAUUAAUUUGAAAUUGUUGUUAAUAUAAAUGGAUUCUUUGAAAAUUUUUGGAAAUUGUAUUAUGAUAUUUGAAAUAAUAAAAUCUUUCUAAUAAAUUAUUUUGUGCAUUUCUUAUGUAUCAUUUUUGCAUAUCUUUAUAAUUUGUUUUUGCAUUAUUCUAUGUGCUUGUAUUAUUCUUUUUUUCAGUAUCCAUGAUUAAUUAAUUAAUUGUCAUAAUUGCUUUUUACAUGCUUAGUAAAAACCUUUUUAAGGCUUAAAAGGGUGCUACUAUGGUACCUUCCCAAUAGAUAACUUGAUCUUUGGAUUCAAACUCAAUUUUUGACGACAUGUCUUUCUUUAAAAAUGGAGCUACACUAGGGCUUUAUUUCUUAUUUUAUUUUCUUUUAAAAAUAAACAAAAAUAAGUGACAACUCCACCUUUUAAAAAAAAAAAAAUCAGUUUUUUACAAUAAAAAUAAGUCUCACCAUCAAGUAGGGAUGCACAUGAAAAAUGCGGGUUCACAAUUGUAUUCCUUAGGAUUAAAAUAUAAUACAAUUAAUUAGAUGGAUGAUAACGUCAAAUUCAGGAUAGCUUCAUAUUUUUUCCUUUAACUGAAGAUUAAAAUAAAAAGUAAAGUGAUAAUUUUUAAGAUGUAAAAGUUUUAUUAAACAUGAAAGAACUAUUGUGUAAAUAGAAAUAGAAUUAUAGAAUUCUUAUAAGAAAUAACAUUUUUAUGACUUUUAUAUGAAACCUUUUUUAAAAGUUAGAAGUUUUUUUUAAAAAAAUAAUAAUAAUAAUAAUUAAAUAGGUAUAAAAACUUUUAUUCAACUUUUUUUUUUUUAACUCUUACAAGUCAAUCCAAAUAAAAUUUAAACAUAUUUGAAAAUCAUUUUUAAAAAUCCAAAAAAUCACUUAAAAAUAAUUUCUGAACUUUUUUAAAUUUACAUUUAAAUACUAAGUGAUUCUUUUAAAAAUCAUAAUUUUUUUUACGGAUAAAAAUAUUACAAAUAAAAAACAUUUUAAUCACAAUAAAUUUAUCUUGAAUUCAUGAAAUUUCAUUUAUUGUUAUUUAUUUUUUGGGAUUUGAUUCUUUACAAUUAUUUUUGAGUGUUUAUAAAGUAUAAUUAGGUUAUGCCCAAAUUUAUUCCUAUAACUCUAUCCAUCAAAUAUAAGUAGCGUGAAAUUUUGGCCUGUCUCCACCUUUCGUCACUUCUGACAUUGUCAUGCACUGCUUCAUCAACUCCAAACACAACUGCUGAGGAUAGAAGAAAAUAAGACAAUGGAAUGUCAGCUAGAAUAAAAUGAAAGUUUAAUCAUUUAAUCUUUUUUAGCACAGCUUUCCUGCCAACUUAACAUAUUGACAUGGACUUGGACAGUACCGUCAAUUGCAGCAGCUUAGUUAACUGUAAGUGUCUUUUCUCUAAACCAUAAAUUCAAAUGAUCAACUCCUACGUUUUAAUUUACAAAAGCCAGUGAUUUGAAUUUAAGGAAGCAGGAAAGGGUUUACUUGAAUAUAAAAUAAAAAAAAUAAUAAGAGUUGAAAAGUAAUCAAAUCACUAAAAAGACAGAUUUGGAGUUCUUUUGCUAUGGGGUUAGACUCAAUUUGUUCCCAUGCAAUGGAAAUGGACGAUUUUCUUUAUCUUGGUAUAGAUCUUGUAAUAUUUUAUAAAAAUAUAAAUUAUAUGUCAAUUAUUUUAACUUUCGGAAAAAGCGCUUAUUUUAAUUUAAAAUAAAUAAAUAAAAAAGAAUUGAUUUUAUCUCAAUUGUAUAAGACUUCAUAAAAAUUAUCUUAUUUGCAAAAUAUUUUCAGAUGUAAAAGUAAAUAUUAAACAAAGCAUUUGAUGAUCUUUUCCAUAAGUAUCCAUUUAGAUCAUAAUCUAAUUUUAAAAUAUUAGAAUAAAUCAAUUACUCUAAACUAUAUAAUUUAUAAUUUUUUUAUUAUUAAUAUGGUACCUAACCUUCCACGGAAUUGGAAUAAAAUAUGGAUAAUUAAAAAAUGUCAACUAUCCCAUUUCAAACUUUUCUAAUACAACAUGAUAUUUUAUCAUGUUGAAUGAAAUGGGAAUGACCAAAUAUUCUCAAAUCAAAGCUAUAUCUAUUGUGGACAUUGUCUUUUUAUAUUGAAAUGAAUUAAGGUUGAAACAGGAACACAAUGUCAAAUUCUUUUUUUAUAAUCAAAGACUUCCAUGGAAAAUUCCACCAUAGCAUAUCUUAAAGAUUAGUCAAAUUCCAUUAUCUUUAUAGGCUUUUAACAAUCCAAGAAAUUGACAUUAAUAAUCCCAAACACAAUAUUCUGCAACUUUACAUUAUUAUUUUUAUCGUAAUUGAAAAGGAAUACAAACUUAGUCAAACAGAAAAUAAAUCACGAAAGCUAAAUAAUACAAAUAUUCAGUGAAAUCCUUGGCAUGUUAUUUCUUUGCAGCUUCAACAUGGUGGCAUGUCGGAUGGAGGAGGCAGCAUUUGAGCUUCUGGGUGUUUACCAUUUUUCACUAUGAACGCAGUUUCCAUGCCCCAAGUCAGAUGGCGUUCUAUAUGGCAGUGCAUGAACCACACUCCUGCAACAGAGAAAAUAUACCAACGUUACACCUAACUUAAUUGUAAUAUUAAGAAAAAUUAUUUCAUUGGUAUGCAGGUUGGUAGUUUCAAGGGUUUUUUUUCUUUAAUAGAGGACAUGAGUGCUUGCAAUAUACCAGGGUUGGAUGCCUUGAAUCUGAUUGCAACCCAACCAUUCGAAGGAACAAAGAUGGUAUUCUGAAGGGGAGGAUCCACCAGAUUAUACCGCAAAGGGUCUCUAUUUCCAUCGAAAUUCCCAAAUCCCCAUCCAACAACAUAGAAACUGUAUCCAUGGAGAUGCAUGGGGUGGUGUGUCUUUGCAAGCACGGCUGUCCCUUGAAGAAUAAUCUCCACUGUGGAGUUAUACUCGAGCACCCUUACUUCUGUCCCGCUGCUCGACAACUGAUAGGUUAAUGGAAGAUAAUCAUAUGUAAAAUCGAACACCAGUGGUGGAAAGCUAGGAAAGUUAUUUCCAUAUACACCACUGAUGUUAUAAUAGUAAGCUUCUAGUAUGUCAAUUAUAGGCGAAUGAAAGCUUAUGUUGUUUAUACUUGAGGAGAAUCACGUCCCAUUGGGCCCUGCACAUGAAUCAUUGAUGCAUGGGUAUGAGUUCAUAGAAAGAGUGUAAAACAGGUUAGUGCUCAUGCUCAAUGGGACAUUGCAAGGAUGUUCCGCAUCUGCUAAGCUUCGAAGGCCGGCCAUGACCUGAACCGAUGCCUUUGUGUCAUUGUAUGCAGGAAGAUCAGGUGAGGAGGGAGGUGAAGAUGGUGUGUAGUAUCCCCUGUACUGUACAAUAGCUGUGGUGGUUGUGUUAUCAUAAAAGUCUCAAUAUUUUGGGGCAACAGAAUAAGUUAUAGACGUCAUGUAAUAGUGAUCCGGGCGUUGGUUAGCUUCUAGUAAGACAUCAUAGGUUUGGCCAGGAAAUAUUGUGAUAUAAUCUCGUGUCAAUGGUUUCGUGUAGCUACCAUCUGUUCCAACCACUGUCAUUUUAUGCUUGGCUAUGGCGAAGAAGAGAGCCUUGUGCAAGGCAGCAUUGAUUAUGCGAAGUAGAUAGGUCUUUCCAUGAUCCAUUGUUAGCUUGAAUGUGCUUGCAAUUAGAAAGGGAAAGUUGUAUACUUAUGACUAGCUAAAAGAAAAGGAAAAAGUUUCCAUGAGAAUCCACCAAUUAUGAAGUGAUUCAUUGAUUAAGGGUGUAAAUUUGGCUCCAUAGUUUAACAUUAUAUUUGGACUAGCCUUUUCUGAUGUGUUAAAUCAUGGCUCUACCAUCCUCAUAGCUAUAUUCCUCUUUCUUAGCAUUAACCUUUAAAUAUGUUGAUGUUAAUAAGAAAAAGUAGCAUGGUUAACAUAUAAGAAAAUGAAAUCGCGUAUAAUUUUAAAAUGGGAAGUUAAACUUUGUACCUAAUUUUGAGCAUGGAUAUAGAUCAUCGGGUUGUCCAUUUAUCAAUAAAGCAUCAGAGGAGUUGGGGUCACCUCCGGUUGCAAGCCCUUCAUCUCAAACCGCAUUCACAUCACUCUUCCACCAUUCUCCUGCAUGUCAACAACUCCAAUAAUUUUAGAUCUUGCUUUGCUGGUUAAAUCAUAAUAUGUAAAUUAACCUUUAAAAAUAACAACACUUAUACCUAAUAUGAUGGGGACUUCUGUGUUAGGUUUGUGACAAGGAUACUUGGUUCCAUUCUUGGGAUAGAUGAUUAUAUAGCUCCAUGAACAGUAGCUCAGGUACAGUCACUGUGAGCAUGCCACCAUAAAGUGCCUUCCUCAGUAGAAAGGAUGAUCUUCUAGGUAAACUUUGACCCUGGCUAAAUUGGGCAUUGUGUGAUAUACUCGGGACCAUCUGUCCAUGGAUAUCUAGGCAUGGUCACCCCAUGCCUGCAAAACCAUAACUAUACGUUAAAACUAGUACUAAUUUUCAAAGUAACAAAAGAUAGCAUGCAACAAGCAUCAACUGUAUUUCAAUGGAACUGAAGCAAAUAACCCUAAAGUAUUGUUUUAAAUUUGACUUUAUUUUCAAAGCAAUAUAUUGCACCCCCCCCCCCCUCUCUUAGAAAUAAAAGAAUGUAAGCUAUGUCUUUCUCUGAGACACACACAGGACCUACCAGUGAAUGGUGACGUUUUCUUUUCCCCUAUUAUAAACGUCGACAAUGAUCGUGUCUCCUUUCAUAGCAUAUAUAGUUGGUCCCGGAAAUUGUCCAUUUUUUACUGUUAAAAUGUUCUUGGCAGUACAAAGCCUUGUAUAUGAAGCUUCCCUCACUUGCAACCAAUUAAAAGUUAACCAUGCAACCUCAUCCCAAAAGAAAUAUUACAUGCAUGAAUAGUUCCAUCGAUCCAUUCAUGUAAGUGUAUAACCAAUUAGAAAUUGAUGGCAUGCAUGAACGACUCAACGACACCCAUAGCAUGCAUGAACGACUCAAUGACACCCAAGCAUGCAUGAACAACUCAACGACACUAGGGUAAGAGGUCAUACAGUAGAAAAUAAGAGCCAUACUACUCCCUAAAUCUCAUGAUUAGAACGUGGUGUUAAGGCCAGAAUCAUAUAUAAUAGUUACCACAAAAGUAAGCCGACGGGUUGAAGCUUGGCAAUGGAUGCCACCACCAAAAACUAGAAACGCUAAAAUUUGCAAGAGGAAAACCUUCAUGAUCAGCCACAUUUUCCUUGGAAUAAAAGCCUUUUCUCUUGUCCUAAACACAACUCCUUUAAUUCUCUUACUACUUUUGAUGUAUUUCUUUCAUAUAUGAUUCAUUAUAUAGGCAUGGUAAUUCUCUCGGGAUACAAUACUUCCUCUCCACGUGUCAAUAUAAGAGGAAGUAAUAUUGGCUUUCAAUGUUCUUUCAGGACGACUUCAAUGAGCAGGACCACUUCAAAAUAAUUAAUUAUGAUAUUUCUUACAUGAGCAGGACCACUUCAAAAUAAUUAAUUAUGAUAUUUCUUACAUGAGCAGGAUCACUUCAAAAAAAUUAAUUAUGAUAUUUCUUACAAGUUACCUACACUUUACCUUAGAAUAAAUUUAAAAUAUUCUUUCACAAGUCUUUUAUUGAUUAGUUCAACAAAUGUUAAUUAAUUAAAUAUAUGUACCCUUAUCAAGAUUAGUCAUGAAAACUGUUUUUCAUUGACAACUACUUUUAAGAAUUAUUUUUAAAUUAUUUUUUAAGAAUUAUUUUUAUAAACAUUAUUUAACCAACCCUUAUUAUUAAUUUUACUUUUUUUCGUGUUACUUAAGAUAAUUAAUAGUGCAGAACCCAUGACUUUGGUGGUUGGUGGCAGAGUUGUUUUCGUAUUGUUACUUUAUACAAUUAGUCAUGUCAUUGCUUUCGUCUGAAUGGGACAAAGUUGUUUCCCAAUUUUUUUUACCUGAGAUUUGAGAUUGUAAAAGACAAGAUGAUAAGCUAAUUUGGUAUUUCAGAAUUUUCCAUAAAAAAACAGAAAAAUACAUUUUGUAAAAAGUUGAAAAUAGGAUACUAACAACCCUUGUAGUAUCUUUUUUUCUCAACAAAAAGCAGUUUAAUAAUAACAAUAAUAAAUAAUUGUAGAUUUAAAAAAAAUAUUUUUCAAAACAAAUGCAAUCCAUAAUUUAUUUCUUCGAAUGGUAUGCAUAUCUUGAUUAAAUAAAUAAAUUAUGGAAAUGCAUAUAUUUUUAACUUAUUUAUAAAUAGAAAAAAUAAUGAAUAAAUUUUAAGACGUGUAAAAAUUUGAUCAAGUUAAUUUAAACUUUUUUUUUUCACUUUCUUUCUCCUAUUCUUUUUUUCUCACAUUUCCUUUUAAACUUUCGAAAUAAAUUCCCUACUAUUUGUGGAGUUUUAAUACAAAUAACACCUUUAUUAGUUAGACUUACAUUAUAUCACUACCCUCACCAAAGGUAAUGAAGGUCAACAACUUCUCCCUUGUUGACUAGGUCCACUAAUAACUAGAGUUUCAAAACCAAUAAUAAAAUUCACUUACAUACAAAUAAACAAAUCAUAUGAUAUUCCCAAUUUAUUUUAUAAACUAAGGAACAAAUCAUAACAUUUUUAGCAAAAUAUUAUUUGAUCCACUUUAGGGAUUUAAACAUUUUGAUAGUUUAAAAAUAGAUGAAAACAAAUAAGGAAUUAGAAAAUGGUUUACCGUAUCAUUAACCCCUAACUUGAAGAUAUCAUUCAAAAUCACGAAAGAUUUAGUCCACUCCUAAUAUAAUAUAAAUACAAAAUAAUUAUUAAAGACUAAUUAUCUAAAUUAAUGGCUUCCUAAAUUUUUUGUAAAACUUAUUUUAAUUCCAAACCCUCUUCUAAAAAUCUAUAUUUUUUAAUUAAAUUUUUUAUCAACCAUAUUAUUAUUAUCAUUUUUGCUUUGCAUAAUUACAUCAAUAGGUUUUGUUUAAUUAUUAAUGUUAAUAUUCUUUAUUUUUUUCAUGGUAAGUAGAAUAAUUAUUUAUUAAUUUACUACUAUUUUUACUUAUCUCCUACCCACAACCCAAGUCUUAUUAUUAGUUUAUUAUUUCUUUGCCACAACCACUUUCCUCAUUUCCUCAAUUCUUCUUCCUAUUAAUCUCGUGGUUAAAGAAAGAGAAAAUAAUUUAAUAAAUAAAUAAGAACUUACCUUAAAUUUCAUAAUGAAUCAAAUUAAAAAAGUUUCUUCUUUCUAACCCUUCAAACCAAACUUCUCUAAAGGCCUUUCUAUUGUUUAUUUUUCCCUUCUAUUUUAUCUUUUCAGUAUUUAAUAAUGCGGAAAAAUCAAAAUGAUAUAAAGUUUGAAUUACCCAAAAUCUGAAAAAAUAGUUGUUUCACCAUUUAAUUCUUUAUCCCAAGUCAUGAAUGAAACCACACUAAAAUUGAGAAUCACUUUAUUUCACAGUAUAAAGCAUUUCACCUUCUUUUUCAGAUAACUUUUCUUUUCGAGUCUUUAUUUUCCAUAGAAAAGUUUAUUAGGGUGAUUUUUUGGGCAAUUUCUAGUAGUUCCAACUCCUAGAAAUUGUUCCACCUUUGAUAUUUUAUUUGGUUAGGUCAGGUUGGGUCACCUCAACUUGGGAACCCACCCAACUCCAACAAUAUUUAAGUAUUUAAUAAAGUAAAUGAUUGAAUUACCAUGAACAAGUAUAAUGAUCAAAAUAAAAAUUUUACUCUUUUUUGUUAUAAUAUAAAAUCCAACCUCUAAUUGAACAAAUCAUUUACCAUUUAAAAAUAUUCUUAAUAUCUUCAUUUUCUUUUUGUGUUUUUGAAAGUUCAUUUUUAUUUUAACUAGAUCAAAUAAUAUUUGUAUAAUAAUGCCUUUAACAUACAUUUUUUAUGAGUAACACCAAAUAAACAUCUCAACAAAUAUUAUAUAAGAUGAUCAUUAAUUUCACUAUCUUCAUUUUAUUUAUGUUAUUCUUCUUUAUCCAAUGGGUUUAAUUAUGUGUUGUAAAAUGAACAAGGACCUCUAUAGUUAUAAUCUCACCUAAAAAGUUGGAGAAGUUAUCUCUACAUUUAUGGUUCAUGCAUGAAAUAAAUUGUUUUUGUACUUCCAUCAUCAAAGAUGCAUGUAUGUCUAAGAAUGGCAAAAAAAUCUGUUGUUCUUGUAUUGAACAUUUUUAAGCUUUUCUAAGUCAAACAGAUUAAUUUAAAAUUGUUGGAAAGUUUGAAGUUUGAAAUUUGAAUUAUUCAAAUAUUUGUUGAUUUGAAUAAGUCAUCGCAGACUAUUAAGAUUAGAAGUUAAUUUAUUUGUUUUUAAAUCUUAUGAGAUUAGGAGUUAUUUAUUCAAAUAAGGAUUGAAUAUCCACCAGGUUGUUGGGAUAAGAAUUCUAGUUUCCUUAUUUUUAAGGAUUUUUGAAUUCUAGAGUCAACCUAUAAAUCUUGUUGUAUUUCGUAUUAAAAAUAAUAAUAAGAUUUUUGUGCUUUCUGUUUUUUUUUUUCUACUUCGGCUUCAAAAAUAAUUAUUUUUUGAGCUUAAGAGGUUCAAACACCUAUUCACCCUCUCUAGAUGUUACCUAAACUAGAUCAACUAACUUUUAAUGAGGAAAACUCAAAUCAUAGAAUUUGCUCUUUCAGCCAAUGCAACUAGGCUUAGACAAAUUGAAGAGUAAAUAUCCUUUCAAAUCAACCAACUAACCUUUCAUCCAUGGAGACCUUCUCCAAUUUAAAGAUCAUGAAAACCUGUCAAAGCAUUUCUAAAGAAAAAUAAGAGCAUUGUGUCACGGACUUAGUCUUCUUCAAGUGUUUUGGAACUCACUUGUUUUGGUUGGUUAGGUUCUUGGGUGGUACCUUGGCCAAAUGAGGCCUUAACCUCUUUAUAGGCACCUUAGGAAGUCUCUAGAACCUUGAAGGGUUCCUUACAAAUAAAAAAUAAUCUAGAAGCUCCUACACUAGUCUAUGUACAAGAUGACUUUGGAAGAUUCUAGAACACCCCACACUUUUCCAGUGGUCUCCUAGCCAAGUGUAGAUAUGUGUGGAUAUCUCUAGCAUUUUCUAGAAGCUUCCACACUCUUCUACCUUGUAGGUAAGUGUAGAUGUCUCUAGGGGUGUCUACAAGCUUCCUACCUCCUAUAUAAGCCCAUGAGGAGGGUCAUUUGAAGCAUCUUGUGACAAUUGGCUCACCCUAAGGGUUCCUUGGAGAGGCUUUGAUCUUAAUCUUCUCUAUGAGUUGUUGAAAGGGUCUUUCACAACUGGGAUUGGAUUGGAUGGAGCACUUAUAUGAACUAAAAAUGAUAAAUAUUAUAACUACUCAAAAGACAUUUUCACAGAAUUGCCAACCUGCAGAUCAUUUUUAGUUAACCAAAUCUUAAAACAUUAGUCACAUCCGUGGCCAAAAUUAAGUGAAGGCUAAGCACAGAUAGAAGAGGAUCAUCAGGACGCUCUCCUUAUCUCUACCAAGCUAGCUAACAACCUUGAACAGAAUAUUGCUCGAGCAGUCCAUGGCUACUAUUAAAAGGAAAAACCUAUAAAAAAAUAUGAAGAACAAGAAGCAUAAAAAGAAAAUAUAGGCUAAAAUAAAAUGGUUCAAUUUGGGAAUCAACUGCUACGCAAUAUAUGACUAAAUUCUCAGCUAGAUUCUUAUGAGUUCUAACCCCCAAAAGCAUCAAAUGCAGCAGAAAAUCUUGCAAAAGAGAAACCAGUAAGACAAUAACAAUAUGAUAGUUUCAUCUCUACCUUUCAAGUUUGAGCAUCUAGUGCUGAUGCAUCCUCUCAAUGUAGAAGUGGCUUGCUUCAUUAUAUCAGUAUUGUAAAAAGAAGAGGUGUAAGCUCACCAUAAUCUUUAAUAGUGAAGAAACUUGAAUUCUCAUCGGUAGUGCUGCACUGAAAUUCUGGUUGAUUGCCUUCUUUCUCAUCCUGUUGAUAUAGUAGAUGAACCCCACACUUCUUCACCCCAUAAGAUGGGCCAUAGACUUGGAAUGAAGCCUGAAUUUGACUCAGUUUAUUUAGCCAAUUGGCGUGGCCAAUCCCAAUUCGAGAAAUUGGUUGAUACCCAAGCCACAUGUGAUCUGAUUUAAUGAAUCUGUGCCCUUCAUCCGAAGAAUUCUGGUGUUCUUGAUUGAUGGGAGCAAAAAGGUGACCAGUUUUACCUUGAGUCAAAUUCAAAUGACAAAAUAUAUUACCAGGGCAAUCAUGGACAGCACCCUUAACUACAAAAAUAGCGCACACAGCCAAUCCCAUCAACCUAGUAUACACCAAUUUGGAGGCAGAUGUACCAUUACUGUGAAGCCUAUACUCUGUUGGCUGAACCACUAACGAAUUCAACUUCCAGGAACAAAAGUGCCGGAUUCAAUAUGUGGAGUAUAUGGCACCAUCUGGGUCAUGAAAAUCAAUGUCAAGUUAUAUGGAAAUAAUGUAGGAGUAGUGCUCAAAGGAGUAUAAGAAUUAUUCCAUAGGAUUUAAUUGAUUUACUUUUACAAUAUGAUCAAGAGAGAGAGGAGAGAAACCUGGAUUGGGAAUUGAAAUCUUGGUAAUUUAUUUGCCAGACUUUGCAUUUCCCUUAAUGUAGCUGCCACAAAGUUGCUGCUUUCAUUCUCAGACAGUGAAGCAAUUAGAAAAUGUGAAUCGGAGGCCCCCACAUUCCUUGGAUCUGUAGACACUUGAUGGACACAAAAUGUUUUCCGUAACUGUGCAAUCAGGGGCAUCUAUUUCUUCUAUACUUGAUGGAAGCUCUGGUAAUGAUUGAAGCCUCUUGCAAUAACCCAACCUAAGGCCUUUGAGCUGUGAAAGUUGAUUGAGGCUUGCAGGUAGAGUAACAAAAUUGUUUCUGCUCAGAUCUAAAUAUUCCAACGAGCACAGAGAACUAAAGUCAUUGGGAAUUGCUCCUUCCAAUAUGUUGCAAUCACUUAGAUUUAACUUUCUUAGGGAUCUUAAACCAAAGAAAGAAUGCAGUUGAAAACCCCUAGAGCGUCCGAUUUCUGCGGGCAACAACUGGAAAGAGGGGAGUGAAUUCCUUGGAUUGGAUUCUAGUCCUUUACAUCCCUCAAAUGAUAAUACUUCAAGGUUUUCCAAAAGAGAAAUAGAGGGUGGCAGCUCUUUUAUAGCAGUUCCAGCUGCUUCAAGCUUCUCUAAACCUUGUAGGCUCCCCAAACCCUUUGGCAAAUUGUCUAGUUUUGAGCAACCAGAUAGAAUAAGAGUUUGAAGAGAUUUCAACUUACGAAUGCUAUGUGGAAGAAUUGCAAGGCUUUUGCAUUCUCUCAGAUUCAACAGAACAAGUCCACUUAGAUGUUGGAUUGAUGAAGGUAGCUUUUUUAUAGCAGUUCCAUAUAAGAAAAGUUCCAACAAACUCCCCAUAUUUUCCAAGACUUCUGGAAGCUCUUUGAGUUUUAAGCAAUCUGAGAGAAUAAGAAUUUCAAGGGAUCUCAACUUAUAAAUACAGCUUGGUAAUGACUCAAGGUUUUGACAGUUCCUCAGAUUUAAUAGAACAAGUCCAGUCAGAUAUUCAAUCGACAAGGGCAAUCCUUUUAUUGCAGUGCCCUCCAAGGAAAGCUCUGAUAAAUGUUUCAUGCACCCUUGGACCUAUGGAAACUUCUUGAGUUUCCAGCACCCGGAGAGAGUAAGAAUUUCAAGAGAUUCCAAACAGAUGCUUCUUAGAAAGUUGUUCAACUCAACUUUAACUCAUAUUUAGCUCGACAAGCUGUUCAGGAUGAAAAUUUAAUGGGAGGGAUUUCUGAGGGUAUCCAUGCCAAUAUAGACAUCUUAAGUUGUUUGAUAGAAAUUUGAAGUCUCCAGAAAGAAGCAAUUUACAGUCUUUGAAUUGAUUCAGUUUAUUCAUCCUCGUGCAAGCAUCAGAAUCAGCACAUAACUCUUUCCAAGAAAAAUAUUCAAAGCUUCCACAUAGCAGCAUGUUACAGACUUUGAGCAAUCUUAAUUUGUUCAUCUUCAUGAAGGCAUCAAAACUGAAGUGUAGUUCCUUUGAUGCUGACAAGUCAAGGACUAUGCCUUCAACUACUUUAGUCCCCUGCAAUUAACCGGGAAUAGAGUAUGAAUUGGAAAUUAAAAUCACAAAAUUCUAAAAGGAAAAGCACAGAAAGCAUCAAACUAAUGACUUAUUUUCUUUUUUUUUUAGGCAGUGUUCAAGGAAGCAAGUAAGAAGAUAAAAGAAAAUGCAUCUACUAAGACAGAAACUCAGGGAAAAGUUAGCAAAGGAUUCAAAUCAAAUAAUUCCCCCAGCUUUAUAUCUGCCUUUGCAUAAAUAUGCAAUACCUUAUUAAAAUUGUACAUAUAUGUGAGUUUCUCAAAUGAGUUGAAAUUAUCCAAACUUUCUCUUCACCUAGAGCUUAUAUAUACAAAAAGAGAACACACACAUACAAAGCUCAUGUAUUUAUUUCUUACUGUGUUUCUAGUUAAUGCAUCACUGACAUCUUCAUGAAUCCAGAGUCUGUUGUGUUUUUCAGGAUAUUUAAGAGAUUCUUGCCAAACAAUUUCCCAACCCAUUUCUUGUAACAAAUCAUACAUGCACAACUUAUUAUCUGAAACAAUUAUGAGUGACUUAUCAAUGAGAACCCUUAUUCCAAUAUCCGGAAAGAAACCACAACUCGCUAGUAUUUCUGUGACAAAAUCUUUGUCCUCCCAUUUACAAAAGCAUGCAAUAUCGAGAAAUAUAUCUCUCUCUUUGUUGUCUAAUCCAUCAAAACCCAUUUUAAGCACAUUCUGAAUUUCCAUGUUAGGAAUUCUUUUUAGUUUGUCCAAUUCACUUUUCCAUUCAUGUAUGCUCUUGCUAUACAAAAAAGCACCCAAGACUUUAAGAGCUAAGGGAAGGCCCUUACUAUAAUGUAUUACAUCAUAGCAAAGCUGCAUAUAAUCUUCUCCAGGGUCGUUAUGUUUAAAGGCAUACUGACAAAAGAGUUGAAAAGCUUCACUAUCCUCUAAUCCCCUAAAUUCAUAAAUUGCGCUGACUCAAUGUGUAACAAGCAAAUGCUUUUCUCUGCUUGUUAUAAUAAUUCUACUUCCUGAACCAAACCAAUCAUGGUUUCCUGCUAAAUAUUCUAACCGUUCCAAGUUAUCCACAUCAUCAAGAACAAUAAGAAUCCUCUUAGAGUGGAGUCUAUCCUUUACAAAAUUGAUUCUUGUAUUGGAAAUUCCUAAAUUUGGAUUUCCAUCCUUCAAUAUCUUUGAGAGAAGUUCCACUUGUAAAUGACCCAGACCACGUUUUUAUGAGCCUUCUCUAACAUUUUCAAGAAAACAGCAACCCUCAAAUUGAGUGUAAAUUUGCUCAUAAAUAGCUCUAGCAAUAGUUGUCUUACCUAUGACACCCAUGCCCCAAAUUCCUACACUUCGAACAUUAUCCAACCCAAUACACAACGGUGAAUCCAUUCCAACCAGCCCUUCAGCAUAGCACGAGGAUGUACCAAUCAAUUUAUUAGAUAUAUCUGUGACAAGUUCCUCAAUAAGUAUAGAUUCAUGCUUGCAAAUUUUGAGGAAAAAAACUAAUCAUUUAAUGAAUUCAAGGAUCCAUUAAAAAAACAAAAGAGAUAUUAGAUAAAUCAUCAGCGAUUUAGUCUUGUUUUUUGUAACUUAAAAGUCAUAUGGCAAGCUUAUAUCUCAGAUUUUUUCCAGUGUAAGUGUGUGUGUGUGUGUGGGAGAGAGAGAGAGAGAGAACUGUAUUGCUAUCUAGACAGACAGACAAUCAAACUAGAUUAUAAUAGCAAGCAUCUGCCGCACUUCGUAGUAGUCUGCAUGAGGAACUUCUCAGGAUAGAAAUACUAGAAAAGCCAGUGGAUGCAUGUUUAAGACUGCAGUAGCAUUGAUUGAUAGUAGGAUUACUAAUUCCAAGUUAAGCAUAUUGGCAGGCAAAAAUUCUCUUCCAAAUGGUUGAAAAAAUUAGGGAUUACCAUCCAAAAGGUUUUAAAAGCAUGACUAUCCAAUGGGGUUGGGGGACACUACUUAGGCAUGGAAGAGAGAAUGCCAAGAGGUCAUUGGAAAUGAAGAAAAAGCAUUAAUCCAAGGUCAACUUACCAACGGAAUAAAGCACACUAAGGGCAAAUAUGCUCAAGAUAAGGUAAAAGGUUUUACAGUGUAGUCAUAACAUUCUUGCUCAAUGUGAUAAGGACCGACCAAUGUGUAGCUUCAAACACCUUCAGCAGAAAGGAGGGAAAGGGUCAUUCAUAUUAUGGUCAAGUGGGUUGAAAUCACAAUUUGAUGAGGGUCGAGAAAAGUUUGAUGUGUUGGUGGAUUGGAUCCAAGUUAUUCCAUCUUCAUAAUUUUGAUCACAGUCAUGGAGAGAUUUCCUUGCAUAUGUGAGAUCAAGUUCAUCUAAAAAUCAUUCAGUCAUAGGCAGCAAAAUACAACUUAAUCCAUACAUGGGUUUAAGUCAAAUCAUCUUGGAUCAAUCUCUCUAUUGAUCAUCCUAUGAUUUCCAAUUUAUAUGGCUAUGCAAGCUUUAAAGUUUCAGCAUCAUUACAUCAUACACCUAAAAGGCAAAGGAAAAAAAAUUGCAGUUAAAAAUACCUAGCUCGAGAAUCCCAUCCAGAAAUAUUGGCAGCUUCUGUCAAAGCCACUCUCCACUUGAUCACUUUCUCCAUCUGCUCCUUAUAAACCUCUUCAUGCUUAGCAAAUGCUUGUGCAAAACUCCCUGUCUGUUUCCUCACAUGAGAGGGAUCCAUAUUGUAGAAAACUGGUAAAGCUGCAUGUCCCAUCGCCAUGGUGCAGUCAAUAAUCUUGACAAGUUCCUCCAGACACCAUGUUGAAGAAGCAUAGUUUUUAGAGAAAACGAUGACGGAGAAUCUGGACUCUUCGAUGGCUUUUACAAGUGCUGGAGAGAUCUCUUGCCCUCUUCUGAGCUGGUCAUCCAUGAAAGUCUUGACUCCUCUUUAACACAGAGCUCUAUGAAGAUGGUCAGUAAAGCUUCUGCGGGUGUCUUCCCCUCUGAAACUCAGGAACACGUCGUACUUCCAUUGAUGCGUAGAAGGUGAAGAUGAAGAUAAAGAAGCCAUUAAAUUGGAAAUUUGAUAGCUUAAUUGUGGGACAGAAUUAUAAGUGAGUCAGAGAAUGAAUAAAGACUAAACUGAACUGAAAAGAAAAUUAUAUAUGGCUUGACAUGCAAAUAGCAAAUCACUAUGUGCCCAGAAGUUUCUUGUGAUUUUCUUGUGAGCUGCCAUCGAAAAGGCCAGCUUCUAAUAACUUACAAAAUAAAUUUGUUUGGGCCGCUUAGCUUUAUCGUUAGGAAAGUCUUCACAUCCAACUUUUGAUGUAGGUUUACCUUUUUUUUUUUUCAAAUAUUUGCCACCUGUCGCUUGGACAUUGGAGGGAAGUUUUCCAAGUACGAAAACUAGAUGAAACUUUGACCGGCAAAGAAAACGAAAAAGACCUUAAGGAAUUAGAAAAUAUUAUCUUUCAUAUUAAACUUAUCUUUUUGUAAAAGCUCUCUACAAUUAACUAUGUGUUAUCAUAAAGCAUUAUUUAGGCUAUGUUACAUUCUUGGAAAUAAAUAAAAAAAUGUAAGAAAAACAAAAAAGAAAUAAAAUUUAAAAAUUAUUUUUUUCAUUAAUAUAAAUUAAAUAAUUUAAAAUACCUAAGUUUUUUCAAAAUUUUUAGUCAUGGUAGUGGGCCUUUGAUCAACCAAAGAUAGCCCAUCCAUCAUUGGCCAAAGUGAAGCACAACAACCUUAUAUUGGUGAUGUCACAUAGCAAUUCAUUAUUCAUUAUUUUGUUUUCAAACACACAAUAUCAAGAUUUGAGCGUGGGUCUUUCACAAUAUCUUUUAUAUACUAAUAAUUGUAAAUUAAUUACAAUAAAAUUAUUACAAAUAAUUUAAUUUUAAUUAUCUUAUUAUGUCUCUUAUAUAGUGAUUAAAUAUACGACAAUUAUAAAUUUAUAAAUCAAAUUAUUAACAAAUGUUUCCUAAUUCGGUAUAUUAUUGUUUAAUAUUACAAAUUUAUUAUACAUUUAUCAAUUUUUCUUAAAACAAUUUCAAUAUAUAUAUAUAUAUAUAUAUCAGAAUUUUCAUUGAUAUUUCUUUAUAUAUCUAUAAAGUCCAACUAAUGAUAUAUCGGUAAAAAUCAAUAUUUUCAUUCUUACUUAACAUAAGAAAGAAAAUUAUUCAAAUGGUGUGUAAAUUAAUGUGACCUCCUGAUGACAAUGACAACAACAACCAUGAGUCAUAGUUAAUGCACGUGUGUGGUAAAUUAACUUAGUGUUUGACAAAAUAAUUAUUUAUUAUUACUUAAAAUUUAAAAAAUAAAUUUAAAUAUUAAAUCAAAAUAAUUAACUUAUUCUAAAUACUAAAUUUUUUUAUUCUCUGUGUUCAUAUUUGGUGAUAAUCAUGCUUUAUUUUAAGAAUUCUCUUUUUUUUUUAGUCAAUAUUUUGUAGUUAUUUUGUAGUUUCACAAUAGUACUUUUUAAUAUAAAUGUUUAACAAGCUUAAGUUUAUGAAGAAAAAAUAUUAAGAAAAAUUAAUGAGUUUAAAUAUAUCAAUAUAAUAACUUUAAAAAUAUUAAGUUGAUUUUACCAAAAUUAAAGUAAAAAUAAUUCUUCUUAAAAUUAAUUUCAAUAAUUAAGUAAUAAGGAUUAAAUUUCAUCAUACACUCUCUUAAUUAAUAAAUGACAUAACUUCUUUCAACAACUUCUUCAUUCUACUUUUGAAAAAAUAAAAUAAAAUAAAUUUUAAAAUUAACGUGAUAUUUAUUUAUUUAUGUCUAAAAUUUAAAUAUACUUGAAUUUGACUUAAAUCUAAAUAUAGCUUGAUAUCGUUAAGUGUUUAGACUAUUUUUUUUUUUUUACUAGUGUUUAAAUAUUAUUAACCGUUAAAUUGUUAUUUUUAUUAAUAUCAAAAUAUGUGAAGUGUUAAAUUUAUUUAUUUUUGGUUAAAAAUUUAUAAAAGUAAUUAUUAUAUUUCUUCUUAUUUUAAUUUGAAAAGUUAUAAUUUAACAAAAUAGUAAUUUAAUUAACACAUCUAAAAAUAUUAUAAUACAUUAUCAAAGUAAAAAUUUUAUAAUGAUAAUUAUGUAAUUAGUAAAUUAUAUUAUUGUACAAUCCAUUGUUCCAUGUCAUAUAUUAUAGCAUAACUAUGCAUACCCAUCAGUGCAUAGACAUACAUCUUUUGAUAAUCUAUCAUGAAUGUCUCGUGGACUCUAAGUGAAGUAUGUAGCUAUUAUAGUAUAAAGAUGGUGUAGGAAGAGGCUCCAAGUUUACUAGUUCACACUCAACCACAGCAAUAGGGAAUAUAUUGCACAUUAUUUCCAUCUAAAAGAAAGGUAGAAAAGACCUUAGGAAUGGAACUUUUAGAUAACACCUAAGGGUAGCAAUGAGAUGAGUCUAAGAAGGAUCACUUCAAUCUCAAUCUUAUGUCAUUUGUUUAUAUUAAAUGGGGUGAGAUAAGACAAAAUCAUAUUCGCACCUGUCUUGAACUUGGUCCGAGGGCAAGAAGGGUCUCUAAAAAAAUCAGUCUCAUUGUCAUUCUUAGGUAUGCAUCUAUACCAAUGAAAGUUUUUACAUCUAUUAAAAAAUUCAAUGUUCUUGAUAUUAAUUAACUUCACCAAACUACAUACACUUAAUAUCCAUGAAAAAGUGUCAAAAUUCUCAACUAAUCAAUGACAUAAACUACAAUCAAGUUUAGUACAUCGUGACCCUAAAAUACCUCCAAACCCCAUUUCUUGUAGAACCCCCUUCUAAUUAGGUUGCAAGUGUUGAAGUACUUUAUACACCUAAUUAGGCGAACAACAAGUGUCAAGAUAAGACUGCAAGCCAUACAAAUACAUAUGCAUAUAAAUUUAAAAUUGAAAGAAAAUAUUAUCAAAUUUUUAAGUAUUCUAUGACAUAUUUUAAAUAUUUCUUACACAUGAAUUUCAGGAACGAGAAUAGAACCUCCAUCUCCAUAUGAAAUAAAGAGCAAGUACUUGGAAAUGAAGUAUGUUGAAAUGGAAGCUUAUAUGAACCAACAAAGAGAAAAAUAGAAUGCUUAUGGGUGCACAAUAAUGUUUGAUGGAUGGACAGGGCCCAUAAAAUUAAGUAUAAUUAAUUUCAUGGCCUAUUCAACAAGAACCACGGUGUUCCUUAAGUCAGUUGAUGCAUCUAACAAUAUUAAAGACCACAAAUAUAUAUACAAGCUAUUAAAGAGUGUUAUCAAAGAUGUUGGGGAAGAAAAUGUGGUCAAAUUGUCAUAUAUAAUGGGACGGCAUUCGUGAAAGUAGGCAAACUAUUGAUGAAAAAGUUUAACUUAUAUUGGACUUUGUGUGCGACGCACUGCAUCGACUUAAUGUUUGAAGACAUUGGCAAAAGAACAAGUGUUGCAGAAGUGAUAAGCAAUGCCUGUAAGAUAACCAACUUCAUUUACAACCAUGGUUGGUAACUUGCACAAAUGAGAAAGUUUUGUGGUGGAGACAUUGUUCGACCUAAAGCUACGAGGUUUGCUACUAACUAUAUUGCUCUUGAUAGUCUUCUUAAAAAAAAAAGGGUUGAUUUAAAGAAAUUGUUUAAGAGUGAUCAAUGGGCACAACAGAAGCUGAAUCGGAUAAAAAUCGGUCAAGAAAUGGAGAAAUUAAUGUUUGACCAUCCGUAUUGGGACAAAGUGACAAAAGUGGUUUCAUUAUAUGAGCCACUAUAUGUGGUGCUUCUUCUUGUAGAUUCAGAAGUUGUUCCCACAAUGCCCUUUGUGUACGAUCUUAUGCAAGUGAUGAAAGAAAAUCUCAUUCGUCAACAAGCUAGAGAAUGGAUGUUUGAAAUAAUAAAAGGUCGUUAGGAGAAAACACUAAAACAUCCACUUCAUGCAGUAGGUGAUUAACCACUAUCCAUCUUCAUAAGUUCUUAGUCUUGAUGUUAUAUAAUUUUUUUCUCCUAUAAAAUACUAACUUUACUUAAUUUUAUUAUAGCAUAUUUCUUGAAUCCAAGGUUUCAAUACAGACGUGGAGUUGGUAGCGAUCCCGAACCGCUCCAAGCAAUCCAUGACGUUUUUGUGAAAUUAGACCCAAUUGCUGAAUCGCUUAGUCAAUUUGGAAAUGAGGUAAACUAAAAAUAUUUUAUUAAUCAAUUUAUUUGAACAUUUACUAAAAAUAUUAUAUUCACAUAUUGAAUAUUGAAUACAUAGCUUGUACUUUUUCGAGACGCGAAAAAAUGAUUCAGUGAUUGAGCGACGAUUGUCGUAAGGUCAACCAUGGUUCCUGGUGAGUAUUAUUUCUUAAUAGAAAACUAAAUUUAUUAUCAUUAUUGUAAAUUCACAACAUAAGUAUUUAUAUAAUUAUGAAUUUGGUUGUAAUUGAAUGGUGGUUCAUGUAUGAAAAUCAUACACCGACAUUGAACAAAUUGCCCAUCAAAGUUCUUUCAUAAACUGUAUCAUCUUCUACCUGUGAAAGAAAUUGGAGCACAUUCACUCUCAUUCACACAAAGCAAUGAAAUCAUCUAGCUUACCCUCGAUUGUAACAAUUAGUUUUUUGUUAUUACAAUAUGAAGCUAAAGCUGCGUGAUGUGGAGGUAGAAAAUGAUAGAGUUGUUGAGAAAGAUUACCUUGAUCUCCUUGACAUUUCAAUCGAAAUGGGUGAAGAAGAGGAUAAUCAAUUGUUCCAAUGGGUUAGGCCUCUACACUUGGAUGAUGAAAUCAGAAAUCCUAAUCCACGGAUUGUCGCUCAUGCUCGAGAAUUUGGUGUUGACGUUGAUCGAGUGAUGUUUGAAGAAGUUCAUAGUGAGAGUUUUAGCAAAGACAUUGAUGAUUCAUUUGAGGUAGCAUUGAAUUCACAUCCUUCUGUUAACUCCACAAACGUUGGGUGAAGUAGUAGACCUAGUGCUGCUGGUACUUCUGCUUCUGGUUACGAUGGUUCAAGAGGUAGAAUUGAUGAUGAAGGUGAUAAUGCGGGAGGAGAUGUUGGGCAACAACAACAAAGUCAAUAUCCAAUGAGCCCAUUCACCUAUGAAGAUGAUUUCACACAUUGCACCCAAGAUGAAGACCAUGACUCUAGAAAAGUUGGUCCAAGCAUAGGAGCUAUUGGGAAUUCGUAUAGAGGAAGAGAACAGACGAUGGCACCACCAUUUAAUGAGCAGUUAUUUUCAGCUAGUUUUGAGUCUAUAAGUAUAAGGACUCAAUUUAGUGACUCAUCCAAUGAGGUUAACGUUUAUCCUCCUUAUGUGAUGGUUUAUGGUCAACCUUUAAGUUCAAUGGAUGAAGAGUAUGGUAUGCCUAGUCAUUCUCCUUCUACACAAAUGUCAUAUGACUCAUAUCACAUUCCAUGUCAGAUGCAAGGAGGAUUUGACACAAGCACAUGGGUGAACCUAAAGUAUCCCAUCCAUGUGGAGGCAGUGGGUAAGACUCAAGAGAUCUAUGCAUGGCAUCUUCGGAUUUUUAAUCAAUACUAUCGAGACUCAUUAACUUGGUACCAAUAUUGUCUCCAACAACAAGAUGGGAUUCCUUCAUCUAUCAAUUCCAUUGAAUCACAUCGGUCAUCAUUUUGGUACUAAAGGUUCAUUACAUAAUAUGUAUAAAUUAUUGAUAUUUAAUGAAAUCAAAUCUUUCAUCUAGCUUCAUAAUGAGUGUACACUUACAAAAUUUACAUUUUUUAUCGAUCCGACCCGAAAUCAUUAAAUUUAAUAUCGAAAAUCAUAUAUACAUAUAUCAAUUUCUUCAACAAAGCAACUUUAAAAUGUUUAUUAUACUUCUAAAGAUAUAUCUAAUAGGUUUUUUUUUUUUUUUUUUUUUUUUUACAUUUCCUUGACUUUUGAUCACUUUUUGGUCUAUCUAUAUUUUGUGUCAAAAUAUCCAUCGAUAUAUUUAUGAUAUAUCUGAUAUAUCUGUAAAAUCGAAGUAUCGAUAUAUCCGUAAUUAUCGAUAUUUUUAUCCUUGGUCCCCACUCAAUAGUAAGACUCAUUUUUAUUGGUGAAAAAAUAGUUUUGGAAAAGUUAGAGUCUUGAAAAACUUGAGUCUUGGUCCGAGGAUCAGGUUACCUAUUAGGAAGGUAUCUCUAAGAGGUAGCACCCCUCUAAACCCUAAAGAGGUCUCUAAUGACUAAGUCAUGGGAAAAGUGUCAAUUAAUCAAUUGAUUGAAGGUACCUAGGUAGGCUAAGGUGAUUUCAAAACUAGCAUGCCAAAAAAGAAAUCAAAUCACAAUCGUAAAGGACGAUUAGGAUAUGUGCCUGGAAUGCCUCUCAAGCGCUAUCAUAAGAUAUCAAAGUUAGCAUGGAAAUAUAGUACACAAUAUGUAUUUAAUCAGAGCAAAUCGAACAAACAUCUAGGCACCCAAGGAUGGAAUCAAACAUAAAUAAGGCUCACAACAACAUGCAUGUUCAUAGAAUUCCGAAAAGUAAGUGAUAGAGAGCGUACCUGGAUAGCAUGCAUAAUUUAUAAGAUUUCUCCAAAAAUGCUAGAGUGGUUAGGAAAAGUAUAAAUUAUAUAACAUAUUUAUUAUGUCUAAUAUACAGUACCAAAUCCAAAAUUGAGCCAAGGUAAGUCAAAUGACUCCAAAAAGAAUAACAAUUUCAAGCAAAGUACAAGGUCAUUAUCAUGCAAUUAGAAAAGGGAAUAUCACAAAACAAUUUCUAAAGAAUGUCUUGGAGUGGAAUUUAAUUACAAAAAAAUUCAAGAAACAACUCUUACACAUCUAGAACAACAUACCAAAAUCCAAACACUCAUUCAAAUGAUAGAUUGUAACAAAGAUAACCAAAAGUUCCAAAAGGUCCAGAUUAGGUAAAAAAAAGUGGCAUGCAUGAACGAAUUUUAUAAAAAAUAAUAAGAGAUCACAUAAAAUCAUACAAAAAAUCACACACAUCUUUCAAAGUGUCUAUGGCAUAGGAAAAAGAAAUUCAGGGUCGGGUAGUACUCAAAAAUAUUUUUAAUACACUCCAACUAAUCAAAUGUCCAGAUUCCAUCAUGUACAGUAGGUACAAUUUUGAAAAAUCACAUCUCCCUCAAAAAAGCAUAUUUUUUAAUAUUUUAUAUGUCUAAGAUCAAUUUCAUGAAGUUUAGAAUUAAGAAAAAAUAUUGAGUCAAAUUCAAAAAGUCAUCUAUUAUCUUAUUUAUACAGAAAUAUUUCGGGUGUCUAGAAUUAGGUGAAAACAGAGCCCUCCUAAAAACUCAUUUAUAUCUUCUAUUCCAUAAUUGCUUUCUAACUUAAACAAAAUUUUAAAUUCAAAUUCAAGAAAUGAAGAAAAUCAUUCAAGUUUUAGAUUUUUUUUAAAAAAAAAUAUUCUGAAGUUGCUUAAAUGAAUUUUAAAUUUAAAGGGUCAAUGGUUGAGUGAAAACUGGCAGCAAGGAAGAGUCUUGAAAAAUUUUCUUAUGUAGGGGUUCCACCAUUUCCCCAAUUGAUAUACAUGAAUCUAGCCUAGAAUUAUCCCAUUUAUUUGGGACCACAAGCUUGAACUCAUGUCUGACUCAAAACCAUAAUUUUUAUUGAAAAUUGAGAAAGAUGUGAACUGAUUAAGACAUGGUUGCAUAUUAUUUAAGAAAAUGAGAUUUUGAUUCUAAGAACUCUAAAUGAAUUUUUUAAAUAGAUUUUCAAAGGGAUCUUUUGAGAAAUAUAUUUAUUUUAAAAUCAAAGAAAUUAAUUUGAAAACAACAAAACAUAAGAAACAAAAUACCAAGCAAAAAAAACAAAACAAAACAAAACAAAAUCACAAAGUAAAAAUUUUGACAACCAAGCAAACUAAAGUGGUAAGAAUGGAGGCCAAUCUUUGCUAUUUUCUGAUUGCCUCCGAAGAUUAAAUUUGAUAAAGAACUAUCAAAUAAUAAACUAUUAAGACUUAGAUCAUACAAGUUAAUGAAAAUAUUCAUCAAUAAUUAACAACUAGGAUUCAAGAAACACCUAAAUUGAGAAUAACAAAUCAAGGACUAGCACGGGGUUAGCUAAACACAAAAACACAUCUAGACUAAAAAAUAAAUUAAAAUUGAACUAAAUCGAAAUUAAAAACAUAAACUUUAUCUAAUAAGAUUAAUUAAACUAUUGAUUAAAAUCACAAACACAUCUAAACAAAUUAAAAUAAAACUAAAUGGAAAUCAUAAAUAUGAACUUUAUCUAAUAGGAUUAAUUGAACUAUUGAAUUAAAAAUCACAAAUUCAUCUAAACUAAAAAAUAAACUAAAACUAAACUAAAUCGGAAUUACAAACGUGAACUUUAUCUAACAAGAUUAGUUAAACUAAUGAAUUAAAAAUACUAAUACAUUUAAACUAAAAGAUAAAUUAAAACUAAACUAAUUUGGAAUUAAAAAUAUAAACUUUAUCUAAUGGGAUUAUUUAAACUAAUGAAUUAAAACCACAAACACACUUAAACUAAAUGAUAGGUUAAAACUAAGUUAAUUCGGAAUUAAAAAGAAAAAAAAAAAGAAAAAAAAGCAUAAACUUUAUCUUAUAGGAUCAAUUAAACAAUCACCUAAAAGUCCGAAAAACACAUGAAUUGAAAUUGGACCAAACAAGAAUCAAAGUUAACAUACUUAAAAAGUGAAUAAAACAACUUUGGGUCAACUAGACUAACUUAUUAAAAUUUCUAAAAAAAAUGAAAUACAAAAUGAAAAUUGCAUCAAUUAAGAAUUAAAGUUAAAAAAAUAACCUAAACUUCAUUCCAAUAUUUAUUAAUCAAAACUAAUAAGAAAAACUCUAACUUUCAAUCUAAUAAAAAAUUAAAACUAAAAUCUAGAAAUUCCAACUUACCUUCUCUAGAAUUCCUCUAUGGUGGUGCGACUGCUGCUCUCUUCAGUUACAGGCUUGUGCGUGUUAUAGUGGUAUGCGAUUGUCUUCAAUCGCAACCCGUGGGGAAGAGUCCAUCUAUGGGCUGUUGAAAGAUCAGAAUAUAUGGCAUGUUGCUGGUUGUAGUUCCCGUGAGUGUGUGGCCUUAUUCCUCGCCAAAUUCUAAUGGUCGAUCCCUCUUGAUGGUGCAUGCUAGUGUUCAAUGGUGAAUGUGUCAUGGCUACCUCCUUCCAUUUUUAUUUUAUUUUUUAUGAUGAAUACAUGCUCUCCUAUGGGAACAUAUGGUAGCCUUGCCAAAGUCUGGUUUGUGCGGGUUCUUCCUUUUGAAGGCGACGUGUGUGCAUCCCUAAUCUUCCUUUUGUGCACCUUGUUUUCUUUCUUAAAAAUAUGUGAAAAAGACUCUCAUUAGUAGCGUGUGAUUCCCCUAGAGAAUGCCUGGAGAUCUAUUCCUUUUUUGGUGUGUCCAGUGUUUAGAAAGUGGCCUCAUCCUUCCAUAUGUGGCUGCAUGAUCAUCUUUUCUAUAUUACUUGUUGGAAAUUCUCCCCAAUUGUGGCUGUUGCAUCCUCUAAUGGACGGUUGUUCCUCUUUUAAGGCAUGAAUUCUAUCCAUUUUAACAUAGAGAAUCCUAUAAAAAAAAUCCCGUGAAUAUCCACUCUUGCCCCCAAAGACCGUGAACUACUUUCUAAAAGAGAAGUUCCCCUUUCAAAAUUUCUAAUGUCUUCCAUAUCCAAAAUUGGCAGACCACAUCUCCUUAAUCUUCUAUUUCCCCAUUCCCUUUAAAUUUCAUCCAUGAAGAGUAUCCAUCAACACCAUUGAAUCUCACCCGCAUAUACAACCACUUGAAUUCCUUUCAAUUCUCUACCGAAUUCAUCCAUAAAAGUCAUCUUAAAUAGCCACUGAAUUCCUUUAGAUUCACCAUUGAAAAUUUAGCUACCCAAGGUUCCAUCCAAGCCGUGAAGAUCUCAUGCAAAAUAAUAAUAAUAAUAAUAAUAAUAAUUAAUUAAUUAAUUAAUUAAUUAAUUAAUAACAAUAAAAAUAAAAAUAAGAAAUCAUGCAAUUUAAGAUGAAAAUAAAAAUAAUCAAUCAGGCAUACGUAAGAUAAAUUAGAACAUCAAUCCAUGCCAUUAGGAAAGAAUGGAAUCAACCUCACCCAAUUUCCUAGAAAAAAGAUAAAUAAGUAAAUAGACUAAAUAAAUAAAUAUAUAAGUAUCAAUUCAUGCAAUUAGGAAAACUAAAAUCUCAAUUCUCAUGCAAUUUUCUAAAAAAUGAAUAAGUAAAUGAAUAAAAGUAAUAAAAAUAACAUAAAAUAAAAAAUCAAACACAUACUAGUCAUACAAGCCAUGCAACCAUACUUGAAAAGUGACCUAAGCAAGACUAGGUAAACCUAAGUGGGCCAAGACAUGCCAAAAUGAGCCUAAGUGAGCCUUGGUGGGCCUAAGUGAGCCUAAGUGAGCCGAAUGUAUCUAAAUGAGCCCAAUGUGCUAUCCUAAAAGUAUAUCUAAAUGAGCUGUUAAAAAAAGAAAGGAAAAUCCUAAGCCUAACUCAGGGCUACCAAGGGUCACAAUGGAGUUAGAUAAAUCUCUCAACCAAAGUCUCCAAGGUGGCUAAAAAAGGUAAUAGUAUGAGUAGCAAUGAACCACCAAAGAACUACAGUGGAGCACUGGAAGUGAACUUAAAGACAUGUGCUAAAGGGGCAAAAUGGAGGGUCUACACAUCUUCCAACAUUUGAUAUAAAUCUGUAAAAAUUAAGAGAAAAAUAUUUUUAAAAACAAUAUAUUAAGCCUAAAAAUAGGGACUUAAUAAUAAAAUAAAGUAAAAAGAUAAAAUUAAAACCAAAUAUUAAAUAUGAAUAUAGUUUAAGUAUUAAAAGUAUUAUUAUUUAGGUUUAAUCAUUGGGUUUAUUAGAGGUGUUUAUAUAUAUUUCUUUUUUUUUAAUCCCUAUUGAUAUUAAUUAAAGUGAAUUUGUUAUCAAUAGAAUUAAUUUAGUUAUGUUGGUUGAUGUCAACAAGUUAUUUGUAACUAAAUAGAAAAAAUCAAAUAUUUUACUUUUUUUUAUUUAACUAAAAAACAGUCAUCAUCUAAAAUUUUAGAUAAUAUAAACAUUUGACUAGAAACAAACUUCAUAUGGACCAUUGUCAAAUACCAUGCACAGGGAGAAAUCUGGAUCCUCACUUGCUCUUUGAUUCUAAUGUAUUAAAUUUUAUUUUACCUAAAACAAAAUUGUAUUUCAUGUCCUUUAUUAUGAGUGGACAACCAUUUCUUAUGUUAGUUUUAAAUAAAGAACGAAUAUUGAAGAUUGAAGUUGUAAGAAAUUAGGAGAAAAAUUAGGAGAUCCUAAUUUUAAAUAUGUAACAAAGUUCUAUAAUAACUUCAAUCCACGUUUUAAAAUUUGUAUUCCUUUCUAAUAUGGGAGCAAACUUUUCUUUAAUUCUUAUAAAUUUCAUUUGGAAAUGAUUUAAAAAUAAAUAAAUAAAAGCCCUUCUAAAUAUUAAAAAAAAAAACACUUUCUUAUAAAAAUUAAUUAGGUGGUAAGGUCAAAUUUGGGAUAGCUUGUUAUUUUUUGCCUUAACUAAAAAUUAAAAUCGGUAUUAAAGUAAUAAUUUUUAAAGGAUAAUGUUGAUGUUGUAAAAGUCUUAUUAAACAUGAAAUAACUUCUUAUGUAAACAAAAAUAGAAUUAUAAAAUUGUUAUAAGCAAUAACAUUUUUAUGACUUCUAUAUGAAACCCUUUUUAAAAGUUAUAGUUUUUUUUUUUUUUUUUAAAGAAAGAAUUAAAUAGGUAUAAAAACUUUUAUUCAAAUUAAUUUUUUUUAACUCUUAAAAGUCGAUCCAAAUAAAAUUUAAAUAUAUUAGAAAAUUACUUUGAAAAAUCCAAAAAAUCACUUAAAAAUAAUUUAUGAACAUUUUUUUUAUUUUACGUUUAAAUGCUUAAGUAUUUAUUUUUAAAAUCAUUUAUAAUGUCAAAAUAUUUUUUUAUGGAUACAAACAUUACAAAUAAAACAUUUUAAUCCCAAUCAAUGUCAAAGCAUUUUUAAUUUAAUUUUUAAUUCAUGAAAUUUCAUUUAUUGUUAUUUAUUUUUUUGGGAUUUAGUUCUUUACAAUUAUUUUUAAGUGAUUUUUUGGAUUUUUCAAAGUAAUUUUCAAAUAUAUUUAAAUUCUUUACAAUGGUCAAUGAAUAAUUUAUUAAUUUAUUUCUUAAUUCAAUGGCAUUGGAAUCUCAGCUGGAAUAUUCCAAGUCCAUAAAACCAAAGUUUAAUUAUUUAAUCUUUUUUUAGCACACCACUCAUGACCCUACAACUUUCCUACCAACUUAAUUUGUUGACUUGGAGUUGGAGAGUUCGGCCAAUUGCAGCAGCUUAGUUGUCUUUUCUCUAAACCAUAAAUUCAAAUGAUCAGGUCCUACGUUUUAAUUUACAAAAACCAAUUAUUUGUUUUUACUAAUUUUAAUUUAAGAAAGCAGGAAAGGGUUUAAUUUAAUGUAAAAUGAAAAAAAUAAAAAAUGAGAGUUGACAAGUAAUCAAAUCACUAAGAAAUAGAUUUGGAGUUCUCUCGGAGUGAGGUUAGACUCAAUUUAUGCCUAUGCAAUGGAAAUGGAGAUUUUUUUUUUUUCCCUUUAUCUUGGGGUAGAUCUUGUGAUAUUAUUACUAAAAUAGAAGGUAAAAAUAUAAAUUAUAUACCAAGUAUUUUAACUUUAGGAAAAAACACUUAUUUUAAUUUUAAAUAAAUAAAUAAAAAGAAUUGAUUUUAUCUCAAUUGUAUAAGACUUCAUAAAAAUUAUCUUAUUUGCAAAAUAUUUUCAGAUGUAAAAGUAAAAAAAUUAAACAAACCAUUUCAUGAUUUUUUCACUAUUAUCCAUUUAGAUCAAAGUUUAAUUUUAAAUUAUUAGAAUAAGUCAAUUACUCUAAAUUGUAUCAUUUAUAAUUUUUAUAAUUAUUAAUAAGAUACCUAACCUUCUAGAAUUGGAAUAAAAUAUGGACAAGUCAAAAAAUGUCAAAUCAAGAUAAUUAAAAACUAUCCCAUUUCAAACUUUUCUAAUACAACAUGAUAUUUUAUCAUGUCCAAAGAAAUCGUAAUGGCCAAAAGUUUUCAAAUCAAGAUAUAUCUAUUGUGGACAUGGAAUUGGGAGGCUUCUUAGCAUUGUACUGGUCUAUUUAAUGAAUUCUUCAUAUUGAAAUUAAUUAAGGUUGAAACAGGAACACAACAUCAAAUUCUCUUUUUCAUAAUCAAAGACUUCCAUGGAAAAUUCCACCAUAGCAUACGUCAAAGAUUAUUCAAAUUCCAUUAUCUUUAUAGUCGUUUAACAAUCCAAGAAAUUGACAGUAAUAAUCCUAGACACAAUAUUCUGAAAAUUUACAUUAUUCUUUUUAUCUUAAUUGAGUAGAAAAUAAAUCAUGCAAGCUGAAUAAUACGAAUAUUCAAUGAAAUCUUUGGCAUGUUAUUUCUUUGUAACUUCAACAUGGUGGCAUGUUUGAUGGAGGAGGCAGCAUUUGAGCUUUUGAAUGUUUACCAUUUUUCACUAUGAACGCAGUUUCCAUAUGCCAAGGCAGAUGGUGUUCUACAUGGCAGUGCAUGAACCACACUCUUGCAACAAAAAUAUACCAACAUUACACCUAAAUUGUAAUAUUAAGAAAAAUUAUAAUUUUUUUUUUUCCUUUUUUGCCUUUUCCUUCAUCUUGGCAUAGAUCUUGUUAUAUUGUUACUAAAAUAGAAGGUAAAAAUAUAAAUUAUAUACCAAUUAUUUUAACUUUAGGAAAAAGUGCUUAUUUUAAUUUUAAAUAAAGAAAUAAAAAAUAAUUGAUCUUAUCUCAAAUAUACAAGACUUCAUAAAAGUUAUUUUAUUUGAAAAAUAUUUUUAAAUUUAAAAGUAAAAAUUAAACAAACCAUGACCUUUCUCACAAUUAUCCUUUAUAUCAUAGUCUAAUUUUAAAAUAUUAGAAUAAGUCAAUUACUUUACAUUAUAUCAUUUAUAAUUUUUUAAAUUAUUAAUAGGAUACCUAACCUUCUAUAGAAUUGGAAUAAAAUAUGGAUAAGUAAAAAAUGUCAACACAAGAUAUUUUAUAUGUUGAAUGAAAUUGGAAUGGCCAAAAGUUGUCAAAUCAAGAUAGAUUGUACUAGUCUAUUUAAUGAGUUGCUCAUAUUGAAAUUAAUUAAGGUCGAAACAGGAACACAACAUCAAAUUCUCUUUUUCAUAAUCAAAGACUUCCAUGGCAAAUUCCACCAUAGCAUACGUCAAAGAUUAUUAAAAUUUCAUUAUCUUUAUAGACUUUUAACAAUCCAAGAAAUUAACAGUAAUAAUCCCAGACACAAUAUUCUGGAAAUUUACAUUAUUCUUUUUAUCUUAAUUGAGCAGAAUAUAAAUCAUGCAAGUUGAAUAAUACGAAUAUUCAAUGAAAUCUUUGGCAUGUUAUUUCUUUGUAGCUUCAACAUGGUGGCAUGUCGAUGGAGGAGGCAGCAUUUGAGCUUUUGGAUGUUUACCAUUUUUCACUAUGAACGCAGUUUCCAUACCCCAAGUCAGAUGGCGUUCUACAUGGCAGUGCAUGAACCACACUCCUGCAACAAAAAUAUACCAACAUUACACCUAAAUUGUAAUAUUCAGAAAAAUUAUAAUUUAUAUAUAUUUUUUCCUUUAUUGCCUUUUCCUUCAUCUUGGUGUAGAUCUUGUUAUAUUGUUACUAAAAUAGAAGGUAAAAAUAUAAAUUAUAUACCAAUUAUUUUAACUUUAGGAAAAAGUGCUUAUUUUAAUUUUAAAUAAAUAAAUAAAAAAUAAUUGAUUUUAUCGCAAAUAUACAAGACUUCAUAAAAGUUAUUUUAUUUGCAAAAUAUUUUCAAAUGUAAAAGUAAAAAUUAAACAAACCAUGACCUUUGUCACAAGUAUCCUUUAUAUCAUAAUCUAAUUUUAAAAUAUUAGAAUAAGUCAAUUACUUUACAUUAUAUCAUUUAUAAUUUUUUAAAUUAUUAAUAUGAUACCUAACCUUCUAAUGAAUUGGAAUAAAAUAUGGAUAAGUAAAAAAUGUCAACACAAGAUAUUUUAUAUGUUUGAAUGGAAUUGGAAUGGCCAAAAGUUGUCAAAUCAAGAUAGAUUGUACUGGUGUGUUUAAUGAGUUGUUCAUAUUGAAAUUAAUUAAGGUCGAAACAGGAACACAACAUCAAUUUCUCUUUUUAUAAUCAAAGACUUCCAGGGAAAUUCCACCAUAGCAUAUCUCAAAGAUUAGUCAAAUUCCAUUAUCUUUAUAGACUUUUAACAAUCCAAGCAAUUGACAGUAAUAAUCCUAGACACAAUAUUCUGAAAAUUUACAUUAUUCAUUUUAUCUUAAUUGAGUAAAAAAUAAAUCAUGCAAGCUGAAUAAUACGAAUAUUCAAUGAAAUCUUUGGCAUGUUAUUUCUUUGUAGCUUCAACAUGGUGGCAUGUCGGAUGGAGGAGGCAGCAUUUGAGCUUUUGGAUGUUUACUAUUUUUCACUAUGAACGCAGUUUCCAUAUGCCAAGGCAGAUGGUGUUCUACAUGCCAGUGCAUGAACCGCACUCUUGCAACGAAAAUAUACCAACAUUACACCUAAAUUGUAAUAUUAAGAAAAAUUAUAAUUUUUUUUUCCUUUUUUGCCUUUUCCUUCAUCUUGGCAUAGAUCUUGUUAUAUUGUUACUAAAAUAGAAGGUAAAAAUAUAAAUUAUAUACCAAUUAUUUUAACUUUAGGAAAAAGUGCUUAUUUUAAUUUAAAAUAAAGAAAUAAAAAAUAAUUGAUCUUAUCUCAAAUAUACAAGACUUCAUAAAAGUUAUUUUAUUUGCAAAAUAUUUUCAAAUUUAAAAGUAAAAAUUAAACAAACCGUGACCUUUCUCACAAUUUUCCUUUAUAUCAUAAUCUAAUUUUAAAAUAUUAGAAUAAGUCAAUUACUUUAAAUUAUGUCAUUUAUAAUUUUUUAAAUUAUUAAUACCAUACCUAACCUUCUAAUGAAUUGGAAUAAAAUAUGGAUAAGUAAAAAAUGUCAACAUAAGAUAUUUUAUAUGUUGAAUGGAAUGGGAAUGGCCAAAAGUUGUCAAAUCAUGAUAGAUUGUACUGGUCUGUUUAAUGAGUUGUUCAUAUUGAAAUUAAUUAAGGUUGAAACAGGAACACAACAUCAAAUUCUCUUUUUAUAAUCAAAGACUUCCAUGGAAAUUCCACCAUAGCAUAUCUCAAAGAUUAGUCAAAUUCCAUUAUAUUUAUAGACUUUUAACAAUCCAAGAAAUUGACAUUAAUAAUCCUAGACACAAUAUUCUACAACUUUACAUUAUUCUUUUUAUCAACUUUACACAAAAAACUGAAGAGGAAUACUAACUUAAAUCAAAUAGAAAAUAAAUCAUGAAAGCUGAAUAAUACAAAUAUUCAGUGAAAUCUUUAGCGUGUUAUUUCUUUGCAGCUUCAACAUGGUGGCAUGUCCGAUGGAGGAGGCAGCAUUUGAGCUUCCGGGUGUUUACCAUUUUUCACUAUGAACGCAGUUUCCAUGCCCCAAGUCAGAUGGCGUUCUACAUGGCAGUGCAUGAACCACACUCCUGCAACAAAGAAAAUAUACCAACAUUGCACCUAAC
rnacentral:lncRNA from 1 species